rnacentral:lncRNA from 1 species
CCUACCCAAUUGAAACUACCUGCAAUCCAACAUUCUUAAACUCUUUGAAGUAACAUCCUAGAUCCUACCAGUAUGUGUCAUCGAGACCUGGAUUCUGAUCUGAUCAAGCUGAAUUCUUGGCCAUUAUGAAGGUUGUGAAGUUGGAUGCUGACCCUUGGAAAAUUAAUACUGGAUUGCAAUGCUAUCUCUAGGUAGAAGAAAUGCUACUUCGUGGGUAAAAGGCAGCAAUAGGGUUUGUUGGCAUCUUAGGAACGCCAAUUUUGUAUAUAAAUUACAAGUUUUACAAUUGUCUACUCAUUCAGCUGUUUUCGACGACUCUUGGAAUUUCAUGUAAAAACCUAAUUCUUGCUCUGCUUAAUACUAUCACUCAAUUCAUAAGUCUGUUGUGGAAUGACAGAAAAAAAUGCUUACCUAAAUAGUAAUGCACAUGCCUGCAGCAACAAUGAUUUUAAAGAGCUCAUCACUGCAUAAUCCAAAAUUCCCCCAAGCUCAAGCAGGGAAAUGAUUUCGUUUAAUAAGGUAUUCAGACAAGGGAAAUGAUUUUAAAGGGCGAUGAAUCGUCAUUGUCAUCAUCACUCUGGCCUACCCCUGCCUCAUCAUCAUCAUAAUCGCUACCCAAAACCAGAUUUCUCUUCCUUGCUUUCUCUGCUUCUUCCAGUCCUUCUCUAAUUGCCAUCCAGACUUGUAAUCUCCACUAUCAUGCAUAAACUUACAUGAAUCCUCUAACCACAGUAACCAGUUUCUUUGUAGUCUAUACAGAUGUCAGGUUGAUAAUCAAAUCUCUCUGAAACCCUGAUGUGGGCAGAAGCCCUAACGUGAGCCACCAGCUUUCUCACUGGCAACUGUCUGCUCCCUUCAAACGCAGCCUUAUGAUCCACAUAGCCAUGCUUUCCUUUAUACAACUUCUCUCCCACAGAGCUUUGGCUUUCCCCUUCAAAGCCUCCUCUGCUUGUUUAAGAACUUUCUCACCUAUAGCUCGAGCAUCUUAUAUAAACUCAGUCUCAGUUUCUAAGGUUGCGGUAGCUCUGCUAUCAUUUUGAACUUGAAGUUCCUUCGAAGACUCAAAUUGAAAAAUCGGUUUGUCAAAUUCUGUAUCUGAUUCAUUGAGAGCAGCACUCCUGGGGGAUCCAGUCGAAAAGUAUAACUUAUUGUCAGGCUUCAAAGCCCUCUUCUGAUUGUGUGACGGGGAUGUGCCAUUUCUGGAGUCUUCAUCUUCAUCUUCAUUUGUUUUCCUUUUCCUUAUGUUUUUGCCCUUUGUUAGCUUCCUAAAGAAAUUGCAGACUGAAAAAUCGAAGAGUUAACUAUAUAAGUAAAGAUACUGUCUGAAUUUGAUGCACACUAACAGAAACGGCCGGUUCUUUUUCAUUAUUAUUAUUUUUUUCAAAAAGAAAUGUCACAAUCACAGCGGCAAUGGGAGAACGCGACCACCGGUGCAGUGGCGGGCUUCGCCACCGUUGCAGCGAUUUACCCCCUGGACAUUGUCCGUACGAGAUUUCAAGGUAAUCCUCUUCUUCUUCUUCUUCUUCCGUCUCUUUCUUUAUAUAUACAUAGUUUCGACAAAAAAGUUUCAGUUUUUUUGGUGCUGAUUGGAUCGAGUUUUCAAAUAGUUAACGAUGGUCGACUCACCAAUUUCCCGACUUACAAGAACACCGCCCACGCCAUUUUUAUCAUUACUAGCUUAGAGGUUCACACCUUUUUUUUUCUUUCAUUUAAUUAGGCUUAGGCACUUUAUUUUUCUUUUCUCUCCAUGUAAAUUUGAGGUCUUUCUCGCUUUCAUUGGAGAUUAACGUUUCUCUUUUGUAUGCUGUUUUUCUUUUGAUAUAUGCUAAAAGUUUGGUGAGUUUGUCAUGCAGGGUUUGAAAGGGCUUUAUGCAGGCUUCUUUCCUGCAGUUUUAGCGUCCUCUGUUUCCUGGGGUUUAUAUUUCUUCUUGUAGGUGCCAUCAUCAAUUUACAUGUUACAACUUUUCCUUUGAUUACAGUACAUUUGUUGUCAAAUAUAUGUGCACAUUUGAAUUAUUAGCUGCAGCGGAAACGACUAAUUUGCUGAUUUUUUUUAAUGUAAAUAGAUUGAUUUUAAUAUGCAAUGGGGAAUAUAAAGAGUUAAUGUGUUUUGAUUUGUUGAAAAAUGUAGUGUGACAAUCAAUUAAUCUAAAGUGUCUGCUACUACUGUCUUAAUUUGAUGCAAGUUGCAAAUUAUCUCUGUUGAAACCCAGUUUUGAUGUUUAGAAACCAAAAUUCUGAGUAGAGUUUGAUAUGCAAUCAAACGGAAAAAGGGAAAAAAAACUCAACAAAAGAAAUGUGCUUCUGCAAUCUGCAAAAUUGGCUUGAAGAUCUUUCCUGAUUGAAGUGAAGCUUCAGAGAUGGAAAAUUGGCAAGUAAUAAUAAGUAAACACAUAUUAAUUACCUGCUUAAUCCAUUAAAUAAGAGAAAAAAACCUUAAUGACUUCAUAUCAAUAAUGAAAUGGGCCUACUGCAACAAUUCAGAAAAUGGAAUCAUACUUCAAAAACAUUCCAUUUGCUACAAUAUUGAUUGUACUGGUGACAAUGUCUAACCCACAAGCAUGAGCUCCAUGACCAAAGGUCCCUGCAAAUAGCUUCCACCAAUGCCGAGGAUUCUAAAGCUGUACAUAGCAAUUUGGUUGAAAGCAGAUUUGUGAAGCUUUCAUUUCAUAUAACUUGGCAGCAAGAAAAUGAUUGGGAGAAGCUAGUGAGUAUGGAGAAACGAUAUGGACAGGAUCACUAUCUUCAAUUUUGGACAGGAUGUUUUGAAGUCAAGAUCAGCUUGACGGGGUAAAGCAAAGACUUGGUGACUGGUGAGGAACUAAAUAAAAACUGAAAUAAUACCUUCAAUUUCCUUAAAAAUAUAAAUAAAACUCAAUGACAAUGAAGUUGAUGUAUUUUCAAAUUGUUCAAUGUUUAAAAACUGAAAACAAAAGAAGUAAUAGCAUCAUAUGUUGGCUGUUGGGUUCAGAAUAAUUUGUUGCUUACUUAACAUUAAAUCAUCUAUAAAGAAACUAUUUAGUCCCUUUUAGAUGCCAUCACAGACUCAGUGUGAUAGAAUUCAGGUCAAAAUAUGGAUUCAUCACCAUUUAUAUAUUUGUAUCUCACAUAUAUUUCAUUAUUGAUUUUAAUCUCUAUGCUAUUAUAUCUAAUCUCAUCAUAAUAAUAAUUAUUUUUUCUAUUAUCGUUAUUUUUAAUUUCACGGAAACUAAUUUUGCUUCUCAUCUAAAUUGUUAUCGAAAAAAAAGUGAGAUCUAGCACAAUACUUAUUACCCUUUUCAUUAUAUAUAUAUAUAUAUAUAUAUAUAUAUAUAAAACUUACAUAAUGCACAAUAGAUGGCACAAUUUUUAUGUAUAAAGAAGAACUCAUGAAUUUAAGUAUAAUCAUAUUUUGUUUUUAUUUUUUAAAAAAAUUUAUAUUAACAUUUGAAAUUUAUAUCCCUUUCUUUUGAAUUCAAAUUUCUAAACACAAAUUUAAUUAACAAAAGAAAUUCCUCUUUCAUUGAUCAAACAACAAAAAUUAAGAAACAAUCAUUGAGGAAAGAAAAACUAAUACCUCGAAAACAAAAAUAAGAAUUUAGGGCUUUAAUAAUGUUUGUUUUUCAAAAAAAAAAAAGAUUGUAAAAAAAAUUCAUACGUAUAAAUAAAAUUAAUAAUCAACCAAAAAGAGCAAAAUUAAUUACCCGAAUUAGUUUGGAUAAGCCUAUUGGGUCAAAAGACCUCUUUUUUUUACAUGGGCUGGGCCCAUUAAUACCGAAAUCGUGCUUCCCUUUGACUUCUUGCACUAAAAAUACAAUGAUGGAUUCCGAAUUUGGCAAUUGUUGUGAAUCAUAAAGUGUUUGAAGAAAAAUACGAAAAGCAAUUAACUGAGAAAAGCAAAAUUUAAAAAAAAUGUUGUCAAAAGGGAUUAAAGUUAGGGCGUUUUAAUCGAAUUUUCCUCUCCUUUUUUCAUUUUCCUGGUGAAAACUUCCUCAUGCCCAGUUUUAUUUUCAAUCUUAAAAUUUUUUUAAUUGAUUUUAUCUCCUGUUUUUGCAGUGACACUGUAAUUCGAGAGCUGGAGUCAUUGCAGGUAAUUUUUGGAAACCCCACAUUAGCAAAGGCAGAGUAUUUGAUUUUUUUUUUUUUUAAUUUCUUUUUUCUGUGAUCUUUUUUAGACUUUCACUGUGUAGAAAAGUUCUAUUUUUUGCUAAGCAUAACUUUUUUUUUUCUUAUUUGUGUUUCUCAGGCUUUAUUGUAUGUUGGUUUUGUUCUGUUUUAUCCAUAUUUCAUUUAUUUUUAUGAUUUGAAUUGAACUACUAUGUGAAAAGGAAUAUUGAGUAUUGCCAAGUAGUAUUUUCUUUGACUAUUACUGUACAUAAUUGUCAAUCUGUUAUUCAAUUGCUGGCUGUUAAAUUUGCUGGAAAAGAAUGAUUAUUGCAGUUUGAAUCUCUUGUUAUUAUGGGGAAGAGUGUGAGGGUUGAAAAAAGGGAAAGCAAAAUAAAAUGAAAUAGUUGGGUGGAAAGUGUUACCUUUUAUGGAGUUCUUGCUUGCAAUCAUCAUUUGUUUAAUUGUACAUUUUGCAUUUUCCAACAAUUGAAUGGAGGGAGUUUUUCGGAUUUCCAUUUCACUGCUUUCAAGUAUCUUGGUUUAGAUAAGUUUCGUCAGUGUUUUCUGUUUUCAAAAUGAAUUAAUAUACAUGACAUAACAGGUUCUUCUUGCAAAUCGGGAAUUGAAUGCUUAUGUGAAAAGGUGUUUAAAAUCUGAUCUUUUCUUUGUGGCAUCCAUAUUCUGCAAAGAUCUUUUGCCCUGUCUUUGUUCACCUCCUAGGUAUCAAUAUUUUAUCGGUUUGCUUAUGCUAGAGUUUGAUCUCUUUCUCUACCAUUUUCCCUUUGCCCCUACUAUUCCUCUUCUUCCUCUUUAGCCUUUGAAAUUGCUUUUUAGAGCCUUGGUUGUUAUAGUGGAUUACAAGCAUACAUAACACUAUGUUCAAGCUGUUGAAUUUUAGGUUCAACUUUCAAGUGUUAAGAGUUUUAUUAAAGUUUUAAUUUCUUGUGUAAGCCUUGUUUUACCCCCUUUUUUAGAGGGAGAGGAGGUUUGGGAGAGAUAAAAAUAGCACUUAUUUUAGUGUAUACGGAUGUAUGUAUGUAUGUAUGUAUAUGGUAUAUAUAAACAUAGGUUUAAAAAAUAUGCUACAUACAAUGUUUCUAUAAAAAAUCAUGAUUGCAAAAUAAAAUGUAAAUUUUAAGUACUGUACAUACAUAAAUCAUUUCUAAAAAAAUUCUAAAAAUUAAAUUCAAUAAAAUUAGAGUAUAACUUAAUGACCAGAAACAAAUAAAACUAAAAAAAAGAACUACCAAGAACAUAAAAUUAUUUGUGCAAAAUUAAUGCAUUAGUGAAUCAUAUGAAGUUCUUGGUUGUUUUGCCUCAUUUAGAGUCUGUUUGAUUGGUUUUUUGCUAGUUGCUUUUUGCCUCCAAAAGCAAAAAUGAAAAAAUUGCUUUUCCAUAAGCAAUAAAAUUUUGAAGAGCUAUACACAAAAUAUGUAAAUUUGUUAUGAUUAACUACAUGGUUCUACUUCUAUAUAUACUAAUUGUGUUAUAUAUUUUAAUUAUUUUUUCUGUUUUAGACCAGUUAUGAUAUAUAUAUUUUACUUUUUUCUCUUCCUUUCUAGUUAAAUAUAUACGUUUUAUUCAUGUUCAUAGGGAACUUACCAAACUCCUUGACCAUGCUCUAGAAAUGCCAGUAUGUAACGAGUUUGCUUUGAAUAUGGCAGCUAACAACAUCAGUGAAUCUUAGGUUUCUUGAUGCAAAUCAUGGCUAAUAGAUUCACUUGAAGCCUACUUAUCUAAAGAUUUUCGGAUUUUUGGAGGAUGAAAUACAGAGGUGGUGCUGAUGUUAAUAAUAUUGGAGACUGAACACUGUCAAACAACAUAGAGGUGGAAAUAUACUGACUUUUUCAGGUUUCAGGGUUGGUUUUAUUUGUUGACUUCAUUCUACUAUUUUUUUUUUUUGGAAAGAUAUAUACCAACAUCUUAUGUAAAUAUGUAACUUGAUAUAGAUAAUUUGUAAUUUUGGGGAAGAGAGAGAAGGAAUGAAAUUGAGAAGAUAGUGGUUUUUCUUUGAAAUUUUGCCAUGAUGUAAAGUUGUUCUAGUCAGAGUUUUUUGAUGUUAUGAUGCUUAAGAAAUCCAGAUACUAGUGAUAUCUUUCCCCAAAAUAGUUCAUUCUUCAACUCCAUCUAUUUCAUCUGGUUUGUUUCUGGGAAUAAAAGCAUAUUCCUUAUUGGUUGCAAAAUUUUCAUUCAUUUUAGCUUCAAAUUUAUCGAACAAUUAAAUUAUUAAUUGACUUGGUUAGUAUUUGUUGAACCAUAUAACUUAGAAAAUGCAAUCAGUUAGUGGAGAUUUUAGAUUAUACAAGUUAGAGGGCUGUCACAAACCCUUUUACAAAUAUAUUAAAAAAGUAUAUAAAAAAAUUAAGAUAUGUGAUAAUUUUUUAAUACUAUUUAUAAAAUUUAAAAGCUCUAUUAAACAUAUAUGAAGAAAUCAAAAUAUAUAAAAAUUAUCUCGUAUACAUGAAAUUUGCGAAAGAAGAAGAUUUUUUUUUUUUUUUAUGUGAGGUUGUUAGGAUUUAAACUUAAACUAUUGAAACUAAGAGUUCUGCAUUCAUUCCCACUCUUAUUUUGGAAAUUGUGAUUUUAUAAUGGUGGAAUAAGAAAGAAAAUGACAGAUACUAUGAGAAUGUAAUGGUCUAAGUAUUAGUCUUUGCUUUAUACUUAGUUUUGGCAUCACGCAUGCAAAUUUAUUAAUCUUUUUGCCCCCAUCUUUGCUUCACAAAAAUAAUAAUUUUAGCAGUUGCUUAAGUCUAAGUCAUUAAAAAGACUAAAAUAUAACAAUAAUAAUUAAUAUAUUUAAAAUCCAUUUCCUGUGUUCUAAUUUAACUAGAAGACAAAAGACAACCUCUAUUAAAAAAAUUGUUAUUAUUUUUUUUGUUUUUUUUAAAGACAAACUUCACUUAAACAAACUGCUAAGAAAAUUAUUUUUUAUAGAGUAAUGAUAGGGUAAGAAGACUUAAACAUUUGCAUGAGUGGAAUAAUUAAAAGUAGAAAGCAAAGAAAAGACUAAAUACCAACAAGAAAAUCUCAUACUAUCACUUUCUUUGUGAGUCCAAAAUUAGAAUAUAAAUUUUUUUAUAAACUUUAAUUUUAUGAUGGGUGAUUCAAAAUACAUCAUCAUUUUUUUUCUCUACAUCCAUUUUUAAAAUUUUUUUUAAGUGAAAUUACUUAUUUACACAUUUCGUUUUAAUUUUAAAACUUCUAGAUAUGCAUUUUUGAUAAGUUAUAUAACUUUUCAGAUUUUGAUAUCUGGUAAGUUAAAAAAAUAUAUUAAGGUUUAAAGAAAAUAAUUGAGAGAAAAUAUCUUAUGGAAAGCAUGAAAUUCUAAUACCAUUUAAAAAAUUUAAAAACUUUAUUAAUCAUAUGUAAAGAAAUUGAAAUUUAUAAAAAUUAUCUCACAUGAAAUUUGUGAAAAUAAAAGAUUGUCUUUUUUUUUUCUUGUAUAUGAAGUUGUCAAGAUUUGAACUUUAAACUAUUAAAACUAAAAGUUCAAUAUUUUACUAACAAAUUAUAUGGUUAUUGGCUUAUUGAGUUUUUAAAUCAGUGCAUCACUUUAAAAUAUAGUAACAAUAAAAAACUAAAAAAAAAUGCACAUACCAUGAAAUCUAAUAGUACAUUAGGAACAAAAGCAUAAGAAACAAGUUGUUUAAUCAAUAAAUUGAUUAGCCAAAAAAAUCAACAAAUUAAAAACCUGUCUUUUAUUUUUGCUGAAAAGUUUGGAAAAAAAAAUUCUAAAGAACACAUUCACUCCCAUUUCUGAAACUUAUCUAUUUUGGAAAUUGUGAUUUUAUAAUGGUGGAAUAAAAAAGAAAAAGAUAGAUCUUAUCAUAAUGCAUGGGUCUAAAUUAUAGUCCUUGCUUCAUACUUAGUCUUGGCAUCAAGCAUGCAAAUGUGUCAAUCUUUUCGCCCCCAUUUUUACUUCAAAAAAUUAAUGAUGUUAGCAAUUGCUUUAGUCUAAGUCAUUGAAAAGACUAAAAUACAAAAUAUUAAUUAAUAUACUUAAAAUCCAUUCCCAAUCUAUCAAUUUAAUUGGAAAACAAAAGAUAACCACCAUUGAAAAAAUUGCUAUUUUUUUUUGUCUUUUUUAAAAGAUAGAUUUGAUUUAAGCAAACUGCUAAGAAGAUUAUUUUUCAUAGAAUAAUGAUAGGGUAAGAAGACUUAGACAUUUGCAUGAUGGAAGACUUAAAAGUAUAAAGUAAAGAAAAGACUAAAUACCAAUAAAAAAAAAUCUCAUACUAUCAUUUUCUUUGUUAGUCAAAAAUUAGAAUAUCAAUUUUUUUUUGUAAAGCAUAAUUUUGUGAUGGGUGAUUCUAAAUACAACAUUAUUUUUUCUCUACAUCCACCUUUUUUUAAAAAAUUUUAAGUGAAAUUACUUCUUUACUCAUCUUGUUUUAAUUUUAAAACUUUUAAAUAUGCAUUUCUGAUGAGUUAUAUAAUUUACAAAAUUUUCAUAUCUGGUAAGUUAGAAAAAAGUUACAUUUAGGUUUAAAAAAAUAGUUAAGAAAAAAUAUCUUACAAAAUGUAUGAGUUUUUAAUAUUGUUUAUAAAAUUUAAAAACUCUAUUAAUCAUAUAUGAAGAAAUUAAAAUACAUAUAUAUAUAUAUAUAUAUUAUCUUGUAUACAUGAAAUUUUUUCAUUUUAAGAUUGUCUUUUUUUUUUUUUUUUAUAUGUGAGAUUGUCAAGAUUUGAAUUCUAAACUAUUGAAACUAAGAGUUUAGCAUUUUACUAUCAGACUAUAUGAUUAUUAGCUCAUUGAAUUUUUAAAUUAGGGGAUAUCUUUAAAAUAUAUUAACAAUAAAAAACUAAAAAAAUGCACAUACCAUGAAAUCUAAUAGUACAUUAGGAACAAAAGCAUGAGAAAAACGUUGCUUAAUCAACAAAUUGAUUGGCCAAAAAAAAAUCAACAAAUUAAAAACCUAUGUUUUAUAUUUGUUGAAAGGUUUGAAAAAAAAAAUGGUGGCAUAAGAAAGAAAAUGAUAGAUACUAUGGGAAUGUAUUGGUCUAAGUGUUAGUCUUUGCUCUAUACUUAGUUUUGGCAUCAAGCAUGCAAAUGUGUCAAUCUUUUUGCCCCCAUCUUUACUUCACAAAAAUAAUCUUAGUACUUCAGUCUAAGUUAUUAAAAAGACUAAAAUAUAACAAUAAUAAUUAAUAUACUCAAAAUCCAUUCCUUGUGUGCCAAUUUUAGUAGAAAACAAAAGACAACUUUCGUUGAGAAAAUUUUUUUUUUUUUUAUCUUUUUUAAAAGGCAGACUUGACUUAAGCAAAUUGCUAAGAAGAUUAUUUUCACAUAAAAAUGAUAGGGCAAGAAGACUUAGACAUUUGCAUGAUGGAAAGACUUAAAAGUAUAAAACAAAGAAAAUGAUUAAAUACCAAUAAAAAUAUAUCAUACUAUCAUCUUUUUUGUGAGUCCAAAAUUAAAAUAUCAAUUUUUUUAUAAAGUAGAAUUUUGUGAUGGGUGAUUCUAAAUAUAUCAUCAUUUUUUCUCUUUAUCAAUUUUUUAAAUUUUAAGUGAAAUUACUUAUUUACCAAUCUUGUUUUAAUUGUAAAGCAUCUAUAUAUAACUUAUUGGAUUUUCAUAUCCGACAAGUUAAAAAAAGUUACAAUUAGGUUUGGAAAAAAAUUAAGAGAAAAUAUCUUGCAUAAAGUAUGAGAUUUUAAUACCAUUUAUAAAAUUUAAAAUCUCUAUUAAUCAUAUAUGAUGAAAUCGAAAUAUAUAUAAAUUAUCUCGUAUACAUGAAAUUUGUGAAACUAGAAAAUUGUCCUUUUUUUUUUUUUGUAUGUGAGGUUAUCAAGAUUUGAACUUUAAACUACUAAAAUUAAGAGUUCAACAUUUUACUAACAAACUACAUGGUUAUUUACUCAUUUAAUUUUAAAUCAAAGAAUCUCUUUAAAAUAUAUUAACAAUAAAAAACUAAAAAAUAAAAAAAUGCACAUACCAUGAGAUCUAAUAGUACAUUAGGAAUAAAAGCAUGAGAAAGAAGUUGCUUAAUCAACAAAUUGAUUGGGAAAAAAAAUCAACAAAUUAAAAAUUGUCUUUAUUUUUGCUGAAAAGUUAAAAAAAAAAAAUCUAAAGAACACAUUCAUUCCCACAUCUAUAACUUGUCUAUUUUGAAAAUUGUGAUUUUAUAAUGGUGGAAUAAGAAAGAAAAUGAUAGAUACUAUGGGAAUGCAUUGGUCUAGAUCUUAGUCUUUGCUUUAUACUUAGUAUUAGCAUCAAACACGCAAAUGUGUUAGUCUUUUUGCCCCUAUCUUUACUUCACAAAAAUAAUAAUUUUAGUAGUUGUUUCAAUCUAAAUCAUUAAAAAGACUAAAAUAUAAUAAUAAUAAUUACUAUACUUAAAAUCCUUUCCUAGUUUGCCAAUUUAAUUGAAAAACAAAAGACAACCACCAUUUAAAAAUUGUUAUGUUUUUUUUUUUUUUUUUUAAGAGACAAACUUGACUUAAACAAAUUACUAAGAAGAUUAUUCUUCACAGAGUAAUGAUGGGGCAAAAAAACUUAGACAUUUGCAUGAUGGGAAGGCUUGAAAGUAUAAAGUAAAGAAAAGACUAAAUAUCAAUAUAAAAAUCUUAUACUAUCAUUUUCUUUGUGAGUCCAAAAUUAGAAUAUCAAUUUUUUUUAUGAAGUAUAAUUUUGUGAUGGGUGAUUUUGAAUACACCAUCAUAUUUUUCUCUACAUCCACUCUUUAUUUUUUAAAUUUUUAAGUGAAAUUAUUUAUUUACUCAUCUUGUUUUAAUUUUAAAGCUUCUAGAUAUGCAUUUCUUAAAUUAUAUAACUUAUUGGAUUUUCAUAUCCAAUAAGUUGAAAUACAUUUAGGUUUGAAAAAAAAAUAGUUACGAGAAAAUAUCUUGCAGAAAGUACGAGAUUUAAUGUUUAUAAAAUUUAAAAACUUUAUUAAUGAUAUGUGGAGAAAUAUAUACAUAUAUAUAUAAAUUAUCUCGCAUACAAGAAAUUUUUUAAAUUAGAAGAUUUUUUUUUAAUAUGAGGUUGUCAGGGUUUGAGCUUUAAAUUAUUAAAACUAAGAGUUAUACAUAAACUAUUAAAACUAUUAAAAAUAGCCCUUAUAUUAGUGUUUGGAUGUUUGUAUGUAUGUAUAUGGUAUACAUAAACAUAGGCUUAAAAAAUAUGCUACAUACGAUGUUUCUAUAAAAAUUCAUGUAAUUGCAAAAUAAAAUGUAAAUUUCAAGCACUAUGCAUACAUAAAUCAUUUCUAAAAAAAUUCUAAAAAUUAAAUUCAAUAAAAUUAGAAUAUAACUUAAUAACCAGAAAUAAAAAAUACUAAAAAAGGCAAAUACCGAGAAUAUAAAAUUACUCAUGCAAAAUUAAUGCAUUAGCGAACCAUAUGAAGUUCUUGGUUGUUUUGUCUUAUUUACAAUAUGUUUGAAUGGAUUUUUGCUAUUUGCUAUUUGCUUCCGAAAGCAAAAAAGAAAAAAUUGCAUUUCCAUAAGCAAUAAAAUUUUGAAAUAUGUAAAAUUUUUAUGAUUAAUUACAUAAUUCUACUUCUAUAUAGACUAAAUGUGUUAUAAUUGAUUUUAUAUUUUAAUUAUUUUUUUCUCUUUUAGAUCAAUCAUGAUAUUGUAUUUUUACCUUUGGCUUUUCCUUUCUAGUAAUUUUUCUAAAGGCAAAAAGUAGAAACUCCAACUAGAUGGGAUCUUAUAGUUUCUUUUAUUCUCUUAGUUGUUUCUUUUAAGCAGGUGGGAGACAUAAUGAAACUUUAACCUUUUGGUAUGGAGUCAAAAGUUGGCAAGUAUUACAUUUAUAAGUAUCCAUUACAAACAAAUUAAUCAUUUACCGAUUAAAAUUUUGGUUAAAACUUACCCUGAAUAAAAGAUUUUCAAGUACAAAACUGUUUCUACUUUAUAGGACUUUUAUGUGGAAGGGCAACGAUAUACUCACCCAUGCAGGGGCCAAAAUUUUAUUAAUGUGAGGAAAAUUAUACUGAAAAAUAUCAUUACUGAAAUUGGAAGGUGUUCAGGACUUCUGCUAAGCCCCUUCACUUCCCUAUUGGAAAAGUUGUUUUUAUUCUGGCGGAUGUCUUUGUUUUCUUUCAUCCCAAAUAAUAAAUCUAUGACCAUGAAAUUCUUAACGCUUUCUCUUUCUUCAUGUACUAAGAAGAGCAUCAAGGUUGGGAAUUUGUCACUUCUUUUCCCACAAAAUGACAAUGAAACCGUCAAAAAACAUUUGGAUUCGACAUCCGCAGUGCCAUGUGGAGAUUGGAAGUGUUAUGUUAAGUAUGAAGGAGAAGAUCAGACAUCAGUAAGCUCUCAGCACUGUCAGGUAAUAAAGAAUGAGACAGCUUCAACAUCCUUAUCAUCAGAAGCUGUCUUUAUGCCAUAUGUAUGUCAAAUUUUCAAAGGUGAUGAUGAUUCUUUGGAGUACUAUAGCAAUUUUGCACGGAAGAAUGGAUUUUCAAUAACAAAAGCACGCUCCAAAGAAAGCUAGAAUUUAGGGAUCUACCAACGAGAUUUUAUCUGUUAUAGUUAUGGGUUUAAUCAACCAAGAAAAAAGGCCAAUGUGGAGCAUCCAAGAGACUGGAAUUCAGUGCGAUGUGGAUGUGAUGCAAAAUUUUAUUCGACAAAAGAAAUCAUCCAUGAUGUUACUCAAUAGUGUGUUUCACAAUUUAGUAAUGUCAAUAACCAUGAAUUAUUGGAAGAUGACCAAGUAAGUUUGCUUCCUGCAUAUCGGAAAAUUCAGGAAGCAGAUCAGGAAAGAAUUCUUUUACUCUCCAAAGCUGGGUUUCCUGUCAAUAGUAUCAUGAAGGUUUUGGAAUUAGAAAAGGGAGUCCAGCCCGGGCAGUUGCCUUUUGUCAUGAAGGGUGCUAGGAAUUUUGUACGGACUUGUGCAAAGACUGUUCAAGAAAGUGACGUUUUGCUUACCGAGAAAAAAGAAAAUGAUACAUUCGAACUUCUUGAGGCCUGCAAGGCUACGCAGAGAGGGAUGCUAAUUUUGUUUAUGAUUAUACUACAGAUGAAAAUAGUAAGGUUGAAAAUAUUGCAUGGUCAUACGGAGAUUCUAUUCGUGCAUAUACAGUAUUUAGUGAUGCUGGUACCUUUGACACUACAUAUUGUUCUAUCCCUUACGGAUUGCUUCUUGAAGUAUGGUUUGGUCUAGAUAAUCGUGGAAAGCCAAUUUUCUUUGUAUUACUGCAAGAUGAAAGUGUGUCAGUCUUUUUGCCCCCCAUCUUUACUUCACAAAAAUAAGUAUAAAGCAAAGACUAAAACUUAUCAUAGAAAUUAAGGAAAGCUUUUAAAAAGAAAAAAAAAUAAUGAAAGAAAGAUAAGUCUUAGUCUUUGCUUUGUACUUAGUCUUGACAUGAAACAUGUAAAUGUAUCAGUCUUUUUGCCCCACCUUUACUUCACCAAAAUAAAUAUAAAGCAAAGGUUAAAACUUGUCACAGAAAUUAAGGGAAGUUUUAAAAAGAAAAGAAACCAAAGAAAGAAUGAUAAGUCUUAGUCUUCGCUUUAUACUUAGUCUUAACAUGAUGCAUGCAAAUGUGUCAAGUCUUUUUGCCCCCAUCUUUACUUCAAAAAAAUCACAAUAAAGCAAAGACUAAGACUUAUCAUAGAAAUUAAGGGAAGUUUUAAAAAGAAAACGAAAGAAAGAAUGAUAAGUCUUAGUCUUUGCUUUAUACUUAGUAUUGGCAUGAAGCAUGCAAAUGUGUCAAUCUUUUUGCCCCUAUCUUUACUUCACAAAAUUAAUAAUAUUAGCAUUUACUUUCAUUGAAAAGACUAAAAUAUAGUAAUAAUAAAUAAUAUACUUAAAACCACUUCUCAAUUUGUCAAUUUAAUUGGAAGACAAAAGAUAACCUCCAUUAAGUAAAUUAUUGUGUUUUUUUUUAUCUUUUUUAAAAAGAUAGAAUUGACUCAAGCAAACUAUUAAAAAAAUUAUUUUUCAUAAAGGUAAGAAGACAUAGACAUCUGCAUGAUGAGAAGACUUUUAAAAAUAUAAAGCAAAGCAAAGACUUAAUACCAAUAAAAAAAAUCUCAUUCUAUCAUUAUCUUUGUGAGUCCAAUUUUGUGAUUCACUUAUGACAUAUAAUAUUUAUAUAUUGGUAAUGUAUCAAAUAUAAAUUAUUUUUAAAAUAAAAUAUGCUGAGAGUUGGAAAAAUAAUGAUAUCUUUUUGUUUAUAUUCAUUAAUCACUCAAUCCCAUUAAUAUGUAUAUAAUAUAUAUUUUUAAAAUUUUAUUAUAUAUUAUUUAUAAUUAAUUUUAAAAAUUAUUUAUUAUAUUUACAAUACAAUAUGGUAUUUGAUAUUAGAUUCUCAAAUUAUAAUACCUAUUUCAAUUUAACAAUUAUACUGAUAUAUAUUUUUUUUGAACUUUUACUUCGCAGCUUAUAAAUAUUCAACGCUUGACAUAUAUGUAAUAUUUUUUAAGUUUAUCCUUUUAUUUAUAAUUAAAUUUACAAUAAAGUUUUAUCAUCUUUUAUAAUAAAGAAAUAAUUAAUCAUUUUAAUGGUAACGUCUAAAUGUAGGAUUCCUUUUCAAGCUCUUUAUUAUUGUUACACUUAAGUGGUAAUAUCAGCAGCCACAUAGUAGGCCUUACACAUGGAAACCUAGUUAGCCACGUCAUCACCCACGAGAUAAAAAAGGUUGAAUCAUACCAUACAUGUGAUUCACUACUCAACUUUCUUUACUCUCUUUAGUUGCUUCCUGCUUUCUCUCAUUUCCUUGUUUCUGAUAUACCUUACUAACUUAAGUGUUGGAACAUAUGCUCCAAAAUAACUUCUUAAUCAUUUGAUAGAACGUAUUAAUUUAUAGGCAGAAAGAGGAGCAAUUUUUCUUUCUUUAAUCAAUAAUAAUUAUUCAUUUGUUCUAUCAAUGUAUGAGUUAUUAACAAAAUAACUUUCUCUUUACUUUUUAUUUGAUCAAUAGGAGUUUUAGCAAACAUUAAGUAUUAAACCAUAAUUAUCUUUUAAAUGAAUCAAAAGAUAUUUUCUUAAGUUAGAUAAUGACACUUGACUACAUCAUAUCUAACACUUCCAUAUAUAUUUAAUUAAAUUUAGUUUCGAUAACUGAAUCUAAAUCUAUUUAAAUAACUACUAUUAUCCGCUAAAUAUCUAAAUCAUUAAAAUAUUUGAUUAUUUAAGUUUUUUUAUUAAGAUAUAAAAUAAACAAAAUUAAUUUUAAAAUUCAAGUUCAAUUUUAGUAAAUAUCAAAUAAAGGUUGUUUUUUAACAUUCAAAACUUUUCACAACUAUAAAAUUUUAUAUAUUUUGCAUAUAUAAAUGAAUAAUGAAUUUGGAUAUUUAAUACUAUCUAUUAAAAUGUAAACAGAUUUAGAUAUUUUAUAUUUGAGAAGUAUUAUAUGAAUUCUAUCAAUAUCCAUCACAAAUAUUAAACCAAUUAUCCAAAAUCAUAAUUAUCCAUUUAUAAAUUUUUUAUCAGAACAUAAACAAAUUAGAUAAUACCAAAUAUAUGAUUAUUUAGUAUAUAUUGUCAUCUCUAAAUGAAGUCCAAGAGAGAAGCAAUCAAUUAAAUCUAAUGAAAUGGAUGGAAAGGUGAAGCAUGGUCUAAAGCUAAGCUCCUGUCUCCCAUUAUUUCCUGUGUCUUGACAUCAAUAUACAAGCGAAAUCUGAAUGCGUGGAAACUCAGUUUCAGCACUUUCAUUUUGUUGGCUAGAUAUUUCCUGCAUGCUUUCAUUUUUUGCCUUUGUUUCAUUUCAUUCAUACUUUUGCUUUAGAUUUUCAGGUUAGGUGGGCAAUAUUUUUACAACAUGUGAUGCCAUAUUACAACAGGUUUUGCAAUAAAAAAAAAUGCACCAAACGGUAUCAAUAUGACUAAACGAUAUCCCUUUUUCUUAAUUAUUAAUCUAUUGGUGCCAGGAUGACUAAACUUCGCUGUAGACCGAAGAAUAAAGCAUACUAUACUAUUAUUUAGAAAGAAACAAUACAUAUGAGGAAGUUGAUCGAGAGAAGAAAAGGAAAUUGAUCGGAGAAGAAUAAGAAGAAGAAACAAACUUAUUAAUUAGAAUUAAAAAAAAAAAAACGUUCCAUCUAAUUCCAAAUAACAGAGUUGAGUUGAAUAAUAAAUCUUUGUAAGUUUUACUUCCUUUUAGAAUCAAGUUUAGUGAAAAUUUUCACUAUUUUUUUAGUAGCGGAGAGGAUUUUUUGCUACUAAUAUACACGUAUCACUAUCACCUAAUUUUGAGAAAAUUAAUUUUUUUUAUUUAUUUAUUUUUUGUACAAAUGCAUAAUAUGAAAUAAAAAGUGGGAAUAAAGGAAAGAAUAUAAUGAUAAAGAUUAAUUUACAAAAGCAAAACUAUCAGCUUUAUCAUCAUUGAAACCCAUUAUUCAUUCUUUAAAAUUCAAAUGGACAACCAAUAAAUAUGUUUGUCUUCCACCUAUUUUGAUUCAACUCUUAUAGAAAAAGCUCAAACUCAUGAUUUGUAUAAACACGUGGUUGGAAAAAUACAUUUGAACAUAUCCCUUGAGAUCAAGGGAGAUAUAUAGCUACAAAAACAAUAUGUAAUAUGAAAUACUUGUCUAUAAAUACCGUGUAUGCAAAUAUUAAACUCCAUAAUCUUCCCUUCAUUUUUUUUUCCAUAGAGAGCUAGCAAAACAUGAAGAAUCUUCAUAUCCUAAUUCCACUUUUUUUGCCUACCUUAUUUCUCUUCUCAUUCUCCUUAUCUCUUGUGCUAUCUUUUUCCCCUUCUCAUACUCAUCUUCAAAACCACUGCCUUGAUGACCAAAGAUCUGCUCUGCUACAAUUGCACCAUGAUCUGUACUAUGCCCCCAAUUUUACUUUCUCUUCCAAAGCUGAGCUUUGGGAUCUCAACACUGAUUGUUGCUUUUGGAAAGGAAUUACAUGUGAUGCUAUUGGUCAUGUGAUUGGGAUUGAUCUCAGUUAUAGAAACCUUUCAGGCAGCUUUUACUCCAUUUUCAAUCUCCAUCAUCUUCAACUCCUUAAUCUUGCUGGAAACAAUUUUAAUACCACUUUGUUUCAAUAUGAGUUUGAUAAACUCCCAAAUCUAACUCAUCUCAACCUUUCAAACUCAUGUUUCCAUGGCCAAAUUCCAAUGGAGAUUUCACAGUUAACAAGGUUAGUCUCUCUUGAUCUAUCUAAUCAAGAUUCUUGCUAUCUAAGAUACCCACUGCCUUCUGUAUUUAAACAACCUCUUAAACUAGAAAACCCAGACUUCAAGACAUUCAUCCAAAAUUUGAAGCCACUUACAGAGCUCUACUUGGAUAGUGUGUAUAUUUCAACUCAAAGUACUAAAUGGUGCGAAGCAACAUCCACGGUUCUUCGUAACCUGCAUGUGUUAAGUUUGUCAAAUUGUGGUUUGACAGGUCCAUUUUGCUCUUCACUCUUAAGACUUCCUUUUCUUUCUAACCUUUUCCUUGCUGGGAAUCCCAUCUCUUAUUUGCCUCCCAAUUUCUUGAAAAUCAAAUCUCCUUUGGUUUCUCUCAGUUUAGUGAGUUGCAAUUUGAGUAGGUAUUUUCCAACAGAAAUUCUCUUGUUGCCAAAAAUGAAAAGCAUUGACAUUUCAGAAAAUUACGCUCUUGGAGGUCAGUUGCCAGAAUUUCCAUUAAACAAUGCUUUACAGAUCUUAACGAUUUCUUCUACAAAUUUCAGUGGCAAACUACCAGAAUCAAUUGGUAAUCUCAAAUUCUUGACAAAUUUAGAUCUCAAUGGUUGCAAUUUCUUUGGACAAAUUCCAUCAUCAAUUGCAAAUCUUACUAACCUUGUGAAACUGGAUAUAUCCUAUAACAAUUUCAAUGGUUUUAUCCCUGCAUUUCAUAGAUCUGGAGUUCCAAAUCUUGCAUAUCUAUAUUUGCAGGGGAACCACCUCUCUGGAUCAAUACAUUCUUCUUUAUUUGCUCUCCCAUCAUUGCAGGCCUUGGAUCUCAGUGAAAAUCAAUUGUUUGGUGAAAUUGAUGAGUCCCUCAAUGCAUCUUCUUCAUUGAUUGAAACAUUGUAUUUAGGCUACAAUAGCUUUAGUUCCAUGAAGCUUGACAUGUUCUUCCAACUCAAGAACUUAAGGCGUCUUGACCUUUCCAAUAUGAGCUUAUCAAUUGAAAGCAAUAUCACAAGCCUGACUUUUCCCCAAUUAGAGGAGCUAGACCUAAGUUCAUGCAACUUUACUGAAUUUCCAGAAUUCAUCAAAACACAAGACAAGUUGGCUUCUCUAGAUCUCUCUAACAACCAAAUCCAUGGUUUUGUGCCUAAUUGGUUGUGGAAGACCACUCUUUCAUGGUUAGACAUUUCUUUUAAUGCGAUUGACUUUCCAAAAGAGAUUCCUUUUGGUGACGCAAAUUCCUCUUUUCCAAUGUUGAGUAGUUUAGAAUAUCUUGACCUUUCAAAUAACAAAAUAAGUGGUGCAGUACCAAACUGGGUGUGGAAGAAAAGUUUGUGGCAUCUGGAUCUUUCUAACAAUUCUCUCUCAUCUUUGGACCAAUUUUCACUAAUCCAAUCUCAAACUUCUUCACAAGGCUUUUUAGCAAGAUCUAUUUGCAAUUUGAGUCAACUUGAGAGGUUUAAUGCGUCCUUUAACAAAUUAAGCGGGCCAAUCCCAAGUUGCUUGGGCAAUAUCAGUACUCUCAGCUAUUUGGAUCUAAAAAAUAAUAAUUUCAGCGGCAGCAUACCAGAUUUUGCAAAAGCAACCCAAUUAAUUUUGCUUCAACUCAAUGACAAUAUAUUGGAAGGGAAGUUGCCAAGGUCAUUAGCCAAUUGCACAAUGCUCAAAGUUUUAAACCUUGGAAACAAUACUCUGUAUGACACAUUCCCUUUAUGGUUGGGAAAAUUGCCUUGGUUGGUGGUUCUUAUAUUGCGAGUAAAUAGGUUUUAUGGUCCAAUUAAAAAUGUGAAAAAAAAUUUUCAAGACUUAGAUGUUCUAGACAUUGCUUUCAAUAAUUUUUCUGGUCAAUUACCAGUUCAAUAAAGUGUUUAUAAAAUUGAUGUAUGUUCAAAUUAUUCAAUACUUAAAAACUAAAAAAGUAAAAACUAAUAACAUGUUAUGUUAACUGUUGAGUUAAGAAUAAUCUAGUGCCCACUUAACAUAAGAUCAUCUUUAAGGGUCCUUUUGGAUUUCUUAGUAUAUUUGGUGCGAUAGAAUUUAGGCUUAAAUACGGAUUUAUUAGUAUUUUUAAUUUUGUAAAAAUUUAUUUUUCUUUUCAUUCAAAUUGUUAUUAAGAUCUAACACAAUAUUUUAUUAUCCUUUCUAUUAUAAAAGAAAAUUAUAUUUUGGUACAUAAUGCUCAAUAGAUAACAUACUUUUUACAUAUAAAAAAGAAAUAAUGAAUUUAAGUAUAAUCAUAUUUUGUUUUAAUUCUAUUUCAAAAUUUAUAUUAACAUUUAAAAUUUAUAUCUUUUUCUUUUGAAUUUAAUUUCUAAACACAGAUUUAAUUAACCAAAAAAACUCUCUUUCAUUGAUCUAACAACAACAAUGAAGAAGCAAUCAUAGAGGAAAGAAAAACUAAUACCUUGAAAACAAAAAUAAGAAUUUAGGGCUUUUAUCAAAAUUUUUUUCAAAAAGAUUGUAAAAAAAUUCAUACAUAUAAAUAAAAUUAAUAAUCAACCAAAAAAGCAAAAUUAAUUACCCGAAUUCGUAAUGAUAGGCCUAUUGGAUCAAAAGACCUGGCUUUUCUUAAAUAGGCUGAGUCCAUUAAUACCAAAAUGGGCCUUUCUCCUGACUUUUUCAAUAAAACACAAUGAUCGAUUCCCAAUUCCGCAAUUUUUUUAAUCAUAAACUGAUUGAAGAAAAGUAUGCAAAGCAAUAGGAAAGCAAAAUUAAAAAAAAAAAAAAAAAAGUUGCCAAAAGGGGUUUAAAGUUAGGGGGUUUUAAUCAAUUUUUCCCCGUCUUUUUCUUUUUUCUUUUUCCAGGUAAAAAUUUCCUCAUGCCCAGUUUUAUUUUCAAUCUUAAAAAAUUCUUUUUUUUUUUACUGUAAAAUAUGGGUAUAUUUUUAUUGAUUUUAUCUCUUGUUUUUAGAGUGACACUUAAAUUCGAGAGCUGGAGCAAUUGUAGCUAAUUUUUGGAAAUCCCACAUUGGCAAAGGCAGGGUAUUUCAUUUUUUUUUUAUUUCUUUUUUCUAUGAUCUUUGUUAGACUAUCACUGUGUAGAAAAUUCUAUUUUUAGCUAAGCAUAACACUUCUUUUUUUUUUUUUCCAAUAUUUGUGUUUUUUAGGCUUUAUUAUGUGUUGAGUCUGUUCUGUUUUACCCAUAUUUCAUUUAUGUUUAUGAUUUGAAUUGAGUUACUUUGUGAAAAGAAACAUUGAGUUACGCCAAGUACUUUGUGAAAAUGAAUAUUAUGUCAAAUUUGGUGCAAAAGAAUAAUUAUUGCAGUUUUGUAUCUCUUGUUAUUAUGGGGAAGAAUGGGAAAAAGAAUUAAAAUGAAAUAGUUGGGUGGAAAGUAUUAGCUUUUAUGGACUGCUAACUUGUAAUCAUCAUUUCUUUAAUUGUACAUCUUGCAUUUUCCAACAAUUGAAUGGAUUGAGUAUUUGGGGUUUCCAUGUCAUUAGUUUCAAGUAUCUGGUAUAGAUAAGUUUCAUCAAUGUUUUCUAUUUCCAAAAUAAAUUAAUAUAUAUGACAUAACAGGUUCUUUAUAUGACAUAAAUUUACUCAAAAUUUAUUAAGUUUAUCAUAGACAUAAAAAAAAAAGUUUUUUUUUUUAUAAAGAACAAAGAAAGAAGGAUAAGUCUUAGUCUUUAUAUUUAGUAUUGACAUCAAGUAUGUAAAUGUGUGGUCUUUUUUCCGUUAUCUUUACUCUACAAAAAUAAUAAUCAUAGCAAAUGCUUCAGUCUAAGUUAUUAAAAAGACUAAAUAUAACAAUGAUAAUUAAUAUAUUUAAAACAAUCUGCUAAUUUAAUUGGAAGACAAAUAAUAACCCAUAUGAAUAUUAACAUCCACACAUUAAUUAUUAAUAAAAUAUAAAUAUUUUUUAAAAGUAUACCACUUAUGCCUUCAAUUUAAUAUGUUAAUGAUAUAAAUUAUGUAAUUUUUAAUGAUUAUUUUUAAUAUUUAAUUUUGAUUUUAUUUCAUUAUUAGAACUAUUAUUGAUAGAAUUAUUGUUAUUAACAAAAUAUAAUUAUAUUGAUAUUUGCAUGUAUUAAAAUAUUCAAUUAAUAUUAAUUAUUAAAAUCAUCAAAUAAUUAAUUAUCUCACAUUAUAAUUUUUCUAUUAAUUCUUUUGAAUGGGUUGUGGAGGGCAAAAUGAAAAAGUGGGUUUAGGCCUUAAUUAGCCCUUACCAUGUGAAGCAACAAAUCCCUCGUAGGAAAAACAUAUACGACAAAGCUUCAAAUCUAUUGGAUUAUUAACUUUCUUUUUUAAUUUGGGAAAAUGACCUUAGAACCGUGCUUCAAAGAAGAGUGUGUAUCAAUUAUUUGAGUUAAAUGCUCGAAUGCCACUAAUUUUUAUUUUAAAUAUAGAAUAUAUAUAGGGAAAUUACUAAUUAUAUUGUCAAUAUAGUUUUUUAACUUUAUAAGCAAGAUUUAAGGAUGUCAAUGGAUAGAAUAUGGAGUGGAUAGAGCAUUCUCUAUCCUAUUUCUGAAUUUAAUAUUAUAUCCAUCCUUGUGUUAUGCUUUAACUUAAGAAAAUGAUAAGUCUUUAUCUUUGCUUUGUACUUAGUCUUGGUAUGAAGCAUGCCAAUGUGUCAGUCUUUUUGCCUCCAUCUUUACUUUUAUAAAAAUAAGUAUAAAGCAAAGAUUAAGACUUAUCAUAGAAAUUAAGAAAAAUUUUUUAAAAGAAAAAAAAUGAAUGAAUGACAAGUCCUAGUCUUUGCCUUAUACUUAGUGUUGGCAUGAAGCACAUGCAAAUGUGGUAGUCUUUUUGCUCCGAUCUUUACUUCACAAAAAAAAAAGCAUAAAAUAAAGAAUGACUUAUCGUAGAAAGUAACGAAAGUUUUUAAAAAGAAAAAAAAAAAGAAAGAAUAAAUUAUAACUCUUAGUCUUUGCUUUAUUCUUAGUUUUGGCAUGAAACAUACAAAUGUGUCAAUCAUUUUGCCUCAUCUUUACUUCACAAAAAUAAGUAUAAAGCAAAGAUUAAGAGUUAUCAUAGAAAUUAAUGGAAGUUUUAAAAGGAAAAGUAAAACCAAAGAAAGAAUGAUAAGUCUUAGUCUUUGCUUUACACUUAGCCUGGGCAUGAAGCAUGCAAAUGUGUCAGAUUUUUUGCCCCCAUCUUUACUUAACAAAAAUAAGAAUAUUAGUGUUUACUUCAGUCUAAGCCAUUGAAAAGAUUAAAAUAUAAUAAUAAUAAUUAAUAUACUUAAAAUUCAUUAUUAGUCUUUCAAUUUAAUUGGAAGACAAAAGAUAACCUUCAUUAAGUAAAUUAUUGUAUUUUCUUGUCUUUUCUAAAAGAUAAAAUUAACUUAAGCAAACUACUAAGAAGAUUAUUUUUCAUAAAGUAAUGAUGGGACAAGAAGAUUUAAACAUUAACAUUAUGUGAUGACUUAAAAGUAUAAAGCAAAAAAAAAAUACUAAAUACCAAUUCAAAAAUCUCAUACCAACAUUAUCUUUGGAAGUCUAAAAUUAAAAUAGCAAUUUUUUUAUGAAGUAUAAUUUCGUGAUUCACUUAUAGCAUAUAAUAUUUAUAUAUUGAUAAUGUAUUAAAUAUAAUUUUUUAAAAAUAAAAUAAGUUGAGAGUUUGAAAAAUAAUUAUAUCUCUUUGUUUACACCCAUUAAUCACUCAAUCCCAUUAAUAUUAGAAUAUUUUUUAAAAAUUUUAUUUUAUAUUUAUAUAUUAUUUGUAAUUAAUUUUAAAAAAAUAUUUAUUAUAUUUCCAAUACGAUGUGAUACUUGAUAAUAAAUUCUCAAAUUACAAUACCUAUUUUAGUUUGACAAUUAUACUGAUAUAUAUAUUUUUUGAACUUCUACUUUGUGGCUUAUAAUUAUGCUGAUAUUCAAGUUCGAUAUUUAUAUAUAUAUAUAUAUAUGUAACUCUUUUUUUUAAGUUUAUCAUUUUAUUUAUGAUUAGAUUUAUAAUAAACUUUUAUCAUCUUUUAUAAUAGAGAACUUAUUAAUCAUUCUAAUGGUAAGGUCUAAUGUAGGAUUUAGUCGGUGUCAUUUUCUUUGUUCAUUUUUAAUGAAAAUGUUAUUAUCUUUUAACCUCUCCAUUAUUGUUACACAUAAGUGGUCAUAUCAACAGCCACAUAGUAUAUCUUAUACAUGGAAACCUAGUUAGUCGGAUCAUCACCCACAAGGUAAAAAACGUAAAAUCAAACCAGACAGGUAAUUCACUAAACUCUCUUUAUUCUAUUUAACUGCAUCCUGCUCCCUAUCAUUUCCUUUCUUUUGGUAUACUUUACUAAUUUGAGCAUCAAAGUAUAUGCCCUGAAAUAACAUCUAGAUCAUCAGAUAGAACACAUUAAUUUAUAGGCAGAGAGAGGAGCAAUUUCUUUCUUUAAUUAUAAUCAUUAUAAUUCAUAUGUUCCAUCAACAUAUGAGUUAUUAAUAAAAUUAACUCUUUAGUUUAUAUUUGAUCAAUAGGUGUUUUAGCAAACAAUAAGUAUUAAAUCAUAAUUGUCUUUUAAAUUAUGAUUCAAAUAAGUUAUGGAAUUAAUUUUGAUCCAAGGAUCUAAAAAAAUAUAAGAUUACAUUAGUGUAAGUUGAUCCCUAUUAUAUAUAUAUAUAUAUAUAUGUUUUUUUUUUACAAAAUUGAUAUAUAUAUAUAUAUAUACACGUGUGUUUAUAUAUAUUUAUGUGUAAAAAGUAUAUGUUUAUAUUAUAAACUUUUACGAUUAUAUAUAUUUAUUCAAAUAAGUAUAAUGAUAGAAAUAUCACUUUUAAGUUAUAUAAUACAAUAACAAAACAAGUUUAAUAAAGAUGGUUUUAGGUUAAAUUGGAUUUUACCUAAUUGAAAACUUGCCAAUUUGCCAUUCGCAUAAGUUUACCGACAAAAGAGAUUAAGAUUAGGAAAAGAAAAUUUAUAAAUACUGAAAAUUAAACCUUAUUUUACUAGAAUUCACUUUUUAAGAGAGAUAAAUAAACCAUUUGAGUAAAGCUUUAUGUUUUUAUUUUAAUUCACAUACAUAAACNNNNNNNNNNNNNNNNNNNNNNNNNNNNNNNNNNNNNNNNNNNNNNNNNNNNNNNNNNNNNNNNNNNNNNNNNNNNNNNNNNNNNNNNNNNNNNNNNNNNNNNNNNNNNNNNNNNNNNNNNNNNNNNNNNNNNNNNNNNNNNNNNNNNNNNNNNNNNNNNNNNNNNNNNNNNNNNNNNNNNNNNNNNNNNNNNNNNNNNNNNNNNNNNNNNNNNNNNNNNNNNNNNNNNNNNNNNNNNNNNNNNNNNNNNNNNNNNNNNNNNNNNNNNNNNNNNNNNNNNNNNNNNNNNNNNNNNNNNNNNNNNNNNNNNNNNNNNNNNNNNNNNNNNNNNNNNNNNNNNNNNNNNNNNNNNNNNNNNNNNNNNNNNNNNNNNNNNNNNNNNNNNNNNNNNNNNNNNNNNNNNNNNNNNNNNNNNNNNNNNNNNNNNNNNNNNNNNNNNNNNNNNNNNNNNNNNNNNNNNNNNNNNNNNNNNNNNNNNNNNNNNNNNNNNNNNNNNNNNNNNNNNNNNNNNNNNNNNNNNNNNNNNNNNNNNNNNNNNNNNNNNNNNNNNNNNNNNNNNNNNNNNNNNNNNNNNNNNNNNNNNNNNNNNNNNNNNNNNNNNNNNNNNNNNNNNNNNNNNNNNNNNNNNNNNNNNNNNNNNNNNNNNNNNNNNNNNNNNNNNNNNNNNNNNNNNNNNNNNNNNNNNNNNNNNNNNNNNNNNNNNNNNNNNNNNNNNNNNNNNNNNNNNNNNNNNNNNNNNNNNNNNNNNNNNNNNNNNNNNNNNNNNNNNNNNNNNNNNNNNNNNNNNNNNNNNNNNNNNNNNNNNNNNNNNNNNNNNNNNNNNNNNNNNNNNNNNNNNNNNNNNNNNNNNNNNNNNNNNNNNNNNNNNNNNNNNNNNNNNNNNNNNNNNNNNNNNNNNNNNNNNNNNNNNNNNNNNNNNNNNNNNNNNNNNNNNNNNNNNNNNNNNNNNNNNNNNNNNNNNNNNNNNNNNNNNNNNNNNNNNNNNNNNNNNNNNNNNNNNUGAGGAAAUUUUUACCAGGAAAAAGAAAAGAAGAGGGGGAAAAAUUGAUUGAAAAUCCCAUAACUUUAAACCCCUUUUGACAACAAUUUUCUUUUAUUUUGCUUUUCUAUGUUAAUUGCUUUGCGUAUCUUUCUUCAAUCAGUUUAUAAUUCCAAAAAAUUACCAAAUUGGGGAAUCGAUCAUUUGUGUUUUAGUGCAAAGGAAAGCCCGAUUUCGGUACUAAUGGACCCAGCCAUGUAAGAAAAACUGUGUCUUUUGACCCAAUAGGCCUAUCAAUACCGGUAAUUAAUUUUGCUUUUUUUGUUGGUUAUUAAUUUUAUUUAUAUGUAUGAAUUUUUUUUUACAUUUUUUUUUUGAAAAACAAACAUUUUUAGAGCCCAAAAUUCGUAUUUUUGUUUUUCGAGGUAUUAGUUUUUCUUUUCCUCUAUGAUUGUUACUUUAUUGUUUUUGUUUGAUCAAUGAAAGAGGAUUUUUUUUGUUAAUUAAAUUUAUUUUUAGAAAAUUUGAAUUAAAACAAUUAUAUAAAUUUCAAAACUUAAUAUAAAUUUUGAAAUAGAAUUAAAACAAAAUUUAAUUAUACUUAAAUUCAUGAAUUUUUUUUUAUACAUAAAAAGUAUGCCAUCUAUUGUGUAUUAUAUACCAAAAAUAUAUAUAUUUUUUUUGUAUAAUGGAAAGAGUAAUAAUAUUGUGUUAAAUAUCUUUUUGUUUUCUUAAUAAAAAUUUGGAUAAGGAGUGAAAUUAAUUUUAGUAAAAUUAAAAAUAAAGACAAUGAUAAAAUUAAUUAUUGUAGUAGUGAAAUUAAAUAUGAUAAUUGUAAAAUUAAAAUUAAAGAUGAAAUAUAUCUUAAAUACAAACACAAAGAUGACAAUAAAUUUAUAUUUUAGCCUGAAUUCAAUGGCAUUGAGUAAGGAAUCUAAAUGGGCCUAAAUAGUUUUUUAGAGAUGAUCUAAUUUUAAAUAGACAUCAAAUUAUUCUUAAUUUAAUAUUACUUUCUAUUUUUAAGUAUUGAACAAUUUGAACAUACAGCAACUUCAUUUUCAUUGAGUUUUAUUUAUAUGUAUUUUUAAGAAAAUUGAAGUCACUUUUUCAGUUUUUUAUUUAGUUCCUCACCAUUGCUUUAUUACAAUAAAAAUUAUGUAAUUUAAGAAUAAAUAAUUAUUCUUAAAUUACAAAAUUUUUAUUAUGAACGUACACAUUUGAAGGCAUAGAUGGUAUACUUUCAAAAAAAUAUUUGUAUUGUUAUUAAUAACUAAUGCGUUCAUAUUAAUAUUCAUAUACGUUAGCAUUAAUGUUUAUGUUAUCAAAUUAUUUAUUUGCAAAGUUUGAUUCAAUUAUUAAUAACAAAGCUCACAAUUUAUAUCAUAUUUUGGUCAAAUUUAUUUUUAAAUGAGUAUAUUGUAUUUGUAACAUAUAUUAUAUAGAUCGUAUAUAGGAUUUAAAAUCAAUCAUAAUUACUAUAUUUCUAAUAAUAAUUAAUAUUAAUUAAAUUUUUUACUUUUAUUCACAUUAAUUUUAUUAUUGUUGAUAUGAUUUUCGUAUUUAUUCAUUUUUUUCCAAUGAAAUCAUUAUUCAUUUACUUAUAUAACAAAGUUAAUAGGAAUUUUAUAACAUAUUACUUAAUUACAAUCUUUUUUAAAAAUUAUAUUUUUGAAAAAGUUCAAAUAGCUAUUUUAUUAUUUAUUUCUCCCACACCCUAUUUUCCCUCUUUCCUUUUUCUCUAUUCAAUUUUGUGAUGCCAUUCAAUUAACUGGUUGAACUUUAAUAAUAUGUAUAGAUAGAUAAAAAGAAGAAGAUAGGAUACAGAGAAGUUGCUGAAAUUUUGAGCACCAGUCAUAGUUACAGUAUAUUAUGCACAAAAAAUUAUCAUUGUACAAAAGGAAAAAGGGAAGUAAAGGAGGAAAUCUCACAUUCAAUAUAACCUCAAAAUAUUAUUUAUCAAUGCUUCUUAAUUUUGUAUUAUUAUUAACAUUGAAUUUGCUGCCUUCAAAAUCCAAAUCACUCUGGUGGCUCCAGCAGUGAGGAGAUGAGAUGAAUGAACCAAGCAGCGGGCCGUAACUGGCUUCUCUUUUAUCUCAUCUUCUUGAAAAUCAUCUUUUUUUUUUUUUUUUUUUUUAUGUUCCCUUAACUAAAACCCCAAUAAUUGCUUUCACUUACUGUUAAUGUUUAGCUCUUAUGAUGGUAACUUCAGAGCCAUAGUUGUAUGAACUAAAGACAGGUUCAUUUGGUUUAGGAAUCCGAAUGUGGUGCUGUCCAUAGCAUAGAAAGCAUUCCCUUGAGAACUUCAAUCGAAAAAGGUUAUUAAAAUAACUUAGCAUACUAAACUUCCACAAUGAUAUAGAACUCUUUUGUAUUUUUUACGACUAAAAUUUUUUAAACAUUUUGUGCAAUGAGGUUAAUGUUUUCUUGUUAAUGCUUACGUUUUAGAUUAGGCAGGGGAUUUGAACAACAAGAAUCCAUUCCAGGGAGCAAGAAUACAGGCUAGAUGAUCAGGAGAAGCUUCUAGCGGCAAAUGUCUUAAGCACUAACUUAAGAACACAGGCAAUGAGGCUUUCAUCAACCCCAAGUCAUCAAAUAUCCUCCACCCGCACAAAACUUCCAAAAUAAAUGCCGAGCUAAAACUCAAAACAGGCUAAAUUGAAAAUUGCAGAAGGCUUGACAAAAUGACCAGUGAUUCAAAGCAUAUCAUGUCUUCAGAGGUCCAUGAUUUCUGACAUGAAUUGUUCAAAGAAGAGGAUUGGCUGCCAAGAUGCAUGGAGUUUAGUCCCUGAAAGUAAAAUGUAAUUAGAUGUUUUAAGAGAAAGUGGGGAAAAUAUAAUCAAGAUUUUAUCAUUCCUUUAUGUCCAAAAAAAGAUUCAAUUAUUUGAAUUUUAUAACUUUAUUUAUUAACUAUGGAUUAGUAGUUAUAUCAGAACAAUGCUUGGCAGAUCAUUUUGUAUAUUUGACUGUAUAUCUAGUAAUGAAUGACCAUUUCUCCUAUUUGAUAGAGAACAAAUUACCGAAAGGAUUUACUUGAAUCAUGAAGAUGUGAGUAUAUGUAGGUCAUCAUCCAAGCAACCAAGGUACUCUCUUGGUAGUGGUCCAUGGUGGAUACCUGAUGCAAUUUUCAGUCCUACCUUGGGUGGUUUUCACUUUCAAAUGUGAGUCAUUAGUACCUCUUUCAUGCAACGACUUGAAGUUGAGAGGGAAAGGCCAUUUGCUUGUGCCUGGACAUAUGAUGCAGCUGAAGCAGCAAUUAUGUAAGUAACAUCUACGCGGAAUAAGCCUUUAUUCAGAAAUCAUAUGCUUUUCCGAACUGUAUUCUGGCAAUCCAUGCUUUCUUUUCCAAGAAAUAUGUUGGCCCUGGUAUCUUCUCAAACCAUUGGCCUGAAGCUGAGAAACAAAAAUCAAGGCUUUUAUACUCAUAAGCUCUAUUUUAUAGAACUAUAGCUUACAAGAAAACAUUUAUUUAUUUAUUUAUUUUUACUGUGUGUGGUGAGUGCGGAAGCAGAGAAACAAUUGAUGAUUUUGGAUUAACAUGAAGAAAAUACUCUAAAGUAAUUAGCUAUAAAAUGUUAGGGAAAACCUAUCAAUUGGCAGUACAGAUGCAUUCCUGGAUCUCUUAUAUGAAAAUAAGCCACGUCGGAUAAAAGGGCAGCAACAAAAAUGAUUUUGGCUUCGAAGAAUAACACCUACACCAGAAAUCUUGAAAAGGACUCACACUUCAUCUCCAUUUGCAUCAUGAUCAAGGACUCUGUCUCAACAAAUUUCUCAACAAAUCUUGAGAUUUCCACCCAAUUCUCUAUUCUCUUGUUCAUUAUUUCAGGCUCAGUCACUGCUCUACAUGCCAUGUAGCUUGGUUUAGACUUCAGAUUCCUAAACUACAAAAUGGUAAAAAAAUUACUGAUAAUGAACGGCCUAAACGAAAGUUGAUGAAGAAUGACAAUGCUACAAGAACAAAUAUGACAUGAUAAUGAAUUAUUAGGCAAUCAGAUAGAACUUUUUAGAUAGACCAACCAUGCAAAAUCGGAAAUAUACCACAAUUAGUAACAACACAUUUGGGUUAUUAACUAUUCCAAAAUGCUUACUUGUUGAGACUGAAAAUUGAAUUCUGAUGGAAUCACCUUGAUCUUCUCCUAUUCCUUUUGUAGCAGUCAAGCCAUUUGUUUCCCAUCUCAUUCAGCACUGUAUAUCCAAUAGAUAAUCCAAUCACCAAUCCACAUGCAUACCCAAUCAAUACGAUUCUCCAAUCAGAUAAACCAUCUAGCCAUGAAUCUACAUCUUCCAUUGGAGGAGGCAUUGGAACAGCAGCUCCAUUGCAUUUCCUUGUCAAAGGUGGCCCACAUGAUCUUGGGUUCCCUUUGUAAGAAUCGUUCGAAAAUGUACCGAAUUGAUUGCUUUGCUGUAUGCUUCCUUCAAAGGGAAGCAUUGACAUUUCAAACAAUGACCAUCUGAUGGAAGAGUAAAUAAAGAAGAAUGUAUUGAUUCAGAGAGGCGGUUCCCCGACAAAGAAAGAUGCAAGAUUUGAAACUCCAGAUCCAUGAAAUGCUGGGAUAAAAUCACUGAAAUUGUUAUUAGAUAGAUCCAGUUGCACAAGGUUAGUAAGAUUUGCAAUUGAUGAUGGAAUUUGCCCGGAGAAAUUUGUAGUCAAAAUCGAUAAGAUCCGUAAAGCAAUGUUUAACAAAAUUCUGGCAACUGACCCAUCAGAUGGUCAUUGUUUGAAAUGUCAAUGCUUUGUAUUUUGGCAAUGAAAGAACUUUUGUUGGAAAAUACACACUCAAAUUGCAAUUCACUAAACUGAGAGAAACCAAACUAGAGGAAAUUUCCAAGAAAUUAGGAGGCAAAUAAGAGAUUGGAUUCCAACCAAGGAAAAGUUUGGAAAGAAAGAUAGUCUUGAGAGUGAAGAACAAAAUGCACUUGUCAAAUUACAUUUCGAUAGACUUAAAAUAUGCAAGUUAGGAAGUGCUAUGGAUGUGGCUUCACACCAUUUACUACUUUGAGUUGAAAUGUUCACACUAUCUAGACGUUUGCAAGGGGUCUUAAAUUUUGGAUUAAUGUCUUGAAGUUUGGGUUUUCUAGUUUUAGAGGUUGUUGAAGUUCAAAAGGCAAUGGAUAGUAGUAGAAGUUAUUGUAUGGAUGGAGAAUUUGGUUAUACCGUUGAUAGCAAGAAUCUUGAUUAGAUAAAUCAAGAGAGACUAACCUUGUUAAGUAUGAAAUCUCCACUAGAAUUUUGCUAUGAAAACAUGAGUUUGAAAUGUCAAGAUGAGUAAAAUUUGAGAAUCUGUCAAACUCAUAUUGAAGCAGAGUGAUAUUAAAAUUGUUCCCAACAAAAUUAAGGUAUUGAAGAUGAUGAAGAUUGAAAAUGGAGUGAAAGCUACCAAAAAGGUUUUUGUAACUGAAAUCGAGCUCAAUCACAUGACCAGAAGCAUCGCAUGUAAUUCCUUUCCAAUAGCAACAAUCUAUAUUGGGAUCCCAAAGCUCAACUUUGGAAGAGAAAGUAAAAUUUGGGGCAUAGUUUAUUCUUACAUUACAUUACAUUCACAUUUUCUGCCCAACACUUGGCAACAGUAUCCUAAAUAAUGUUGAAGACAAAUGGACAGGUGAUCAUCUUCAAACCGAUUUGUCUUUUUUUUUUUUUAUAAUGAUUAUUUAUUUAAUUAACAUUAAUGUCUAUGUACGCGAGCAUAUAAUUAAAUCUAUUAAGAAGAAGUUUUGGAUUUAUAUAUGUAUGCUGAAAGCUAUUUGAACCAGAAAUAAAUUUUAAAAAAUAGUGCAAGAAAAUAUCAUUAAACAAUGCAUGGGUUCAAUCCUUUAAGGGCAUUCAAAUUGGAAAUUGAUCAAGCAAUUCCUGAAGAAAUGCACUCUUUGAUAUUUUGUGUAUCCUACCAACUACCACAUUUUUCCAUUGGAGACAAGAGAGAGUUCCAAUCUAUCAUAAUCAAAACUUGAUGUAUCAGCUAGAUAUAUCAUGUUUAUUGUUGUGGAAGUUACAAGCAAGUUCUUUUUAAAAAUAAUAAAAUAUAACCACAUAAAGUUCUUGCAAUACUUUUAAUUCUAAAUAAAAAAAGACCCAAUGUUAGGAUAUUUUAGAUGUAUACCAUUAUUUCUGUUGCCCUCUUGCAUCCACAGGCAUGGUUUCUUGAUUUUGCAAAAAUAUGGAGCCCAUUUUUUUUUAACUUGAAACUAUUAAAAAUUAAAUUUUAUUUUUUUACUUAAAACUGUUAAAAAUUAAAAUUUAAUAUUUAAAGCAUCAAAUAUUUUAUAAAUAGAUUACAAUUUUUAUUGACGGAACACAUUAUUUCAAGAUAAAUUAAUAAUCUAAAAAUAUGUCUUUGUUGAUUUCAAAAACCAUAAUAUUCGUUUUUUUAGCUUAGUACUAAGAGAGUGAUUUAAACGUGUAUGAAAGGGUUGAAUAUGCAACCUAUUCACUUAUCAAAUCUUAUUUAACGAAUUUGAUGAUUACUUUGCAGAAUGUUUAGCCACACAAUGUUUUUAGUCUCACAUUUUGCUUGAAAUGUAGAGAUUAUGAUUAAAAUCCUGUUACGAAACAAUCAAUUAAUAAACUAAUCAGCCUGUCAAGAUAAAAAAUCUGACCGGCCGACUGACUAACUUGUAAUAAUGAAUUUGGUCAAUGCAUUUUCUUUUUCUUAUUUUUAAGUACAAAUACUUAAUUACUAUGUAUUAAUUGAUGAUAAAAUUUAAAUAUGAUAAUACUAAAUACAAUACAGUCAUAUAAUUCAAAAUAAAACAUAAAAGCAAUACAAUUCAAUAUGUAAACAAAAAUUAUAUGAGUUCAAUAAAAAUAAAAAUAUAUAUUUUAUAUUUGAUUUGUUAAUAUGAAUUAUGACAUAAUAAUUUUUUUAUUUUAUAUAUUUAAUAUAAAAUAAAUAUGACAUUAAUACAUAAAUGAGCAAAUCUAAUACAUAUCCUAGUUUGCAGGCAAAUUUUGUUUUUAGUUUUAAAAGCAAUACUAAAUUUAAAAAGGCAAUGAGACGCUGAAAGUUGAAACCUUCUUGAAUUAAAUUUCAAAUGAAAUUACUUAAGUCAAAUAUCAUUUAGUGUAGAGAUAUAAUAUAUGUAUAUAUAUAUGUAUAUAUAUCACACUUAUAAUGCAAGAGGGUAUUUAAAUAAUUUUUUUUGUUUAGGCAAUUAACUACAGCUCAAAGAAUCGACAAAAAAACUUCGGAGUUUUUAAGUAUUCUAAAAUACUUAUCAAAUGACUUUGAAACUUGAAUUUUGAUGGAGUCACCUAAAAGAUUUUCUCCAUUUUCGAUUCCGGUUCCAUGUCAACCUGUCAAUCCGUUUGUUUCCCAUUUCAUUCAGCACUGUAUAUCCAAUAGAUAACCCAAUCACUAAACGACAUCCGUACCCAAUCAAUACGAUUUUCCAAACAGAUAUACCAUCUACCUAGGAAUCUUCAUCUUCUUAGGGUGUGGCAUUCCAAGAUCAACUUCAUUGCGUUUCCUUGUCAAAGGUGGCGCACACAAUCUUGGGUUCCCUUUGUAAGAAUCGUUUGAAAAUGUAUAGAAUUGUAGCUUUGUGGUAAGCUUCCCUCAAGUUGGUUGUAAGAGAGAUUCAAUACUUCACUGCAAGUUAGGCUUGUAAGCUGUGGAGGAAUCUUUCCAGAGAGUUUGUUCUGGGAGAGGUUCAACGACUCAAGCUCAGUUAAGUUUACAAGUGCUAAAGGGAUUGGGCCAAGGAAGCUGUUGUAGGACAAGUUUAGCGCGUUGAGUGACUAGAGGUUUUGUAUUUCUUCCGGUAUUCUCCUAUGGAAACUAUUAUUGGAAAGGCCAAGACAAGCAAAAAUGGUUAAGAUUUUCUUGUAAAAAAUUUCAAACCCUUUAUUUACAAUUGUCGUAGAGUCCUGGUAGUACUUGUCUCCAAUGUAAUUAUUAAGAAACGAAAGAUUUGAAACUCCAGAUAUAUGAAAAGGAGGGAUUAAGCCACUAAAAUUAUUAAUUGCUAAACUCAAUUUCACAAGAUUUGUAAGAUUUGCAAUUGAUGAUGGAAUUUGUCCAAAGAAACUGCAAUUAUGGAGACUUAAAAUUGUCAAAAAUUUGAGACUACUAAUUGAGUCUGGUAGUUUUCCACCGAAAUUUAUAGAAAAAAUCCUUAAGAUCCGUAAAGCAUUGUUUAAUGGAAAUUCUGGCAACUGACCUUCAAGAUUGUAAUUUUUUAAAAUGUCAAUGCUUUGUAUUUUUGGCAAUGAGAAAACUUUUGUUGGAAAAUGUCCACUCAAAUUACAAUUCAUUAAAUUGAGAGAAACCAAAUGAGAGGAAAUUUUCAAGAAAUUGGGAGGCAAGUAAGAGAUCGAAUUCCCACGAAGGACAAAUUGGGAAAGAAAAGGAAGUUUUGAGAAUGAAGAACAAAAUGGCCCUGUCAAACCAUAGUUUGAUAGACUUAACACAUGCAGGUUAGGAAGAAUUAUGGAUGUGGUUCACACCAUUUAGUACUUUGAGUUGAAAUGUUCACACUGUCCAGGUAGAGCUCUGUAAGAGGUUUCAAAAUUUGGAUUAAUGUCUUGAAGUUUGGGUUUUUUAGUUUCAGAGGUUGUUCAAGUUGAAAAGGCAGAUGGUUUGGAUCAAGAAUUUGCAAAUAUCUUAGAUAGAAAGAAUCUUGAUCAGAUAGAUCAAGAGAGACUAACUUUGUUUCGUAUGAAAUCCCCACUGAAAUUUGGUCAUGGAAACAUGAGUUUGAAAGAUUGAGAUGAGUUAAAUUUAUGAGUCUAUCAAACUUAUAUUGAAACAUAGUGAUAUUAAAAUUGUUUCCAGCAAGAUUAAGACGUUGAAGAUGAUGGAGAUUGAAAAUGGAGUGAAAGCAGCCUGAGAGAUUUUUGUAACUGAGAUCAAGCCCAAUCACAUAACCAAGAUCAUCACAUGAAAUUCCUUUCCAGGAGCAACAAUCAGUGUUGGGAUCCUAGAGCUCAACCUUGGAAGAGGAAGUAAAAUUUGGGGCAUAGUAAAGAUCAUGGUGCAAUUGCAGGAGAGCAGUGUUUUGGUCAUCAAGGCACUGGUUUUGAAGAUCAGUAGGAGAACACUAAAAAGAUAGAAUAAGAGAGUACAAAGCAUGAAAGAGAAAUAAGGUAGGCAAAAGAGUGAAAUCAAAGAUACGAAGAUUAUAUUGCUAUUGCCGAAUCCUUUUUUUCGAAGUUAAGUUACUAAUUUAAAAAAAAAAAAUGUGUUUUGUUGAUUUCAAAAAUUAUAAUAUUCCUUUUUUUUUUUUACACUUAGUACUUAGAAAGGUGAUCUUAACGCGUAUGAAGAGUUGAAUGUGCAACAUUACUCACUCAUCAAAACACCCUAUUUACAUAAUUUGAUGAUUACUUUUUAGAACGAUUAGCUAUACGUAAUAUUUGUAGUCUCAGAUUUUAGCUUGAAUUGUAGAGAUUAUGAUUAAAACUUGUUAGAACAGGCCAAUGAAUAAACUAAUCAGCCUGUUAAGGAAAAAAAAAUCCUGGACGGCGGCCGAUUGCACCUACUUGUAAUAAUGAAUUUGUUGGCUAUUAAUUUUAAAGUCAAUGCAUUUUUUUUCUUAUUUUAAGUACAAAUACUUAAUUAUUAUUUAUUAAUAGUUAAAAAAAAUUAUAUAUGAUGAUGUUAAAUAUGAUAUGGUAACACAAUUAGAAAAAAGACACAAAAACGAUAUAAUUAAAAUUUUAACAAAAGUCAUUUGAGUUUGAUAAAAGAAAAAACCUAAAAAUUAAAUUGUGUUUAAUAUAUUAAUAUGAAUUGUGACAUAAUAACUUUUGUAUUUUAUAUAUGUUCAACGUAAAUAUACGAAUUUAGUAGAUCUAAUAAAAAUGUCAAUUAAAAUUGGAUCAAGAUUUUUUUUUUUGAAAAUAGAGUUAUGUUGAAAACGCAUUUAAAGUGUUUUACUCUAUCUUGUUAUCCACAUGAUAUCUCUAUCUUGUUUUUAAAAAAACUUCCAAUUUUUGGGAUUUUCUUUUUUUUUUUUUUAAUUUUUUACUUUUAGUUUUUUAUCAGAUAAAUUUUAUAAUAAAAAAGUUAAUUAAAAUAGAGGUGACAAAAUAACCUUUAUAUGAUGGGUUUCAAUUGAUUCCUAUUCAAUAGGUGCAUAUUCUUUUAAUUUGAGAUAAUUGGAUUGAGCACUUUUUUAAAUCGAGCUCCAGAAAGAAUAAGAUUUUUAAUAUUACGUUUUCAGCUUGAAUGUGUAUAAAAAAUAUAUUUUUUAUUAUUUAUUCAUUCUAUAUUUAUAUAUAUUUUUAUUAAAAACAUAUUAUUUAAUAUUUUAAUUUAAUAAAUUUAUUUGUUUUAUUACAAUCCAAUUGAUAUGAUUUUUUUAAAAAUAAAGAUUGAGUUAAGUUUUAUUUCUUUAUAUAAUUUAGAUCAAGUCAAAAUCAGUUUUAAUAUAUUCUGUCUUGAAUCUCUUUUGGAUAUAUAAAAGAAUAUAUUUUAUUAUUUAUUAAAUUUAAAUUUAAAUUUAUUAUAUUAAUAAAAAUAUUAUUUAAUAUCAUAAUUUAAUAAAAAACUAUAUUUAUAUAAUUAAGUUGUAAUUUAUAUUGAAAAAUAAAUACAAUUACAUUUGUCUAUUUGUUAUCAUCUAUUAAAAUUUGACAUAAAAAUUUUUCUUUGCUUACGUUUAAGAUAUAAUUUAAAAAAUAAAAAAUAAUAUUGUGACAAAACGUGGAUCUAAUUUUAAUGAAAGUAACAAUUAUAGAAAAAAAAAAUGCUUCUUCACUCUUUGGAAAAUUCAAUGGUUUCAACUUACAAUCAUAAUUGAAAGUUAAAAGUGAUUUGUUUUCAAGAGUAUUUUUAGCCAUAUAUUUCUAUUACCUAAACUUCGUAUGUUGGUGCAAUAUGCACCAUGCAAAGAUAUCUUUUUCUCUCUCAAUACCGUAAUAGAUUUUUUUUAAGUGUUUACUUAUAAUAUGUAUAAAAAAUUAUAAAUAUAAUUUUGAAAUAAUAUAUUAUUAUAUUAUUAUAAUUAUUUGAAGUUUUUAUAUUUUGAAAAAAAUUAUAAUUACAUUAUUAUUAAUAUUAUCAAAUAUAAAUUAUAUAAUAAUUAAAUAAUCAAUCAAUCAAAAAUAAUUGUUAAUAUUAUUAAAUUUAUUUGGAUGAAUUUAUUAAUUUUGUCGGUAGAAAUGAUGUUUAGAGAAAAAUUUUAAAGAUGUCUUUUAAUUUUAUUUUUUAUUUUUUAAUAUUUGAAGUGUCUAUGAACAUUGUACUCCAACCUUUGCAUCCACACUGUAUACAAAAAACAAUUGAUACCCAUGUAUAGGAUGAUGAUCAGCUAUCACCGUAGGGAUAUCCAAGAAUUCUGCCUUUGUUAGAUCAAAAGCAGUGAUGUACUCAUGUUUUUGUUUUGAACCAUUUACAAUUCCUUUUUAAUAAUAUGAUUUUAAUACAUCUUAAAUUACAAUAUGAAUAAAACUAAGUUAUUAAAUCACAUAAAAUAAUAAAUAAAAUUAAUAAUUUUCAUUGAUCCCAUUUCUUAUUUUGUAUGACUUGCACAAAUUAUAAUAAAAUAUUUAAUAUGAUAUUUAAAUUUUAAAAAAUUUUAAUUCGAUAUUUGAACUAAUCAUGUUAAAAAUAAGAAUCAAAUUAAUUAAUAAAUUUAUAAUUUAAAUAUCAAAUUAAAAAAUUUUAAAUUUUAAAUAUAAUAUUAAAUAUUUUAUUAUAAUUUAAAAUUAUUCAUAAUAUUAAUUUUUGUAAUAUUUUUAUGGGUAUGCUCUGCUACGCUACAACUUUAUUUAGAGGGAUCUUUUUCCGCCGUUAAAAAGUUGCUUAAAAAAAAAGUUGAGUGUGAACUAAACAUUUUUUAGCGAAAGAUUAAUUUUACGUUGAUGAAAAUAUUAGAGACAGAGCCUUAAAAGGGCAGUAUUUUUUUUUAUUUUUCUAAAUAUUCUUGAUUCUACCGUAUUUUUCCUUUUUUUUUUAAAUUCUUCAAAAAUUAAUUAUGGAUGAUGUUGGAUCCAUCGAUCAAACCAAUCAAACAGGUUAAAACAGUAACCAGAGGUUUUGAUUAUUGGUCCGAUUUAAAGCAUUGUGUCUAGCAAGUUGGACCGAUAAGAAAUCGGUUUGAUUAUUUAUAUUUUUAAGGAAAUUGAAGGUAUUAUUUCAGUUUUUAUUUAGUUCCUCACCAGUCACCAAGUCUUUGCUUUACCCCGUCAAGCUGAUCUUGACUUCAAAACAUCCUGUCCAAAAUUGAAGAUAGUGAUCCUGUCCAUAUAGUUUCUCCAUACUCACUAGCUUCUCCCAAUCAUUUUCUUGCUGCCAAGUUUUAUGAAAUGAAAGCUUCACAAAUCUGCUUUCAACCAAAUUGCUAUGUACAGCUUUAGAAUCCUCGGCAUUGGUGGAAGCUAUUUGCAGGGACUUUUGGUCAUGGAGCUCAUGCUUAUGGGUUAGACAUUGUCACCAGUACAAUCAAUAUUGUAGCAAAUGGAAUGUUUUUGAAGUAUGAUUCCAUUUUCUGAAUUGUUGCAGUACGCCCAUUUCAUUAUUGAUAUGAAGUCAUUAAGGAUUUUUUCUCUUAUUUAAUGGAUUAAGCAGGUAAUUAAUAUGUGUUUGCUUAUUAUUACUUGCUAAUUUUCCAUCUCUGAAGCUUCACUUCAAUCAGGAAAGAUCUUCGAGCCAAUUUUGCAGAUUGCAGAAGCACAUUUCUUUUGUUGAGUUUUUUUCCCUUUUUCCGUUUGAUUGCAUAUCAAACUCUACUCAGAAUUUUGGUUUCUAAACAUCAAAACUGGGUUUCAACAGAGAUAAUUUGCAACUUGCAUCAAAUUAAGACAGUAGUAGCAGACACUUUAGAUUAAUUGAUUGUCACACUACAUUUUUCUACAAAUCAAAACACAUUAACUAAUUGUAUUCCCCAUUGCAUACUAAAAUCAAUUAUUUACAUUUAAAAAAAUCAGCAAAUAAGUCGUUUCCGCUACAGCUAAUAAUUCAAAUGUGCACAUAUAUAUUUGACAACAAAUGUACUGUAAUCAGGGGAAAAGUUGUAACAUGUAAAUUGACGAUGGCACUUACAAGAAGAAAUAUAAAUCCCAUGAAACAGAGGACGCUAAAACUGGAGGAAAGAAGCCUGCAUAAUGCCUUUUCAUACCCUGCAUGACAAACCCACUAAACUUUUAGCAUAUAUCAAAAGAAAAACAACAUACAAAAGAGAAACGUUAAUCUCCAAUGAAAGCGAGAAAGACCUCAACUUUACAUGAAGAGAAAAGAAAAAUAAAGAGCCUAAGCCUAAUUAAAUGAAAAAAAAAAAAAAAAGAGAAAAAAAGUGCGAACCUCUAAGCGAGUAAUGGUAAAAAUGGCGUGGGCGGUGUUCUUGUAAAUCAGGAAAUUGGUGAGUCGACCAUCGUUAACUAUUUGAAAACUCGAUCCAAUCAGCACCCAAAAAGACUGAAACUUUUUGUCGAAACUAUGUAUAUAUAAAGAAAGAGACGGAAGAAGAAGAAGAAGAGGAUAACCUUGAAAUCUCGUACGGUCGAUGUCCAGAGGGUAAAUCGCUGCAACGGUGGCGAAGCCCGCCACUGCACCAGCGGUUGCGUUCUCCCAUUGCCACGGUGAUUGUGACAUUUCCUUUUGAAAAAAUAAUAAUAAUGAAGGGGAACCGGCCGUUUCUGUUAAUGUGCAUCAAAUUAAGACAGUAUCUUUACUUAUAUCGUUAACUCUUUCAUUAUUCAGUCUGCAAUUUCUUUUGGAAGCUAACAAAGGGCAAAAACGUAAAGUAAAUGAAGACGAAGAUGAAGACUCCAGAAAUGGCACAUCUCCGUUACACAAUCAGAAAAAGGCUUUGAAGCCUGACAAUAAGCUAUACUUUUCGACUGGAUCCUCCAGGAGUGCUGCUCUCAAUGAAUCAAAUACAGAAUUUGACAAACCGAUUUUUCAAUUUGAGUCUUCGAAGGAACUUCAAGUUCAAAUUGAUAGCAGAGUACGGCAACCUUAGAAACUGAGACUGAGUUUACAUAAGAUGCUCGAGCUAUACGUGAGAAUGUUCUUAAACGAGCAGACAAGGCCAUGAAUCUACAUCUUCCAUUGGAGGAGGCAUUGGAACAGCAGCUCCAUUGCAUUUCCUUGUCGAAGUUGGCCCACAUGAUCUUGGGUUCCCUUUGUAAGAAUCGUUCGAAAAUGUACCGAAUUGAUUGCUUUAAUGUAUGCUUCCUUCAAAGGGAAGCAUUGACAUUUCAAACAAUGACCAUCUGAUGGGAGAGUAAAUGAAGAAGAAUGUAUUGAUUCAGGGAGGCGUUCCCCGAACAAGAAAGAUGCAAAGAUUUGAAAAUGCCAGAAUCCAUAUGAAAUGGCAGGGAUAAAAAUCACUGAAAUUGUUAUUAGAUAGAUCCGUUGCACAAGGUUAGUAAAGAUUUGCAAUUGAUGAUGGAAUUUGCCAGAGAAUUGUAGUCAAAAAUCGAAUAAGAUCCGUAAAGCAAUGUUUAAACAAAAAUUCUGGCACUGACCCAAUCAGAUGGUCAUUGUUUGAAAAUGUGGCAUGGCCUUGUUACUUUUGGCAACUGAAAGAACUUUUUGUUGGAAAAACAUACCACUCAAGUUGCAGAUUCACUAAACUGAGAGAAAACCAAACCUAGAAGGAAAUUUCCAAAAAUUAGGAGGACAAAUAAGAGAUUGGAUUCCAACCAAGGAAAAGUUUGGAAAGAAAAGAUAGUCUUGAGAGUGAAGAACAAAAUGCACUUGUCAAAUUACAUUUCGAUAGACUUAAAAUAUGCAAGUUAGGAAGUGCUAUGGAUGUGGCUUCACACCAUUUACUACUUUGAGUUGAAAUGUUCACACUAUCUAGACGUUUGCAAGGGGUCUUAAAUUUUGGAUUAAUGUCUUGAAGUUUGGGUUUUCUAGUUUUCGAGGUUGUUGAAGUUCAAAAGGCAAUGGAUAGUAGUGGAAGUUAUUGUAUGGAUGGAGAAUUUGGUUAUACCGUUGAUAGCAAGAAUCUUGAUUAGAACUAACCUUGUUAAGUAUGAAAUCUCCACUAGAAUUUUGCUAUGGAAACAUGAGUUUGAAAAGUCAAGAUGAGUUAAAUUUGAGAAUCUGUCAAACUCAUAUUGAAGCAGAGCGAUAUUAAAAUUGUUCCCAACAAAAUUAAGGUAUUGAAGAUGAUGAAGAUUGAAAAUGGAGUGAAAGCUACCAAAAAGGUUUUUGUAACUGAAAUCGAGCUCAAUCACAUGACCAGAAGCAUCAUAUGUAAUUCCUUUCCAAUAGCAACAAUCUAUGUUGGGAUCCCAAAGCUCAACUUUGGAAGAGAAAGUAAAAUUUGGGGCAUAGUUUAUUCUUACAUUACAUUACAUUCACAUUUUCUGCCCAACACUUGGCAACAGUAUCCUAAAUAAUGUUGAAGACAAAUGGACAGGUGAUCAUCUUCAAACCGAUUUGUCUUUUUUUUUUUUUUUAUAAUGAUUAUUUAUUUAAUUAACAUUAAUGUCAAUGUACCAGCAUAUAAUUAAAUCUAUUAAGAAGAAGAAGUUUUGGAUUUUAUAUAUGUAUGUGAAAGCUAUUUGAACCAGAAAUAAAUUUUAAAAAAUAGUGCAAAGAAAAUAUCAUUAAACAAAUGAUGGGUUCAAGCUUUAGGGGCAUUCAAAUUGGAAAUUGAUCAAGCAAUUCUGAAGAAAUGCACUCUUUGAAUAUUUUGUGUAUCUACCAACUACCACAUUUUUCCAUUGGAGACAAGAGAGAAGUUCCAAAUCUAUCACAAUCAAAACUUGAUGAUGCUGAUGAUCAGCUAGAUAUAUCAUGUUUAAUUUUGUGGAAGUUAGCAAGCAAGUUCUUUUCAAAAAUAAUAAAAUAUAACCACAUAAAGUUCUUGCAAUACUUUUAAUUCUAAAUAAAAAAAGACCCAAUGUUAGGAUAUUUUAGAUGUAUACCAUUAUUUCUGUUGCCCUCUUGCAUCUACAGGUAUGGUUUUCAUUAUCAUUUGAAACAUAUCAUUUUUUAAUGAAGGCUUUAAAAGAUCUAAAAUUGACAAGUAUGAUAUUUAAAUGAUUUACUAAUUAAAUGGGAGCUUGAAUGAUCCAACAGAUUAUAAAUUGUUGAUUUCAUAUAAAACUGUUUUAGUAUAAAGGAAGACUAUUACUUGAUUUAUCAUUUAUUAUUGAAGUAAUUAAGGAUGAUAAUGUGAUAUUAGCAAUAAAUAAUUGAUUUAAUUGAUACAUCUACCUUUUUUUUUUUUUUUCUGUCAAGGAGUUUUCUUUAAAGAAUAAAAUAAGGAAAGUAGGCCUUCGGAUCCCAGAACGAAUAAUAUAUCACAUAGCAAGUGUCGUUUAAUGUUGAUUCGUUGCAUCAACAAUAGCGCGUAUUCUACUCCUUUUCAACCAAAAAAGGGCAUGCAGUUGUCUUUAGAGUUGGGAUCGGCGGUCAGCUAUUGAAACUCUAUCUCCACUCCCAUGAAGUUCCAUGAGAGCAAUCCAAGAAGGAAAAAAAAAAAAAACAAAACAAAAUAGCAACAUCGUGCACUACAUCAAAUAUUGAGAUUAGAGUAGGAAAUAGGAGAAAAUGCCAUACACAUACUUUUUGAAUCAUAUAACUUCUAAUUUAUAUAAUUAAUGUUAUAGAUAAUGAAAAAAGGAGAGGGUGUUUACGUGCCACCCUACCCUUCCUCCAAAACUUUAAUUUUUAUUUACUUUUUAUUUAGUUUUUUAAUUUAUUUUUUUAAAUAAAUUUUGUAAAAAAAAAUAUGGAUGAUAAAAUAAUCUAUAUUUGAUUAAUUUUAAUUCGCAUCAAGUGCAUUUUUUUUAAAUUAAUAUUGAAUCGAGUUUUUUUUUCUUUUGGAAAAUAGGGUUAUUGGCUUGAAGAAUGAUUUAAAGUUUUCUACUCCAUCAACGUGGUACCUCUCUCUCUUGUUUUUUAGUUUUUAUUUUUUAAAACUUCUUAUUUUUUGGGGUUUCCUUUUUUCUUUUUCCUUUAUUUUAAAAAUUUUUUACUUUUAUUUUUUUAUUAGAUAAAUUUUGUAAUAAAAAAUUAAUUGACAUAGAGGUGACAAAAUAACUUGUAUAUAAUAUGUUUCGAUUUAUCCCAAUUCAAUUGGUGUGUUUCCUUUUCAUUCAGGAUAAAUGGGUUGAAUUUUUUUAAAAUCGAGCUUAGAAAAAAGUAACAUUUUUAGUAUUACACUUCGAUUUUGGUAUAUAUAAAAAAUAUAUAUUAUUAUUUAUUUAAUUCUAUAUCUAUAUAUGUAUUUUAUUUAAAAAAUAUUAUUUAAUAUUUUAUUUAAUAAAUUUAUGUGUCACUCCAUUUGACUUUUUUAGUCAUUUUCUUUAUUUUUUUAAAUUUUUAUUACAUAAAUUUUAUAUAAAAAAGUAAACAGAUGUAGGGAUAAUAAAACAAUCUAUAGGUUUUGAUUCGCUACAACCUAAUCGAUAAUUUUUUUUAGUAAGAAUUGAGUUUUCUUUUUUUGAACAAUUUAGGUCAAGUCAUGAUUAGAUUUGGAGUGUUUAAUUCCAAUUCUCCUCUGGAUAUAUAAAAAAAUAUAUUUUAUUAUUUAUUAAAUUUAUGUUUAUAUAUAUUAUAUUAAUAAAUAUACUAUUUAAUACUUAAAUUUAAUAAAAAAAAUAACAUUUAUAUAUGUUGUAAUUUAUAUUAAAAAAAUAAAUAUACUUACAUUUGUUUUGUCAUUCAUUAAAAUUUAUAUAAAAAUUUUACUUUUUUUCAUAUUUAAAAUAUAAUUUUAAAAAAUAAAAAAAUCCAGAUCUAAUUCUAAUGGAUGUAACCAUUAUAGAAAAAAAAAAGCUUCUUCGCUCUUUGGAAAAUUUAAACUUAUUCUUUUUCAAGACCAUUUUUCGCCAUAUAUUUCUAUUUCUGAAACUUCGUAUGUUGGUGCAAAACGCACCAUGCAAAGAUAUCCUCUCUCUCUCUCUACACAACAAAUGGAUUUUGUUUCAAAGCAUGCACUUAUAAUAUAUAUAUAUAUAUAUAUAUACACAUAUAUAUAAAUUAUAAACACAAAUUUAAAACAAUAUAUUGUUAUAUUAUUAUAUAUAUAAUUAUCCAAAGUCCUCACAUUUAAAAAAAAUUAUAAUUACAUCAUUAUUAAUAUUAUUAAAUACAUAAUUUUUUCAAUAUAUGUAAUUAAACAAUUAUUCAAUCAAGAAUCAUUAUUAAUACUAUUAAAUUUUAUUUUGAUAAAUUUAUCAAUUUUAUCGACAGAAAUAACAUUAAAAAAAUUUUUCGUUUAAAUUUUUAAAUUUUUUUUAAUAUUUAAGGUGUCUAUGAACAACAUACUUCAACCUUUGCAUCUGCCACUGUAUACAAAAACAAUUGAUACCCAUGUGUAUGACGAUGAUCAGCUAUUGGUGUAGGGAUAUCCAAGAACUCUUCCUUUGUUAGAUUAGAGGCAGUGACGCACUUAUGUUUUUGUUUUGAACCAUUUACAGUUCCUUCUUAAUAAUAUGAUUUUAAUACAUCUUAAAAUUACAAUAUGAAUAAAAUUAAGUUAUUAAAUUACAUAAAAUAAUAAAUAAAAUUACUAAUUUUCGUUGAUCCCAUUCCUUAUUUUAUAUGGUUUGGAUAGAAAAUAUAAUUUUUUAAUAAAAUUAAUAUCAUGAAUAAUUCUUAAAUUAUAAUUAAAUUUUAAUGUAAUAUUUAAAUUUAAAAAAUCUCUAAUAUAUAUAGUAUUUAAAUUAUGAAUUGUUAACUAAUAUCGUAUUUAAAAAGUUAUUUUAUUUAUUAUUUAUUAUCAUUUAAAAUUAAUUAUAUUAAAAAUAAAUGCUAUAUUAAUUAAUAAAUUUAUAAUUUAAAUGUCAAAUUAAAAAUUUUUAAAAUUUAAAUACUAUAAUAAAUAUUUUUUAUAAUUUAAAAACUAUUUAUAAUAUUAACCUUUCGUAAUAUUGCGAUAAGUAUGCUCUGCUCAUUCUUAUGCUACAACUUUGUGUUAAAAGACCCUUUUCCUCCGUUGACGAUAAAAAAAAAAUUGCUUAAACAAAAAGUUGAGUGUGGACUGAACUUUUUUUAAGAAAAAAUUAGUUUUACGUUAAUGAAAAUAUUAUAGAUGGUGACUCAAAAGGACAUUAUUUUUUUAAAAAAAUUUUCUAAAUAUUUCCUGAUUCAACCUUAUUUUCUCUUCUUUUUUUUUUGUUGAAAUUUCUUCAAAAAUUAAUUAUGGAUGACAGUGGAUCAGUCGGUCAAACCACUCAGACAAGUUAAAUCAAUGACCAGAGCUCUUGACUAUCGGUUUUAUUUUUAAAAAAUUGGGUUUAACAAGCCAAAGUAGUAAGGGAUCAGAUUCGAUAUUUUAAUAUUUAAUAUUAUAAAUUUUAAAAAAUUAAUUUAAAUUUAAAUAUUUUAAAAAUUAAAUUGAUGCGAAUUAAAUUUUAUUUGUUAAGUUUAAUUUAUUAAAUUUUUAAAAUGUACUCAAUAUCAUUUUCAUAUUAUUUUUUAAAUAUAUUUAAAUAUAAUAUAAUUAGUUUUGUUUUAUAAAAUAAAAAAAUUAUAUAAAAAUUAAUAAAAAUAUAAUAUGAUUUGAUUUGAAUUUUUUUUAUUACUUAAUUCAAUGAGUCAAAAAUCAACCCGAUUUGAAUUAAAAUAUUAAAUAUUUAAUUCCAAUCAAAUAAAAAAAUUAUUGUAAUUUUCAAUCAAUUUUUUAUUUCUCCAUUUUUUAAAAGAUUUUCGAUUUUAUUUUAUUUUCCAACGUUAUUGAAGCCAAAUUCUUCCUUAUUUAAGCUCAAUUUAAUUUAAUAAUAAAUGAACUUAUAAAUAAACAAACUCUUAAUAAAUUUAACAACACGUAUUCUAACUCAUUUUAAUUAUUUUUAUUGAACUUUAGCCGAACAUGAAAGAACUCGAACUUAAUGCUUAUAGCCCACAACCGUAGCUCACUAAGUAAUAUUCAUUGCUUAUUUUAAUUCUUAUGUUGACGUGGGAAUAUUAAAAAUAUGUUUUUAUUAUUUUAAACUUCAUUAAUAGAUUUUAUUUAAUUUGUAAGCAUAUAAAAAAAGUUAUUUUGUAAUAAUAUUUUUAAAAAAUUAAAAAAUAUUUUUAAUGAUAUAUAAUAAUUUAUAAAUUGAUAAAGAUAUUAAAUUUUGAAAUAAUUAAUUUAUAAUAUUUUAAAUAAAUUAUAAUUAAAUUUAUUCAUACACAUUAAAUAAGUUUGUUUGUAAAAAUAAAUAAAUUAAAUAGAUCUUUGUUAGUAUUUAAUUUAUUUAAUAAAUAAACAUAAAAAUAUUAUUUAAAAUUAUUUAUUAAAUUUAAUAAACAAUUAUAAAUAAAAAAAAUAUCAAAUAUAUUUAUGAAUGGUUCAUAAAAAAACUCUGUUGUUUACGUUGUGGCCUAUUACAUAAUUACUUAAAUUGUUUUAAACGCUUCACUUUUUUCUUACCCUUUUCUUCUUCUUCUUCUUCUUCUUCUUCUUCUUCUUCUGCUGCUGCUGCUUCUCCGUCUAGUAAGAGAAAGUGGAGACAACCAGUGGCUUCCUCAGUGCUAGAGCUUGGUGGAAUCAUAAUUGCUAAAGAAGGUAAAAAAUUGCUACUUUUUAUGAACUUGGUUUUGCUGUUAUAUGCUUUUAUUGACUGUUCCUUGAACUGGUCCAUUUCAGUAUUUGCAGAUAUUGGAUUCUAACUUUGACUAGUAAAUUAUUAUGCGUAAUGGGUAUUUUGUCCAGUACUUUAAUCUGGGUUGGGAAAGGUUAAUUGAAUUUAUAUGUUGGAGCUUUCAAAAUAUGCCCUUUGUUUGUGUUCAAAUUGUGUUUGAUAAGAAAGUUGGACUUAUGGUGUUUGGAUUUGAUAUAUUUUGGAAUGGAAUAUAAUUAUAAGAUGGUUAGUCUAGGUAGAUUACACCUUUCUUUGAGUAUCAUGAAUUGAUUGAAAGUGUCAGCAAUCAAAAUCUAUUAUUGAGUUUUUUGGUUUGAAAAUUGGCAUGGUAUAUGCUUUGAUAUUUUGUUAUUAGUGAAAUUUGAUUUACGACUUUCUGUUUUUUCAUAAUUUAUGAAUGAUUUAGUAUUUUUUGGAUGGUGGGAUUUGUAGAUGUGGUGAGGGAUGAUCGAACAAACAUUGCUCCGGACACAAUUUUUUCAAAACUGUGAAUGCAGCUCCAUAAAAGAAUAAUCAUCCUCUUGGGAUUCUGAAGAAUGGAAUAUAUGACUAUUUCAAUGCCAAUUACCCCAACAUGUUCUCUGGUUCAUAUUUUGUCAACCAAUCCUUCCUAAUUCACAUCUUUGCUGAAAGAAUAUCUUUUGUAAUUCCUUAAACAAGGAUUCAGAAAAUAUUGGAUCCCCACCUACACAAGAAAAUUGUUGAUAAAACUCUGAUAAGUUUGAUAAUCUCUGCCCAAUUGUUUCAGUAAAACUGGUAAAAUGUUUGUCCACUAGUGCCCUAUUUUUUUUCUUUUCCUCUUUUAUGUUCCUCUGAAUUGGCAAAUACUAUUGGAUAACAAAGGAACAGCUUUUGAGUUUAAAUAUUUUGUACAAUCAAUCUUGUGCUCUGUUUUAGAAUAAUUGGUCUAGGAUCUUUGAAAAAUUAAAAUAAAAAAGGUAUGUUAAUUUGUAUCCAUAUGGGCUUUCAUAGAUCACCAAAGGUUGUCUAUUAACUUGGGAUUACAUAUGUUACUAUGGAGGCUUGAACCUCUGUGUCUGAGUGUGGGUGGAUUAGUGAGUGCAAGGGAGUGAAUAUUUUUUAUCAAAUGUUAAGGUUAUAGAUAUUUCACUCUCCCUACAUAUGGCCCAUUAAAGCAUGUUGUUGUUCCACAAUAUAUGUAUACACAAUAUAUGUUGGAUCAUUUUAUUUAUUUUGGAUCCUUGGAUAAUGUUUUUAAGAAUUUUUUUUUAUAACAGUAAAUCUUCUUUUUGCUGAAUUUUGAUGAUGUACUGGUGCCUGCUGAUCAUGUAAGCGGUGGCUAUAAUGAUACAUAUUAUGUUGACUCUCAAACUGUACUGAGGUGUCAUACAAGUGCUCAUCAAGCAGACACGUUGAGAAUGGGCCACACUCAUUUACCUAUAACCGGUGAUGUUUACCUUAGAGAUUCUAUGGAUUCUACCCAUUACCCUGUAUUUCAUGAGGUUUCAUUUUGUUAAAAAUCUCUUUAAUUUUGAUUAGCUUUUUAAAAUUCUCUUCUCUUAGGAAAUUGUUCUGAGUACAUAGGAAUUUUGCUUCCCCUGCUACAUGCGGAGCACAGCCAUCUGUAUGUUGGGCCGUACAAUGUGCUCCUCAGUGGGUUAACAGGAUGAACAACUGUAUUCUUGAUGAAGGCCAUUAAACAUGCAAAGCUGUUUGAUGAAGGUCGAUUCAUACUAAUUGAGCAUUUAGCCUUUCAUGAGAGAAAGCUUGUCUUAUCUAGUUAUGACACCAGUUAGUUUGUUGAUCAUGUAUCAUUCAUUACCUUAAUUAAUAGUAAUAAGGAUUUUGACUCACUUAGUUUAAAACCUUCUUUCAAGCGAUUGAAGCAGCAGUUGUAAACAAUUUGAAGUUCAUCAUGCUUGAGGCAAGGAAUCUAUAAAACUUUUGCUCUUGUUUUUGUUAAGAUGACAGAUUCAAGCGAGCCCUAUUAUCCAGGAAAAGCACCUCAACAAUCUGAACUAGGUAAAAUUUGUUCCUUUUUUUCUUAUUCUUUUUAAAUGUAUAAAUGUAUAUUUACUUAUGCAGCUAACUCUUUGAUUAUUCAGUCUGCAAUUUUUUUCAGGAAGCCAAAGGGCAAAAACAUAAGGAAAAGGACAAUAAAUGAAGAUGAAGAUGAAGAUUCCAGAAAUGGCAAAUUUCUGUUGCACAAUCAGAACAAGGCUUUGAAGCCUGACAAUAAGUUAUACUUUUCAACUGGAUCCUCCAGGAGUGCUGCUUCCACUGAAUCAAAUCGAUUUUUCAAUUUGUCUUCGAAGGAAAUUCAAGUUCAAAAUGAUAGCAGAGCUACGGCAACCUUAGAAACUGAAACUGAGUUUACAAAAGAUGCUCGCACUAUACGUGAGAAAGUUCUUAAACGAGCAGAGGAGGCUUUGAAGGGGAAAAGCACAAGCUCUGGCAGAUAGAAGUUGUAUAAAGGAAUGCAUGGCUAUGUGGAUCAUAAGGCUGGGUUUCGAAGAGAGCAAACAGUUGCUAGUGAGAAAGCUGGUGGCUCACAUGGACCUCUUAGUGCUUCUGCCCACAUCAGGAUUUCAGCGAGAUUUGAUUAUCAGCCUGACAUCUGUAAAGACUACAAAGAAACUGGUCACCGUGGUUAUGGAGAUUCAUGUAAGUUUAUGCAUGAUCGUGGAGAUUACAAGUCUGGAUGGCAGUUAGAGAAGGACCAGGAAGAAGCAGAGAAAGCAAGGAAGAGAAAUCUGGCUUUGGGUGGCAAUGAUGAUGAUGAGGCAGGGUUAGACCAGAGUGAUGAUGAUGAUGAUGAUUCGUUGCCCUUUGCAAGUUUUAUUUGCCUGCAUCCUUUUGUGGAUCGUGUUGUUACUAAGUGCAAGCACUAUUUCUGUGAGCAUUGUGCUUUAAAGGUCCCCUCAUAUGCCCUUUCAUAUAGAGUAAUUUUAUUUAAUGUCUUUUUGUUCUAGGUUAAUAUCUAUUAGUUUUUGUUAUAUUUGUUGUGAAUGCAUUACUUAGAUGGUAAACUUUUUUGGUUACUGACAUACAAAGAAUAUUUUAUGUGGUCAAACUUUCUUUUUUUUUUUUUUUUUUCUGGUAUAGAAAUAGGACAUGUUUGCACUGUACUUCUUCAACUUUUGGUGUCUCAUGUCAAUAUGGUUUACAUUAUUAUUUUCAUUUGAAUGUAAACUGACCAAUUGCAUCUUUUGUUUUUCUUUUUUCAGCAUCAUGCAAAGAAUGCGAAGCGCUUUGCAUGCAGCCAACUCACCCUUGGCAUUUUCAACACUGCACAUGAGAUACGUAGACAGAUGGCUGAAGAGGGUAAACGAUAAGUCCAUUGAUGCUUUGCUUCAACUCCUGUUGCCAUGAACACUUUUAUUUCCGUGCUUGAGCUGGGGGAAUUUUGGAAUGAUGAGCCCUUUAGAAUCAUUGUUGCUGCAGGCAUGUGCAUUAGUAUUUAGGUAAGCAUUUUCUGCAGCAUUCCACAACUGACUUAUGAGUUGAGUGAUUGUAUUAAGCAGAGUAAGAAUUAGGUUUUUACAUGAAGUUGCAAGAGUUGUCGAAAACAACUGAAUGAGUAGACAAUUGUAAAACUUGUAAUUUAUAUACAAAACUGGCUUUCCUAAUAUGCCAACAAACCCUAUUGCUACCUUUUACCCAUGAAGUAGCGUUUCUUCUACCUUGAGAUAGCAGUCCAAUCCAGUAUUAACUUUCCAAGAAUCGGCAUCCAACUUCACAACCUUUGUAAUGGCCAAGAAUUCAACUUGAUCAGAUCAGAAUCCAGGUCUCGAUGACACAUACUGGUAGGAUCUAGGAUGUUACUUCAAAGAGUUUAAGAAUGUUGGAUUGCAGGUAGUUUCAAAUGGGUAGGGGGCUAAUGGAAGCUGAGAUUUUUUGUGCUGUCCAAAUCCAAGGCAUAGAAAACAUUAAUGAUCAGUUUUCUUCCUGGAAAAAUACAGUUCCUGCAUUCAAGACCCCAAAAAAAAAAAAAAGUGAAAUCAGCUAGCAAACCUAAACUUAAACUCAAGAAAUAUUAAUCUUUGGCUCUUAGCAGUAGUUGUAUAGACAAAAAAUUUUUAGCAUGACCUUUUGUUUCCUUUUUUCCCUCUAAAUUUUUCUGUUUUAGCAUGAGUUUUUUUUCUUUUUUCCCUGUAAAAUUUUAAAACGGCCAAUUCAUGAGAAUAAAGUAUUUUUCUAGUUGAUACUUACAGUUCUAGUUGGAGAUGGAUUUAAAAGAGCAAGAUCUUAGGGCUGCAUGGGAAGGACAGUUGUAUGAGAAAGCCUCUAGUGGCAAAGUCUUUAUAUAUGCGUAAUCACUCUGUCCAAUUUGGCUUUUGUCAACCACAAAGUCAUCAAAUAUCAUUUUACCUGCAAAAUCUUCUAAACAUAAAUUCUGAGCUAAUGCUCAAAAUAGGCUAAAUAUCAGAAGGCUUGACAACCUUCCUGGUUUACAGCAUCAAGCUGACUACUAAAGAAAAAACUAACUUUAAAAUGACCAGUGAUUGAAACAUAGCAUGUCUUCUAUAACUUCAUCUGUUAAUUAUGGAUUAGUGGCUAUAUCAGAACACUUGGCACAUCAACGUGAAUAUUGGCUAUUUAGUUAUGAUGCUUUAUUUCUAUUAGAUAGAGAAUAAGUUACUGAAAGGAUUCACUGGAAUUCUAGAGAAGUGAGUACAUAUAAGUUCAUCAUCCAAACAACCAAGAUGCUUUGGUGCCUCUUGCGUUUUUCUGUUCAAACUAGUGAUCUCUUCUAUUACUUGAUACAAAUGUUCUUGUGGAAAAACACUUAUUUACAGCUGAUUGUAAUCUUAUAAUCUGUAUAUUUAUAUUUGUAUCUCUAGAAUUAAGUAUUUAUAUCCCUAUAAUUAAGGACAAAAAAUUAGGAUAAAUAAUCCCUCAAUUAUAGGAUCAGUUUUUUGGAAGAUUUAGUUUCCUAGUUUACCCACCAGUUAGUUGUAUAUAAAUCUAUGGUGCUUGUAUAAUUCUUCAUGAGCAGUUUUUCAAUAUACAUUCAGUUUUACUCUUAGUUUUUCAUACAGUUUUAUUUCUUAGUUUUUCCAUAGUUCAAUGUCCCACCUUGGAUGGUUUUCACUUUCAAAUACAAUGGUCAUUCUUGCUUCUCACUAGACAAAAGAUGCAGCCGAAACAUCAGUUUUGUAAGAAACAGAUAAGCUGUUUAAGCUUUUAAAGAUAAAAUUAAAUCAAUUAAUCAAGUCCACAUAAUAAUUUAAGUUUAGCAUUCACAUAUCUUUCUCGCCAUAGUCAAAUCUAUAGUUGUUAGAGAUAAUAAAAUACCAUCGAAGUUACUUUGGAAUUGUCGAGCUUGAUACCUGGAACUGAAAGCUUUCUUCUUUUCUUUUCAGUGUUUUUCUUCUCUGUAGUGAUGUAGCAGAUAAUACAGGAAUAAAGCAUCUUAGCUUGAGCUUGAUCUGUGAAGAUUUUUCUGUAUUAGGAGAUGUAACUUCUAGUUUUGGCAGUUAAAGUGGUAGGAGUAGUCAUUGUUGUACAUGCCAUGGCUUGUAUUAAACCUGCACUGCAAAUAGUUGAGUUGAAUAAUUGAUAUUGUUGAUGUAAUUUCUGGUCUGAUAGUCAAAAGUUUUACUAGAGGUUGAGAAGGAGAGUAUGUGUGACCUGUCACAGAGUAGAAAGUCGAGUGUGCUGAAGAUAUUAUUUUGAGACAUUCUCGGAUGCUCAAGUUAGUAAGGUAUACCAUAAGCAAGUAAAUGAGAGAGAGUAGGAAGCAGUUAAAGAGAGUAAAGUGAGUUCAACUGUGAAUCACCUGUCUGCUCUGGAUGCUUCUUAGAUGACGACAUAGCAAACUGGGCUCUCAUGUGUAAGAUCUACUAUGUGGCUGCUGACACGACCACUUAGGUAUAACAAUAAUAAAGAGUUUAAAAGACGAUAAGAUUCUUGUUAAGAAUUUAUUUUGGAUAAAUGAUUUUUAUUAAUCCAAAAAAAGCAGUAGGUAUGCUACAAGUAAACAGCAAGCCAACGUUACAAACUUCCAAGAACUAGCAAAUAAAGCAAACUAAUUAACAAAAGAGUCUAACUUUUGCAAAGUAAUCAAACUAAGCAACAUUAAGGAACCAGUCCCCAAUUCAGACACAUUUUUUUGCUAAGCCAGAAAUUUAUUAAUAAAAACAGAGUUACACAACAGGGGAACCUCAUAACUCAGCAGUAGAACACCACCCUAUAGAUAGAACAGAAGAGGAGCACAAUACAACCAGACAUUACCGCCAAUCAUCCUAGGCGAGCAUAAGAGAAAGAACUGAGACACAGAUACCAUAACACCAGGCCAAAAACAUUCAGGCACAAUUUCUGUUGUUGAAAAGGAAGAGUGGAACUGGAGACUGCAAUCCUGUUAUUGAAUCGAAGCCAAAAGGAACUUUUGAUAGCUGAAACAAUAGCUUCUAUAUAUCUAGAAGGCCUGCCAAACUUCCUUCUAUUGUGCUCCUGCCAAAUAAAAUAUAUGUGAGCAUUCCAAGCCAAUCUAAGGAAAAUAAAUGCCAAAACUUUGCCCUUAAAAUGGCUGACAGCCCAAUCUAACUCAAAAUACCAGUCACCCACAGGUCUUGUAGAAAUUACUAACUUGAAAAUUAAUUUUCAUUUGUAAAAUGAGGUUAGGAAAUUCAAAGGACAACCUAGUUUGCAGGCAAUUUUUUUUACCAAGUUUCAAAAAGGGAACGAGACAUAAAGUUGAAAUGUUCUUGAAUUAAAUUUUGAAUGCAAUCACUUUAAUAAGUUAUUAGUUAGUUAGUGCAGAUAAAUGACAAUAUAAGAGAGCAUUUAAAUAAUUUUAUUUGAUUUGGCUACAGUUCACAGAAUCAGUAACAAAAGUUUUGAGUUAUUAAGUAUUCUAGAAUGCUUACCAAAUGACAUUGAAACUUGAAUUUUGAUUGAGUCACCUUGAUCUUCUCCAUUUUCGAUUCCAAUUCCGUGUAAACCUUUCCAACCAUUUGUUCCCCAACUCAUUCAGCACUGUAUAUCCAGUACAUAAUCCAAUGACCAAUCCACAUCCAUACCCUAUCAACACAAUUUUCCUGUCAGAUAAACCAUCUACCCAUGAAUCUGCAUCUUCCUUAGGGGUUGGCAUUCCAGGACCAUCUUCAUUGCAUUUCCUUGUCAGAGGCAGCCCACAUAAUCUUGGAUUCCCUUUGUAAGAAUCGUUUGAAAAUGUACCGAAUUGGUAGCUUUGUGGUAUGCUUCCCUCAAGUUGGUUGUAAGAGAGAUUCAAUACUUCAAGAAAUGUUAGGCUUGUAAGCUGUAGAGGAAUCCUUCCGGAGAGUUUGUUUUGGGAGAGGUCCAACGACUCAAGCUCAGUUAAGUUUCCAAGUGCUAAAGGAAUUGGGCCAAGGAAGCUGUUGAAGGAUAAGUUUAGCACUUUGAGUGACUUGAGGUUUUGUAUUUCUUCCGGUAUUCUCCCAUGGAAACUAUUAUUGGAAAGGUCAAGACAAAUAAGGAUGGUUAAGAUUUUCUCAUAAAACAUUACAAACCCUUUAUUCACAAUUGUUACAGAGUCCUGGUAGUAAUUAUCUCCAAUAUAAUCUGGCUUAGCUCUGUUGCCAUCAGUCAUCAUUCUCAUUGCCUUCAAAGAUUGGAAAAAUCCAACAGAUAACUCACCUGAAAAAUUAUUGGAAGCAAGGUCCAGUAUGUGUAACUCUGGGAAAGCAUCUUCAUCCUCAGAAAUUUUAAUUGGACCAUAAAAUCUAUUUGCUCUUAGUACAAGAACUUUCAAAGAAGGCAAUUUCACCAACCAUGAAGGAAAUGUGUCCUGUAUCAUAUUUUUUCAAAGGUCCAAAACUUCAAGAUUUCUGCAAUUGGCUAAUGAACUCGGCAACUUCCCUUCCAAUUUAUUCCCACUGAUUAUGAGUGACCUUAGUUCAGUGGCUUGAAAGAAUUCAAUUGGUAAUUGACCAGAAAAAUUAUUGAAAGCAACGUCUAGCACAUCCAAGUCUUGAAAAUAAUUUUUCACAUGUUUAAUUAGACCAUAAAACCUAUUUGCUCUCAAUAUAAGAACCACCAACCGAGGCAAUUUUCCCAACCACGAUGGGAAUGUGUCAUACAAAGUAUUGUUUCCAAGGUUUAAAACUUCGAGCCAUGUGCAAUUGACUAAUGACCUUGGCAACUUUCCUUCCAAUUUAUUGUCAUUGAGUUGAAGCAAAAAUAAUUGGGUGCCUUUUGCAAAAUCUGGUAUGCUGCCGGUAAAAUUAUUUUUUUGUAGAUCCAAAUAGCCGAGAGUUCUGAUAUUGCCAAAACAACUUGGGAUAAGCCCGCUUAAUUUGUUAUAAGAUGCAUUUAACCUUUCAAGUUGACUCAAAUUACAAAUAGAUCUUGAUAAAGAGCCUUGCGAAGAAGUUAGAGAUUGGUUUAGUGAAAAUUGGUCCAAAGAUGAGAGAGAAUUAUUAGAAAGAUCCAGAUACCACAAACUUUUCUUCCACACCCAAUUUGGCACUGCACCACUUAUUUUGUUAUUUGAAAGGUCAAGAUAUUCUAAACUAUUUUGACUCUUUAAAAACUCUGGAAACAUACUUAGGUUACAGAAUUGUAAACCUAAGUAUCUCAACAUUGGAAAAGAGAAGUUUGCAUCACCAAAAGGAAUCUCUUUUGGAAAAUCAAUUGCAUUGAAAGAGAGGAAUAAGGUUGAAAGAGUGGUCUUCCACAACCAAUUAGGUAUAAAACCAUGGAUUUGGUGGUCAGAAAGAUAUAAAGAAGCCAACUUGUCUUGUGUUUUGAUGAAUUCUGGAAAUUCAGUAAGGUUGCAUGAACUUAGGCCUAGCUCCUCUAAUUGGGGAAAAGUAAGGAUUGUGAUGUUCUUUUCAAUUGAUAAGCUCAUGUUGGAAAGGUCAAGGUGCCUUAAGUUCUUGAGUUGGAAAAACAUGUCAAGCUUCUUGGAACUAAAGCUAUUGUAUCCUAAAGACAAUGCUUCAAUCAAGGAGGAAGAUGCAUUGGGGAACUCACCAAUUUCACCAAUCAAUUGAUUUUCCCCAAGAAACAGGGUAUGCAAUGAUGGGAGAGUAAAUAAAGAAGAAGGAAUUGAGCCAGAGAGGUGGUUCCCCUGCAAAUGAAGAUAUGCAAGAUUUGGAACUCCAGAUCUAUGAAAUGCAGGGAUAAAACCAUUGAAAUUGUUAUAGGAUAUAUCCAGUUCCACAAGGUUAGUAAGAUUUGCAAUUGAUGAUGGAAUUUGUCCAAAGAAAUUGCACCAACUGAGAUCUAAAUUUGUCAAGAGCUUAAGAUUACCAAUUGUUUCUGGCAGUUUUCCACUGAAAUUUGUAGAAGAAAUUUUUAAGAUCCGUAAAGCAUUGUUUAAUGAAAAUUCUGGCAACUGACCUCCGAGAGCGUAAUUUUCUGAAAUGUCAAUGCUUUGUAUUUUUGGCAACGAAAGAACUUCUGUUGGAAAAUCCCCGCUCAAAUUGCAAUUCACUAAACUGAGAGAAACCAAAGGAGAGGAAAUUUCCAAGAAAUUGGGAGGUAAAUAAGAGAUUGAAUUCCCACCGAGGAAAAGUUUGGAAAGAAAAGGAAGUCUUAAGAGUGAAGAACAAAAUGGACCUGUCAAACCACAAUUUGACAAACUUAACACAUGCAGGUUACCAAGAACUAUGGAUGUGGCUGGACACCAUUCGGUACUUUGAGUUGAAAUGUUCACACUAUCCAAGUAUAGCUCUGUAAGUAGCUUCAAAUUUUGGAUGAAUGUCUUGAAAUUUGGGUUUUCUAGUUUAAGAGGUUGUUUAAAUCCAGAAGGCAGUGGGUAUCUUAGAUAGCAAGAAUCUUGAUUAGAUAGAUCAAGAGAGACUAACCUUGUUAAGUAUGAAAUCUCCAUUGGAAUUUGACCAUUGAAACAUGAGUUUGAAAGGUUGAGAUGAGUUAGAUUUGGGAGUCUAUCAAACUCAUAUUGAAACAAAGCGGUAUUAAAAUUGUUUCCAGCAAGAUUAAGGAGUUGAAGAUGAUGGAGCUUGAAAAUGGAGUAAAAGCUGCCAGAAAGGUCUCUAUAACUGAGAUCAAUCCCAAUCACAUGACCAAUAACAUCACAUGUAAUUCCUUUCCAAAAGCAACAAUCAGUGUUGAGAUCCCAAAGCUCAGCUUUGGAAGAGAAAGUAAAAUUGGGGGCAUAAUAAAGAUCAUGGUGCAAUUGUAGCAGAGCAGAUCUCUGGUCAUCAAGGCAUUGUUUUUGGAGAUGAGUAUGAGAAGGGGAAAAAGAUAACACAAGAGAUAAAGAGCAUGAGAAGAGAAAUAAGGUAGGCAAAAAGAGUAGAAUUAGGAUAUGAAGAUUCUUCAUGUUUUGCUAGCUCUCUAUGGAAAAAAAAUGAAGGGAAGAUUGUGGAGUUUAAGAUUUGCAUACACGGUAUUUAUAGACAAGUACUUCAUAUUACAUACUGUUAUUGUAGUUAUAUAUCUCCCUUGAUAUCAAGGGAUAGGUUCAAAUGCAUUUUUCCAACCACGUGUUUGUACAAAUCUUGAGUUUGAGCUUUUUCUAUAAGAGUUGAAUCAAAAUAGGUGGAAGACAAACAUAUUUAUUGGUUGUCCAUUUGAAUUUUAAAGAAUGAAUAAUGGGUUUCAAUGAUGAUGAAGCUGAUAGUUUUACUUUUGUAAAUUAAUCUUUAUCACUAUAUUCUUUCCUUUAUUCCCACUUUUUAUUUCAUAUUAUGCAUUUGUACAAAAAAUAAAUAAAUAAAUAAAUAAAUUUUCUCAAAGUUAGGUGAUGUAUAUUGGUAACAAAGAAUCCUCUCCGCUAAUAAAAAAAAAAGUGAAAAAUUUCAUUAAACUUGAUUCUGAAGGGAAGUAAAACUUACAAAGAUUUAUUAUUUAACUCAACUAUGUUAUUUGGAAUUAAAUGGAACAUUUUUUUUUUAGAAAAAUUCUAAUUAAUAAGUUUGUUUCUUCUUAUUUUUCUCCGAUGAAUUUCCUUUUGUUCUCUCGAUCAAAUUCCUUAUACAUAUUGUUUCUUUCUAAAUAAGCAUUCAGAGAAAAGAAUAAUUACUGUAACAAUUUUGUCUUUAUAAAAUUCUUUGGUCUACAGUAAUGUUUAGUCAUCCUGGCACCAAUAGAUUAACAAUUAAGAAAAAGGGAUAUCGUUUAGUCAUAUUGAUACCGUUUGGUGCAUUUUUUUUUUAUUGCAAAACCUGUUGUAAUAUCACAUGUUGUAAAAAUAUUGUCCACCUAACCUGAAAAUCUAAAGCAAAAGUAUGAAUGAAAUGAAACAAAUUCAAAAGAUGAAAGCAUGCAGGAAAUAUCUAGCCAACAAAGUGAAAGUGCUGAAACUCAGUUUCCACGAUUUCGCUUGUAUAUUGAUGUCAAGACAGAGGAAAUAACGGUAGACAGGAGCUUAGCUUUUGACCGUGCUUCACCUUUCCAUCCAUUUCAUCAGAUUUAAUUGAUUGCUUCUCUCUUGGACUUCAUUUAGAGAUGGCAAUAUAUACUAAAUAAUCAUAUAUUUGGUAUUAUCUAAUUUGUUUCUGUUCUGAUAAAAAAUUUAUAAAUGGAGAAUUAUGAUUUUGGAUAAUAGGUUUACUAUUUGUGAUGGAUAUUAAUAGAAUUUAGAUAGUACUUCUCAAAUAUCAAAUAUCUAAAUUUAUUUAAAUUUUAAUAAAUAGUAUCAAAUAUUUGAAUUCCUUAUUAAUUCAUAUAUGCAAAUUAUAUAAAAUUUUAUAGUUGUGAAAAGUUUUGAAUGUUAACAAAUAACUUUUAUUUUAUAUAUACUAAAAUUGAACUUGAAUUUUAAAAUUAAUUUUUUUUAUUUUAUAUUUUAAUAAAAAAAACUUAAAUAAUCGAAUAUUUUAACGAUUUAGAUAUUUAACGGAUAAUGCUUAUUUAAAUAGAUUUAGAUUCGAAUAUUGAAUCUAAAUUUAAUUAAUUAUUUAAAUGGAUUCGAAUGUAAUGAAAAUUAAAUAAAUUUAUAUACAAAUACCUCAAAAAUAACAAAAUCUUUUAUUUAAUUUUGAGAAUUUAAAACAACAUAUUAAUAAUAUAAUAUUGAAUUUAUACAUCAUGUGUAUAAUACUUUCUUAUUAUUUUUUUUUUAAUAUUGUUAAUGAAUAUUGGUCUGGAUCGUGUGAACUUAGAAUAUAUAGAUUCAUAUUUUAUAUUUCGAAAUACUUCAAAUAAAAACAUUAACCAAUAUUAUUUUUAAUGAUAAUGAACCUUAAUAGUAAUGAAUAUAUAAGUGAAAGUUACAAAUGAGAACACUAGAAAUAUGAAAGGGACAAAAUGAUUGUUUUUUCAUAGAACAAACAUUAAUGGGAUUUUCUAUUAAUAAAUUAGUCUUGAAUUUAUCAUGCACGGGUUUUUCUUGUUCUUGCCUCGUACACAUAUGUUUCUUGCUUUGCUUUGUCUAAUGUUGUUGGUCUAAAGUUGUUUCCUCUUUUUUAAAAGAACUUUAGAAUUGGUCCAAAGCUGCUUUGUCUAAGGUCAGAAAUUUCUCUCUUCCUUCCAUCAACUACCUCAUAACAAAACAAAAAAUAAAAUAAAUACUUAUAAAAAAAAUAUUAAUAAUAGGAUAAUUUUUUAAUUUAAAAUUCAUCUCAAUUGAUUCAUAUAAUUAUUAUUGAAAUAUAAUAUCUAACAAGUUUAAAGUUCAAUUUCUCACGUAUAUAACACCAUCUCUUUUCAUAGACCACGGCUUUUUUUCCUUUAAUUAUAAUAAUUUUAUUUCUAUACAAUAUUAUAUGUUAUCUUUGCAUUGGUGUUGUUUUAUACUAUUUAAAGUUUAUAGCCUUUGUAAUUUCUUACAAGCAAAGUCAUUCAAAAGACAAAAAUGGAGAAUGAACAUUGGGCACACCAGGCACUAGUGAAGUCAGAAAAAGGACAUCAUUUGGUGCAUUUUUUGUUUCAAUCCCAUUGUCACGCUACACAAUAAAUUAAUAGGAACUUUUCUCUUUUCUUUUUUUUUUUUCUAAAUUGUUCAAAAGGGAAUUUAAUUUAAAUUGUUCAAAAUUAAAUAAUAAGUGUUCAACUUCAAUGUUUAAUUAGACUACAUAUUAUCAUCUUUACGAGAUUAUACUUAUCUUUCCAUAUGUCUUCAAUCAUCACUUCUAAGUUUUUUUUUUUGUUAUUUAUUUCUUAUUUUCAAUUCAUUUCUAAUUAGUAAUUAAUUAUACUUUUAUUAUCUCAUUUUCUUUAUCUAUCAUUUCCUAUUUGGAUAUUUUAAAAAUUAUCAUCUUUGCAUUUUGCAACACAAAAUACUUUUACUUUUAUGUACGAGUAUAUUCCAAAAUCAUUUUGAUUUUUUAAUACAUUUUUAUAUUUAAAACCUCAAAAUAUAAGUUUUAUCUAAUAAACUUAAGUUUUUAAUAUAAAAUACCUCAAGUCUAAUAAGUAAUAUUCUUAAAUACCAUAAAAAUCAAAUAGAGAAAAUGCAAAUUUGAUGGAGGGAAUAUAAAUAAAAUUUUAAUGUAAAAAUUUUUAAAAAAAGAAAAUGAUAUGUAUAUAUAAUUUGAAUAAUUUCUGUAAUUGUAAUGAACCUUAAUAUUAACAAUAUCUAAAAAUUAAAAAUGUGAAAUCACUCAUAUAUAUAUAUAUAUAUAUAUAUAUAUGAAAGGGAGAAAAUGAUUGUUUUUGCAUAGUACAACAAUUAAUGGGAUAUUGUGCUAAUGAAUUAGUCUUCAAUUCAUUAUUCAUACAUGCUUUUCUUGACUCUGCGUCGUACACAUAUGUUUCUUGCUUUGCUUUACGUGUCUCAUGAUUCAUGAAACCACUCAAGUCUCAGCGAAGGCUUGACUCUUCAAUAUGUUUCUUGCUUUGCUUCAUGUGUUUCAUGAUUCUUGAAACCACUCAAGUCUCAUAGAAGACUUGACUUCAUCAAAGAAGUGAGGAGACAAAAGCAAACUCAUAAUAUUAGUAUAAUAUAAAUGUGAAUCAUAAUUGUUAUUAAUUAGCUCUCUUAUUACCAUUUUCAUUGAUGAUGAUGAAUUAUAAUUACCUGCACAAUGAUAUAUAUAUAUAAAUAUAUAUUAUUUGAAUACAAAAAUAGAACUUUACUCAAAUGGUUUAUUUACUUCUCUUAAAAAGUGAAUACUUAUAAAAUAAGGUUUAAUUUUCAGAACUUAUAAACUUAUGCGAAUGGCAAAUUGAUAAUUUUUCAAUUAGGGAAAAUCCAAUUUAACCCAAAAUCAUCUUUAGUAAACUUAUUUUAUUAUUGUAUUAUACAACUUAAAAGUGAUAUUUCUACCAUUUAUCGUAAAAAUUUAUAAUAUAAAUAUAUACUUAUAAUAUAUAAAUACAUAUAAACACACAUUUAUAUAUAUCAAUUCUAUAAAAAAGAAAAUAUACAUAUAUAUAUAAUAGGAAUCCACUUACACUAAUAUAACUUUACACUUUUUAGAUUCUUAGAUUAAAAUUAAAUUUAUGACUCAUUUGAAUAGUAAUAAUAUUUUUAAAUUUUGAUCCAAGUAUAAAAAAAAAUGUAUAAAAAUUAUACUAGUGUAAGUAGAUUUUUUACGCACACACAUACAUAUAUGAAAGGUAUUAGAAAUUAUGGGUCAACGUGUCAUUAUCUAACUUAAGUAAAUCUCUUUUGAUUCAUUUAAAAGAUAAUUAUGAUUUAAUAUUUAUUGCUUGUUAAAACUCCUAUUGAUCAAAUAAAAACUAAAAAGAGAGUUAUUUUGUUAAUAACUCAUACAUUAAUAGAGUGUAUGAAUAAUAAUUAUUAAUUAAAGAAACAAAAAUUAUUCCUCUCUCUACCUAUAAAUUAAUGUAUUCUAUCUGAUGAUUAAAAUGUUAUUUUCGGGUAUAUGCUCCAAUGCUCAAAUUAGUAAGGUAUAUCAGAAGUAAGUAAAUAAGAGAGAGCAAAAAGCAGUUAAAAAAAGUAAAGAGAGUUGAGUAGUGAAUCACAUGUCUGGAAAGAUUCUACCUUUUCUACCUUGUGGGUGGCAACGUCGCUAAGACCUACUAUGUAGCUAUUGAAAUGACCACUUAAGUGUAACACUAAUGAAGAGCUUAAAAGAUAAUAAUAUUUUCGUUAAAGAUGAUCAAAGAAAUGAAACGGGAGAAAUGCUACAUUUAGAUGUUAUCAUUAGAAUGAUUAAUAAGUUCUCUACCGUAAAAGAUGAUAAAAGUUUAUUAUAAAUUUAACUAUAAAUAAAAGGAUAAACUUUAAAAAAGUUAUAUAUAUAUAUAUGUCAAACUUUGGAUAAUUAUAAGCCACAAAGUAAAAGUUUUUUAAAAAAUCAACAUGAUUGUUACAUUGAAAUAGGUAUUAUAAUUUGAGAAUGUAAUAUUGCAUAUCAUAUUGUAUCCUAAAUAUAUUAAAUAAUUUUUAAAAUUAAUUAUAAAUAAUAUAUAUAAAUAUACAAUACUUUUUUUAAAAAAUACUAUACAUAUUUAAUGAGAUUGAGUGAUUAAUGGAUAUAAACAAAAAGAUAUAAUUAUUUUUCAAACUCCUGACAUAUUGUGUUUCAAAAAAAUAUUUAUAUUUGAUACAUUGUUAAUAUAGAAAUAUUAUAUAUAAUAAGUAAAUCAUGAAAAUAUAUUUUAUAAAAAAUUGAUAUUUUAAUUUUAGACUCAUAAAAAUAAUGAUAGUAUGAGAUCUUUUCUAUUGGUAUUUAGUGUUUUCUUUGCUUUAUACUUUUAAAUCUUCCCAUCAUGAAAAUGCUAAGCUUUCCUGCCCCAUCAUUACUUUAUGAAUAAUAAUCUUUCUUGUAGUUUACUUAAGUCAAGUUUGUCUUUUAAAAAAGACAAAAAAAAAUAGUAAUUUACUCAAUGAAGGCUGUCAUUUAUCUUCCAACUAACUGGGAAUGGGUUUUAAGUUUAGUAAUUAUUAGUACUAUAUUUUAAUCUUUUCAAUGACUUAGACCAAAGCAAACGCUAAUAUUAUUAUUUUUGAAAAGUAAAGAUGGGAGCAAAAAGACCAAUACGCUUGCGUGCUUCAUACCAAGACAAAGUAUAACAAAGAUGCUUAAUAUUCUUUACAUAUAAGAAGAAAUCCUACUAUAAACAAUAUUACAUAAUUAGCUAAUAGUGUUAUUUAUAUAUCCGUGGGAAAGAAUCUCUCCACUACUAAAAAAUAAUGAAAAUUGUCACUAAGCUUGACGUCUGAAGGGAAGUAAAACUUGCAAAGAUUUAUCGGUCAAGUCAACUCUGUUAUUAUGUUAUUAACUGAAACACUUCUCUUUUGAAAAUUCUAAUUAAUAAUUUUGGUUAUUCUUCUUCUUCAAUUCAAAGUUUGAAUCUCCAUUUGUUCCCUCCAUCAACUUCCUCAUAUUUAGCAUUUAUUUUUUUCUAAAUAAGCAUUCAGAGAAAAGAAUAAUACCGUAACAAUUCUGUCUUUAUAGUAGUAUGCGUUAUUCUUUGAUCUGUAAUAAAGUUUAGUCAUCCUGGCACCGUACCAUUAGAUUAAUUAUUAAGAAAAAGGGAUAAAGUUUAGUCAUAUGGAUAUCGUUUGGUGCAUUUUUUUUGUUGCAAAACCUGCUGUAAUAGGGCAUCACAUGUUGUAAAAAUAUUGCCCACAUUAACUGAAAUUCUAAAGCAAAAGUAUGAAUGAAAUGAAACGAGGGCAAAAGGUGAAAGCAUGCCGGAAACAUUCAGCCAACAAAGUGAAAGUGCUGCAACUGAGUUUCCACGCAUUCAGAUUUCGCUUGUAUAUUGAUGUCAAAGUCAGAGGAAAUAAUUGGAGACAGGAGCUUAGCUUUAGACCGUGCUUCACCUUCCCAUCCAUUUCAUUAGAUUUGAUUAAUUGCUUCUCUCUUGGACUUCAUUUACUGAUGACAAUAUAUACUAAAUAAUCAUAUGUUUGGUAUUAUCUAAUUUGUUUAUAUUCUGAUAAAAAUUUAUAAAUUGAUAAUUAUGAUUUUGGAUAGUAAGUUUAAUAUCUGUAAUGGAUUUGGAUAGGAUUCUGAUAUUAUUCUUUAAAUAUCAAAUAUCUUAUCCGUUUAAAUUUUAAUAAAUAUUAUCGAACAUCGGAAUCCAUUAUCCGUUUACAUAUAUAAAAUUUUUAAAUCUUAACAAACAACAUUUAUUUGUUAUUUAUUAAAAUUGAACUUGAAUUUUAAAUUUAAUUUAAUUUAUUUUAUAUUUUUACAAAAAAACUUAAAUAAUCAAAUAUUUUAACGAUUUAGAUAUUUAGCAGAUAAUGCUUAUUUAAAUAGAUUUAGAUUCGGAAAUCAAAACUAAAUUUAAUUAAAUAAUGGAUUCUAAUAUAAUGAAAAUUAAAUAAAUUCAUAUACAAAUACCUCAAAAAUAGCAAAAUCUUUUUAUUAAUAUUGAAAAUUUAAAACAACAUAUUAAUAAUAUAAUACUGAAUUUAUCAUAAGUAUAGUACUUUUUAUUAUUUUUGUUUUUAAUAUUGUUAAUGAAUAUUGGUUUGGAUAGUAUGAACUUAGAAUAUAUAGAUUCAUAUUUUAUAUUUUAAAAUACUUCAAAUAAAAAUAUUAACCAAUAUCAUUUUUAAUGGUAAUGAACCUUAAUAUUAAUGAAUAAGUGAAAGUCACAAAUGUGAACAUUAGAAAUAUGAAAGGGACAAAAUGAUUGUUUUUUCAUAGAACAAAAAUUAAUGGGAUUUUCUAUUAAUGAAUAAGUCUUCAAUUCAUCAUGCAUGAGUUUUUCUUGUUCUUGCCUCGUACACAUAUGUUUCUUGCUUUACUUUGUCUAAUGUUGUUGGUCUAAAGUUGCUUUGUCUAAGGUCAGAAAUUUCUCUCUUCCUUCCAUCAACUACCUCAUAACAAAACAAAUAAAUAAAAUAAGUACUUAUAAAAAAAAUAUUAAUAAUAAAAUAAUUUUUUAAUUUGAGAUUUAUCUUAAUUGAUUCAUAAGUUAUUGUUGAAACUUAGUAUCUAACAUGUUUGAAGUUCAAUUUUUCAUGUCUAUAACACCUUCUCUUCUCAUAGACCAUGAUUUUUUUUUUUAAAUUAUAAUAAUUUUUUUCUAAAUAAUAUUAUAUGUAAUCUUAGCAUUGGUGUUGUUUUAUGCUAAUUAAAGUUUAUAGCCUUUGUAAUUGCUUACAAGCAAAGUCAUUCAGAAGACAAAAAUGGAGAAUGAACUUUGGCACACCGGGCACUAGUGGAGUCAGAAAAAGGACAUCGUUUGGUGCAUUUCUUGUUUCAAUCCCAUUGUCACGCUACGCAAUAAAUUAAUAGGAACUUUUCUCUUUUUUUUUUUUUUUUCUCUAUAUCGUUUAAAAGGGAAUUUAAUUUAAAUUGUUCAAAAUUAAAUAAUAAGUGUUCAACUUCAAUGUUUAAUUAGACUACAUAUUAUCAUCUUUACGAGAUUAUACUUAUCUUUCCAUAUGUCUUCAAUCAUCACUUCUAAGUUUUUUUUUUUUGUCAUUUAUUUUUUUAUUUUCAGUUCAUUUUCUAAUUCGUAAUUAAUUAUACUUUUAUUAUCUCAUUUUCUUUAUCUAUCAUUUCCUAUUUGGAUAUUUUAAAAUUAUCAUCUUUGCAUUUUGCAACACAAAAUGCUUUUACUUGUAUGUAUGAGUAUAUUCCAAAAUUAUUUUGAUUUUUAAUACAUUUUAUAUUUAAAACCUCAAAAUAUAAGUUUUAUAUAAUAAAUUUAAGUUUUAAUAAAAUACACAAAAGUCUAAUAAGUAAUUUUCUUAAAUACCAUAAAAAUCAAAUAGAGAAAAUGAAAAUUUGAUGGAGGGAAUAUAAAUAAAAUUUUAAUGUGAAAAAUUAAAAGAAAAUGAUAUGUAUAUAUAAUUUGAAUAACUCCCGCAAUUGUAAUGAACCUUAAUAUUAAUAAUAUAUAAAAAUUAAAAAUGUGAAAUAACUGAUAUAUAUAUAUAUAUAUAUAUGAAAGGAAGAAAAUAAUUGUUUUUGCACACUACGACAAUUAAUGGGAUUUUUUCUUCAAUUCAUUAUUCAUGCAUGUUUUUCUUGUCAUUGUGUCGUACACAUGUUUCUUGCUUUGCUUUAUGUGUCUUAUGAUUCAUGAAUCCACUCAUGUCUGAGCGAAGACUUGACUUCUUCAAAUAAUUGAGGAGACAAAAGCAAACUCAUAAUACUAGUAAAAUAUAAAUGUGAAUCAUAAUUAUUAUUAAUUAGCUCUCUUAUUACCAUUUUAUUGAUGAUUAUGAAUUAUAAUUACCUGCACAAUGAAAUAUAUAUUACAUGAAUAAAAACAUAGAGUUUUAUUUAAAUGGUUUAUUCAUCUCUCUUAAAAAGUAGAUUCUCCUAAGAUAAGAUUUAAUUUUCAGUAUUUAUAAAUUUUCGUUUCUUAAUUUUUCCUAAAUUUUUAUCUCUUUUGUACUUAAGCUUAAUUGGCAAGUUUUCAAUUAGGUAAAAUCCAAUUUAACCCAAAAUUAUCUUUAUUAAACUUAUUUUAUUACUGUAUUACAUAACUUAAAAGUGAUAUUUCUAUUAUUAUACUUGAAUAAAUUUAUAUAAUCGUAAAAUUUUAUAAUAUAAACAUAUACUUAUUAUAUAUAAACAUAUAUAAACACACAUGUAUAUACAUAUCAAUUCUGUAAAAAAGAAUAUAUAUAAAUAUAUAUAUAAAUAAUAAAAAUUCACUUACACUAGUAUAAUCUUACACUUUUUUGGACCCUUUGAUAAAACUUAAAUUCAUAAAUCAUUUGAAUCAUAAUAAUAUUUUUAAAUUUAGUAAUUUUGAUCUAAGUAUCCAAAAAAGUAUAAAAGUUACAUUAAUAUAAGUAGAUCUUUCAUAUAUAUAUAUAUAUUUAUUAUAUAUAUAUAUAUAUAUAUACAUAUAUAUGGAAGGUGUUAGAUAUUAUGUACUCAACGUGUCAUUAUCUAACUUAAGAAAAUAUCUUUUGAUUCAUUUAAAAGAUAAUUAUGGUUUAAUACUUAUUAUUGCUAAAACUCUUAUGAUCAAAUAAAAACUAGUGAGAGUUAUUUUGUUAAUAACUCCUACAUUGAUGGAACAUAUGAAUAAUGAUUAUUGAUUAAAGAAAGAAAAAUUGCUCCUCUCUUUGCCUAUAAAUUAAUAAUCAAGAUGUUAUUUUGGGGCAUAUACUCCGAGACUCAAGGUAGUAAGGUAUAUCAGAAGCAAGGUAAUGAGAGAGAGCAGGAAGCAAUUAAAUAGAGUAAAGAGAGUUUAGUAGUGAAUCACAUAUUUGGUUUGAUUCUACCUUUUCUAUCUUAUGGGUGAUGACGUGGAUAAAUGGGCUUCCAUGUGUAAGACCCAUUAUAUGACUACUGACAUUACCACAUAACUGUAACAAUAAUGAAGUGCUUAAAAGGUAAUAACAUUUUUGUUAAAGAUUAAAAAAGAAAAUGAGACAGAAGAAAUCCUACAUUUAGACGUUACCAUUAAAGUGAUUAAUAAGUUCUUUAUUGUGAAAGAUGAUAAAACUUUAUUGUAAAUUUAAUUGUAAAUAAAAAGGACAAACUUGAAAAAGUGUUAUAUAUAUGUCGAAUUUUGGAUAAUUAUAAACCAUGAAAUAAAAGUCCAAAAAAGAAUAUCAAUAUAAUUAUUAAAUUGAAAUAGGUACUAUAAUUUGAGAAUAUAAUAUCAAGUAUCAUAUCGUUUUGUAAAUAUAAUAAAUAAUUUUAAAAAUUAAUUAUAAAUAAUAUAUAUAUAAAUAUAUAAUAAAAUUUUUAAAAAAUAUUAUACAUAUUAAUGGGAUCGAGUGAUUAAUGAAUAUAAACAAAAAGAUACCAUUAUUUUUCUAACUCUCAACGUAUUUUGUUUUUUAAAAAAAAUUAUAUUUGAUACAUUAUCAAUAUAUAAAUAUUAUAUCCUAUAAGUGAAUCACAUAAUUAUACUUUAUAAAAAUUGAUAUUCUAAUUUUGGACUCACAAAGACAAUGAUAGAAUAAGAUUUUUUUUUAUUGGUAUUUAGUCUUUUCUUUGCUUUAUAUUUUUAAGUCUUCCCAUCAUGCAAAUGUCUUAAGUCUUCUUGCCCCAUUAUUACUCUAUGAAAAAUAAUCUUCUUAGUAGUUUACUCAAGUCAAUUCUGUCUUCUUUUAAAAAAAAAAGCAAUAAUUUACUUAAUAGAGGUUCUCUUUUGUCUUCCAAUUAAAUUGACAAACUAAGAAUAGAUUUGAAAUUUAUUAACUAUUAUUACUAUAUUUUAGUAUUUUUAAUGACUUGAACUGAAGUAAACGCUAAUAUUAUUAUUUUUUUGAAGUAAAGAUUGGGGCAAAAUUAUAGAUACAUUUGCUUGCUUCAUACCAAGACUAAGUAUAAAGCAAAGACUAAGACUUAUCAUUCUUUCUUUGGUUUUCUUUUUCUUUCUAAAACUAAGUAUAAGUCUUAGUCUUUGUCGUUAUACUUAUUUUUGUGAAGUAAAGAUGGGAACAAAAACACUGACACAUUUGCAUGCUUCAUGCCAAGACUGAGCAUAAAGCAAAGACUAAGACUUAUCAUUCUUUCUUUGGUUUUACUUUUCUUUUUAAAACUUCCCUUAAUUUCUAUGAUAAGUCUUAGUCUUUGCGUUAUACUUCCCUUAAUUUCUAUGAUAAGUCUUAGUCUUUGCAUUAUACUUAUUUUUGUGAAGCAAAGAUGGGGGCAAAAACACUGACACAUUUGCAUGCUUCAUGCCAAGACUAAGCAUAAAGCAAAGACUAAAACUUAUCAUUCUUUCUGUGGUUUUACUUUUCUUUUUAAAACUUCCCUUAAUUUCUAUAAUAAGUCUUAGUCUUUGCUUUAUACUUAUUUUUGUGAAGUAAAGAUGGGGGCAAAAACACUGACAUAUUUGCAUGCUUCAUGCCAAGACUAAGUAUAGAGCAAAGACUAAGACUUAUCAUGUUUGUGAAGUAAAGAUGGGGGCAAAAAGAUUGACAUACUUUCAUCCUGCAGUAAUACACAUCCUAAGAAAAUUAGCUUUCCAUGAUUAUCUAUACCAAAUCAUACUCCAAUAAGCAAUCCGUAAGUGAUAGAACAAUAUGUAGUGUCAAAGGUACCAGCAUCACCAAAUACUGUAUAUGCACAAAUAGAAUCCGCAUAUGACCAUGAAAUAUUUUCAACCUUACUAUUUUCAUCUGUAGUAUAAUCAUAAACAAAAUUAGCAUCCCUCUCUGCAUAGCCAUGCAGGCCUCAAGAAGUUCGAAUGUAUCAUUUUCUCUUUUCUCGAUAAGCAAAGCAUCACUUUCCUGAACAAUCUUUUCACAAGUCCGUACAAAAUCCCUAGUAUCCUUCUUGAUAAAAGGCAACUGUCCGGGCUGGACUCCCUUUUCUAAUUCCAAAACCUUCAUAACAAUUUUUUAAAAAGACAGAAAAAAUAACAAUUUUCUCGAUGGAGGUUACCUUUUCUUUUCUAGUUAAAUUGGCAUAUUGAGAAUGGAUUUUAAGUAUAUUAUUAUUAUUAUUAUUAUUAUUAUUAUUAUUAAUUUUAGUUUUUUUAAUGAUUUAGACCGAAGCAACUGCUAAAAUUAUUAUUUUUGUGAAGUAAAGAUGGAGGCAAAAAGACUAACAUUUGCAUGCUUGAUGCCAAGACUAAGUAUAAAGCAAAGACUAAGACUUAGACCAAUACAUUCCUAUGGUAUCUAUUAUUUUCUUUCUUAUUCCACCAUUAUAAAAUCCUAAUUUCCAAAAUAAGUAAGUUUAAGAAGUAAGAAUGAAUGUGUUUUUUAGAUUUUUUUUUUCAAACCUUUCAACAAAAAUAAAACACAAGUUUUUAUUUUGUCGAUUUUUUUUUGCCAAUCAAUUUGUUGAUUAAGCAACUUGUUUUUCAUGCGAUUGUUCCAAAUGUACUUUUAGAUUCAUGGCAUGCUCAUUUUUUUUUUUUUAGUUUUUAUUUUUAAUAUAUUUUUAAAAGAUCCUAUGAUUUAAAAAUUCAAUGAACCAAUAACCAUGUAGUCUGUUAGUAAAAUGCAAAACUUUUAGUUUCAGUAGUUUAAAAUUCAUAUGCUGACAACCUCACAAACCAAAAAAAAAAAGACAAUCUUCUAAUUUCACAAAUUUUUUGUAUACAAGCUAACUUUUAUAUAUAUAUACCAAUUUCUUUAUGUAUGAUUAAUAAAGGAUUUAAAUUUUAUAAAUGGUAUUAGAAUCUCAUAUUUUCUGUAUGUAUGAUAUUUUCUCUUAAUUAUUUUUUUUCAAACCUAAAUGUAACUUUAUUAACUUAUCGAAUAUGAAAAUCUGGAAGUUAUUUAACUUAUCAAAAAUGUAUAUCUAGAAGCUUUAAAAUUAAAAUGAGAUGGAUAAAUAAGUGAUUUCACUUAAAAGAUUUAAAAAAAAAAGUGUAUGUAAAGAAAAAAAAAUGGUAUAUUUAGAAUCACCCAUCACAAAAUUAUACUUUAUAAAAAAUUUUGACAUUCUAAUUUUGGACUCAUAAAGAAAAUGAUAGUAUGAGAUUUUUUUUAUUGGUAUUUAUUCUUUUCUUUGCUUUAUACUUUUAAGUCUUGUCAUCAUGCAAAUGUUUAAGUCUUCUUGCUCCAUCAUUUCUCUUGUGAAAAAUAAUCUUCUUAGCAAUUUGCUUAAGUCAAGUCUAUCUUUUAGAAAAGACAAAAAAUAAAAACAUAGCAAUUUUCUCAGUGGAUGUCAUUUUUUGUCUUUUAGUUAAAUUAGCAAAUUGAGAAUGGAUUUUAAAUAUAUUAAUUAUUAUUGUUAUAUUUUAGUAUUUUUAAUUAUUUAGACUGAAGUAACUACUAAGAUUUUUAUUUUUGUGAAGUAAAGAUGGGGGCAAAAAGACUAACACAUUGGCAUGCUUGAUGCCAAACUAAGUAUAAAGCAACAACUAAUACUUAGACCAAUUCAUUCCCAUAGUAUCUAUCAAUUUCUUUCUUAUUCCACCAUUAUAAUGUCACAAUCUCCAAAAUAGACAAGUUUGAGAAGUGAGAAUGAGUGUGUUCUUUAGAUUUUUUUUUUUCAAACUUUUCAACAAAAAUAAAACAUAGGUUUUUAAUUUGUUAUUUUUUCUUUUGCUAAUCAAUUUGUUGACUAAGCAACUUGUUUCUAAUGCUUUUGUUCCUAAUGUACUAUUAGAUUUCAUGGUGUGUAUUUUUUUUAUUUUUUAUUCUUAUUAUAUUUUAAAUAGAUCCUAUGAUUUAAAAAUUCAAUGAGCCAACAACUAUGUAGUAUGUUAGUAAAAACUAAACUCUUAUUUUCAGUAGUUUAAAAUUCAAAUUCUAACAGCCUCAAAUAAAAAAAAAGAAAAAAUCUUUUGAUUUCACAAUUUUCAUGUAUAUUUCAAUUUCUUCACAUAUGAUUUAUAGAGGAUUUAAAUUUUAUAAAUAGUAUUAGAAUCUUAUGCUCUUUAGAUAUUUUCUGUCAACUAUCUUUUUCCAAACCUAAAUGUAAUUUGUUUUAAAUUACCAGAUAUGAAAACCCGUAUGUUCUAUAACUUAUCAUAAAUGCAUAUCUAGAAGUUUUAAAAUUAAAAUGAGAUGGAUAAAUAGGUAAUUUCACUUAAAAAUUAAAAAAAAGUAGAUGUAGGGAAAAAUGAUGAUGUACUUAGAAUCACCCAUCACAAAAUUAUACUUUUAUAAAAAGUUGAUAUUUUAAUUCUGGACACACGUAGAGAAUGAUAGUAUGAGAUUUUUUUAUUGGUAUUUAGUCUUUUCUUUGCUUUAUUCUUUUGAGUCUUCCCAUCAUGCAAAUGUCUAAGUCUUCUUGCCCUAUUAUUAGGCUAUGAAAAAGAAUUAUGAUAGGGCAAGAAAACUUAAACAUUUGCAUGAUGGGAAGACUUAAAAUUAUAAAGCAAAGCAAAGACUAAAUACCAAUAAAAAAAAUCUCAUCCUAUCAAUUUCUUUGCGAGUCCAAAAUUAGAAUAUCAAUUUUUUUUUAAUAAAGUAUAAUUUUGUGAUGGGUGAUUCUAAAUACACCAUCAUUUUUUUCUCUACAUUUACUUUUUUCUUAAUUUUUAAGUGAUAUUACUUAUUUACCCAUCUCAUUUUAAUCUUAAAGUUUUUAAAUAUGCAUUUUUGAUAAGUUACAUAACUUAUUGGAUUUUCAUAUCCGAUAAGUUAAAAAAAGUUACAUUUAGGUUUGAAAAAAAAGGUUAAGAGAAAAUAUCUUAUAAAAAGUAUGAGAUUCUAAUACCAUUUAUAAAAUUUAAAAACUCCAUUAAUCAUAUGUGAAGAAAUUGAACUAUAUAUAUAAAUAAAUUACCUCGUAUACAUGAAAUUUGUGAAAUCAAAAGAUCAUCUUUUUUUUUUUUGUAUGCGAGGUUGUUAAGAUUUGAACUUUAAACUACUAAAAUUAAAAAUCCAACAUUUUACCAACAAACUACAUGGUUAUUGGCUCAUUGAAUUUUUAAAUUAGAGGAUCUCUUUAAAAUAUAUUAACAACAAAAAAAAACUAAAGAAAGAAAUACAUAUACCAUAAAAUCUAAUAGUACAUUAAGAACAAAAAGAUGAGAAACAAGCUACUUAAUCAACAAAUUGAUUGGCCAAAAUAAUCAAUAAAUUAAAAGCCUGUGUUUUAUUUUUGCUGAAAAGUUUGAAAAAAAAAUCUAAAGAACACAUUCAUUCUCACUUUAUAAACUAGUCUAUUUUGGAAAUUGUGAUUUUAUAAUGGUGCAAUAAGAAAGAAAAUGAUAGACACUAUAGGAAUGUGUUGGUCUAAGUCUUAGUCUUUGCUUUAUACUUAGUCUUGACAUCUUUUUACACCCAUCUUUACUUCACAAAAGUAAUAAUCUUAGCAGUUGCUUCAGUCUAAAUCAUUAAAAAGACUAAAAUAUAACAAUAAUAAUUAAUAUACUUAAAAUCCAUUCUCAGUCUACUAAUUAAAGUGGAAGAUAAAAGAUAAUUUCCAUUGAGAAAAUUGCUAUGUUUUUUUUUCUAAUCUUUUUUAAAAGACAUACUGGACUUAAGCAAACUGUUAAGAAAAUUAUUUUUUCACAAGGUAAUGGUGGGGCAAAAUGACUUAAACACUUGCAUGAUGGGACAACUUAAAAGUAUAAAGUAAUGAAAAGAAUAAAUACCAAAAAAAAAAAACUCAUAUUAUCAUUUUCUUUGUGAGUCCAAAUUAGAACAUCAAUUUUUUUUAUAAAAGUAUAAUUUUGUGAAGGUCGAUUCUAAAUACACCAUCAUUUUUUUUCUACAUAUACUUUUUUUUUUAAUUUUUAAGUGAAAUUACUUAUUUAUCCAUCUCAUUUUAAUUUUAAAGCUUCUAGAUAUACAUUUAUGAUAAGUUAUAUAUCUUAUUAAAUUUUCAUAUCUGGUAAGUUAAAAAAAGUUAUAUUUAGGUUUAGAAAAAAAUAAUUAAUAGAAAAUAUCUUAUAGAAAGUAUGAGAUUCUAAUACCGUUUAUAAAAUUUAAAUCCUCUAUUAAUCAUAUGUGAAGAAAUCAAUAUAUAUAUGUGUGUGUGUGUAUAUAUAUAAUUAUCUCAUAUACAUGAAAUUUGUGAAAUCAUAAUAUUAUCUUCUUUUUUUUUGUAUGUCAGGUUAUGAGGAUUUGAACUUUAAACUAUCAAACUAGGAAUUCAAUAUUUUACUAAUAAAUUACAUGGUUAUUGGCUCAUUGAAUUUUUAAAUCAGAGAAUCUCUUUCAAAUAUAUUAACAAGAAGAAAACUAAAAAAAUAAAAUAAUGUAGACACCAUGAAAUCUAAUAGUACAUUAGAAAUAAAAACAUGACAAACAAGUUGCUUAAUCAACAAAUUGAUUGGCCAAAAAAAAAAACCAACAAAUUAAAAACCUAUGUUUUAUUUUUGUUGAAAAGUUUGAAAAAAAAAAUCUAAAGAACACAUUCAUUCUUACCUUUGAAGCUUGUCUAUUUUGAAGAUUGUGAUUUUAUAAUGGUGGAAUAAGAUAGAAAAUGAUAGAUACGAUGCGAAUGUAUUGGUUUUAGUCUUUGCUUUAUACUUAGUCUUGGCAUCAAAUAUGCAAAUGUGUCAAUCUUUUUGCCCCUAUCUUUACUUCACAAAAAUAAUAAUUUUAGCAGUAGCUUCAGUCUAAGUCAUUAAAAAUACUAAAAUAUAACAAUAAUAAUUAAUAUACUUAAAAUCUAUUGUCAAUCUACUAAUUUUACUAGAAGACAAAAGAUAACCUCUAUUGAGAAUAUUGCUAUGUUUUCGUAAGAUUUUUUUUAACUAUUUUUUUUCUAAACCUAAAUGUAACUUUUUUUAACUUACUGAAUAUGAAAAUCUGGUAAGUUGUAUAAUUAUAAAAAAUAUAUAUCUAGAAGCUUUAAAAUUAAAAUGAAAUGGAAAAAUAAGCGAUUUCACUUACAAAUUAAAAAAAAAAAAAGAUGUAUGUAGAGAAAAAAAAUGAUGGUGUUUUUGAAAUCACCUAUCACAAAAUUAUACUUUAUAAAAAAAAUUGAUAUCUAAUUUUGGACUUACAAAGAAAAUGAUAGUAUGAGAUUUUUUUUAUUGGUAUUUAUUCUUUUCUUUGCUUUAUACUUUUAAGUCUUCCUAUCAUGUAAAUGUCUAAGUCUUCUUACCCCAUCAUUACUCAAUCAAAAAUAACUUUCUUAGCAGUUUGCUUAAGUCAAGUCUAUCUUUUAAAAAAGAUAAAAACAUAGCAAUUUUCUCAAUGAAGGUUGUCUUUUUGUCUUCCAUUUAAAUUAGCCUGAGAAUGGCUUUUAAGUAUAUUAAUUAUUAUUGUUAUAUUUCAGUAUUUUUAAUGAUUUAGAUUAAAACAACUGCUAAGAUUAUUAUUUUUGUGAAGUAAAGAUAGGGGCAAAAAGAUUGACACAUUUGCAUGCUUGAUGCCAAGACUAAGUAUAAAGCAAAGACUUAAGACUUAGACCAAUACAUUCCCAUAGCAUCUAUCAUUUUCUUUCUUAUUCCACCAUUAUAAAAUCUCAAGUUCCAAAAUAGACAAAUUUGAAAAGUGAGAAUGAAUGUAUUUUUUAGAAUUUUUUUAAAAACUUUUCAGCAAAACUAAAACACAAGUUUUUAAUUUGUUGAUUUUUUUUGGCCAAACAAUUUGUUGAUUAAGCAACUUGUUUCUCAUGUUUUUGUUCCUAAUGUACUAUUAGAUUUCAUCACAUGUGCAUUUUUUUUUUAUAUUUUUUAGUUUUUAUUAUUAAUACAUUUUAAAGAGAUCUUUGAGUUAAAAAUUCAAUAAGCCAAUAUCCAUAUAGUCUAAUUAGUAAAAUGCUAAACUCUUAGUUUUUUAGUAGUUUAAAGUUCAAAUCUUGACAACUUCACAAAGAAAAAAAAACAAAUUUCUAAUUUUGCAAAUUUCAUGUGUAUGAGAUAAUUUUUAUAUAUUUUGAUUUCUUCACAUAUGAUUAGUAGAGGAAUUAAAUUUUAUGAAUGGUAUUAGAACCUCAUACAUUCUGGAAGAUAUUUUCCUUGAACUAUUUUUUUUAAGCAUAAAUGUAGCUUUUUUUUAACUUAUCAGAUAUAAAAAUCUAGUAAAUGGAAAUGUGAAUUUAGAAGCUUUAAAAAUAAAACUAGAUGGGUAAAUGGUAGUAUCACUAAGAAAAUUAAAAAAAAAAGUGAACGUAGAGAAAAAAAUGAUGGUAUGUUUAGAAUCAUCCAUCUCAAAAUUAUACUUUAUAAAAAACUUGACAUUUUAAUUUUGGACUUCCAAAGAAAUUGAUAGUAAUGAGAUUUUUUUAUUGAUAUUUAGUCUUUUCUUUGCUUUAUUCUUUUUAGUCAUCCAUCAUGUAAUUGUCUAAGUCUUCUUGUCCCAUUAUUACUCUAUGAAAAAUAAUCUUCUUAAUAGUUUGCUUAAGUCAAGUCAAUCUUUUAAAAAAGAUAAAAAGCAUAGCAAUUUUCUUAAGGGAGGUUGUCUUUUGUUUUCCAGAUAAAUUAGCAUAUUAGGAAUGCAUUUUAAGUAUAUUAAUUAUUAUUGUUAUAUUUUAAUCUUUUUAAUGACUUAGACUGAAGGAACUGCUAAGAUUGCUACUUUUGUGAAGUAAAAAUGGGGGCAAAAAGACUUACACAUUUGCAUGCUUGAUGCCAAAACUAAAUAUAAAGCAAAGACUAAGACUCAGACCAAUACAUUCCCAUAGUAUCUAUCAUUUUCUUUCUUAUUCCACCAUUAUAAUAAUAUCACAAAUUUCAAAAUAAACAAGUUUGAGAAGUAAGAAUGAAUGUGUUGUUUAGAUUUUUUUUCGUCAAACUUUUUAGAAAAAAUAAAACAUAUGUUUUCAAUUUGUUGAUUUGUUUUUUUGCCAGUUAAUUUGAUUAUUAAGGAACUUGUUUCUCAUGCUUACCUAAUGUACUACUAGAUUUCAUGGUAUGUCCAUUUUUUUUUUUUUAGUUUUUUUAUUGUUAAUAUGUUUUAAAGAGAUCCUCUCAUUUAAAAUUCAAUGAUGUCUAUUAAUAAAAUGCUAAACUCUUAGUUCCAAUAAUUUAAAGUUCAAAUCUUGACAACCUCAUGUACCACAAAAAAAAAAAAAAAAACAAUCCUUUAAUUUCACAAAUUUCAUUUAUACAAGAUAAUUUUUAUAUAUUUCAACUUAUUCACAUAUGAUUAAUAGAGUUUUUAAUUUUUAUAAAUGGUAUUAGAAUAUUAAUACAUAUCCUAAUAUUUUUAUAUAACUUUUAAUAUAUUUAUAAAAGGGUUUGUGACAACCCUCUAACACUUAUAAUCUAAAAACUCUACAAACUGAUUGCAUGUUCUAAGUUAUAUGAUUCAACAUAUACCAACCAAGUUAAUUAGUAAUUUAAUUGUUUGAUAAAUUUGAAGGUAAAAUGAAUGAAAUUUUUGCAGCCAAUAAGGAAUAUGCUUUUAUUCCCAGAAACAAACCAGAUGAAAUGGAUGAAGGUGAAGAAUGAACUAUUUUGGAACAAGAAAUCACUAGUAUUUGGAUUUUUGAAGCAUUAUAACAUCAAGAAAAUCUGACCACAACAACUAAACAUCUGCAUCAAGUUGCAUAUUUACAUCAGAGCAAUCAAAUGAUUCCACUGAUGUUUUCUCCUCUAUUCCCUCUAAGUGACACAACAUAUCAAACUCAACUUUGAACUCUUCAUACUAUGGCCUAAAUGGUAGAGAGAACCAACUUGAUAAUUUGGAAAGAACAUGCCAUGAACAUAUAACAUGUUCUAUAUUUGCCGAUUCUCUUGCAAUAGCAUCUUUCAGGUUAGAGUCAAUAACCAUUAGAAUCAAUCAACCCAUUUUGAGACCAAUUGUACCAAAAAUAAUUAAGUUAAACAUGGGUUAACUCUAUUAAUUAAUACUGAUAGCCUGAGCUCUUUUCACUAAAAUAACCAUAUCUCAAGAUAUCCAACUUAGAAUUAAGAUCUUUUUAAUACGUUAGAAACUAAAGUCAAUAAGUUUACUAACUAUAUAUGGCCCAUCUCGUGAUUCCUUAUAGAUUAAUUAAACAAUUUUUAUAAUCCAUGUCAUAUGCUGUUGUCAAACAGUAUGUAUACCUUCUAAUAAAAAUUACACAUUUAUUCAUAGGAAACUCAAAAUUCAAUUCCACUUGUUUUGUUGGAAAAUAAACUUAAUAACCUUUUCAAACAUAUAUGGCACAAUUUUUAAUUCCUUGUAUAAAAUUUAAGAUAAUUUUCAUAAUUCAACCUUGAUGAUGCUACCAUAUAGUCUGCAUAUCCUUAAGUAAAAAUUAGACAACUCUACAUAAAAAACUUGGAUUCGACUUCUGUUUAUUUCAUUAAAAAGUAGAUUCAACAUACUUUCCAACAAUAUAUAAUAAUCAUAGCAAUAAUCUAUCCAUUAAUACAUAAUUAUAUUUUAAUUCACUCUUGUAGAUCAUAGCAUCUCAUCUCAAAACAAAAUUUCUACUUCAAUAUUUAAAAACUCAAAUCCCCAUUUUCAGCCUUUAAACUCCAUUCAAUUAUCAUCAAUAAAUCUUAAGAACAUGAAAUAAACAAAGCCUAAUAAUUUACGCAAAUUGAUCAUGAAGAUUAAUGAAAGAUAUCAUAAUUUUCUUGGUUUUUCUCUCAAAACUUUAACUCCAUUUAAAAGCAACCAAAAUAGUAUAUUUAUCUUAAAUAAAAAUAGGGCUUAUGUCACCAUUAAGAGACUAACUCGAAUGUAGUCUCUGAUUUUGGAUUCUAUAUUUGAUUUUCAUGCUUUCUAACCUUAAGGAAGACCGGUAAGAAGAAUUCUCAUUUUCUUUUCUGUUUCAUUAUAACUGGAUUUUUCUUAGUAAAACACCUUAGCCACUUUUUCUUUAAUAAUUAACCUCUUAAUUAACUUAAUGAGCUUUAGUAAUAGUCUAGCCCAAUUAUCAUUUGGGUUGGGUAUUACAAAAUCACAUAUCUAUUUUGAUUCUACCUUUUCUAUCUCGUGGAUGACUACGUGGCUAACUGGGUUUCCAUGUGUUAAACCGACUAUAUGGCUGCUAAUAUUUUUCACUUAAGUGUAACAAUAAUAAAGAGCUUAAAAGAUAAUAGCAUUUUCGUUAAAGAUAAACAAAGAAAAUGAGACGGAAGAAAUCCUAUAUUUAGACGUUACAGUUAAAAUGAUUAAUAAGUUUUCUAUUGUAAAAGAUGAUAAAACGUUAUUGUAAAUUAAAUUCUAAAUAAAUGGAUAAACUUAUAAAAGUGUUACAUAUAUGUCAAACUUUGGAUAAUUAUAAGCCCUGAAGUAAAAGUUUGAAAAAGAAUAUUCGUAUAAUUAUUAGAUUGCACUAGGUAUUAUAAUUUGAGAAUCUAAUAUUAAGUAUCAUAUCGUAUCGUAAAUAUAAUAAAUUAAUUUUAAAAUUAAUUGUAAAUAAUAUAUAAAUAUAAAAAAAAUUAAAAAUAUUAUUCAUAUUAAUGGGAUUGAGUGAUUAAUGAAUAUAAACAAAAAGAUUUAUUAUUUUUCUAACUCUCAACAUAUUUUGUUUUAAAAAUAAUUUAUAUUUGAAACAUUGUCAAUAUAUAAAUAUUAUAUGCUAUAAGUGAAUCACAAAAUUAUACUUUAUAAAAAAUUAUUAUUCUAAUUUUGGACUCACAAAGAUAACAAUAGAAUGAGAUUUUUGUUGGUAUUUAGCCUUUGCUUUUCUUUAUACUUUUAAGUCUUCCCAUGCAAAUGUCUAAGUCUUCUUGCCCCAUCAUUACUCUAUGAAAAAAUAAUUUUCUUAAUAGUUUGCUUAAGUCAAUUCUAUCUUUUGAAAAAGACAAAAAAAUAGUAAUUUACUUAAUGGAGAUUAUCUUUUGUCUUCUAAUUAAAUUGACAAAUUGAGAAUGGAUUUUAAGUGUAUUACUAUAUUUUAGUCUGUUUUAUGACUUAGACCGAAGUAAAUGCUAAUAUUAUUAUUUUUGUGAAGUAAAGAUGGGGGCAAAAAGACUAAACACAUUUGCAUGCUUUAUGCCAAAGACUAAAUCUAAAGCAAAUACUAAGACUUGUCAUUCUUUCUUUGGUUUUACUAUUCCUUUUAAAACUUCCCUUAAUUUCUAUUAAGAUAAGUCUUAGUCUUUCCUUUAUACUUAUUUUUGUGAAGUAAAGAUAGGGAUGCUUCAUGCCAAGACUAAAUAUAAAGCAAAGACUAAGACUUAUCAUUUUUUCUUUGGUUUUACUUUUCUUUUUAAAACUUCCCUUAAUUUCUAUGAUAAGUCUUAGUCUUUGCUUUAUACUUAUUUUUGUAGAGUAAAGAUGAGGGCAAAAAGAUUGACACACUUUCAUCUUGCAGUAAUACACAUCCUAAGAAAAUUAUCUUUCCAUGAUUAUCUAUACCAAACCAUACUCCAAGAAGCAAUCCGUAAGUGAUAGAACACUAUGUAGUGUCAAAGGUACCAGCAUCAACAAAUACUGUAUAUGCUGGAAUAGAAUCUGCAUAUGACCAUGAAAUAUUUUCAACCUUACUAUUUUCAGCCGUAGUAUAAUCAUAAACAAAAUUAUCUUCCCUCUCUGCCAUAGCCUUGCCGGCCUCAAGAAGUUACGAUGUAUCAUUUUCUCUUUUCUCGGUAAGCAAAGCAUCACUUUCUUGAACAGUCUUUUCACAAGUCCGCACAAAAUUCCUUGCAUCCUUCUUGAUAAAAGGCAACUGUCCGCGCUGGACUCCCUUUUCUAAUUCCAAAACUUUCAUGAUACCAUUGACAGGAAACCCGGCUUUGGAGAGUAAAAGAAUUCUUUCCUGAUCUGCUUCCUGUAUUUUCCGAUAUGCCGGAAGCAAACUGACUUGGUCAUCUUCCAAUAAUUCAUGGUUAUUUACAUUACUAAAUUGUGAAACACACCAUUGAGUAACAUCAUGGAUGACUUCUUUUGUGGAAUAAAAUUUUGCAUCACAUCCACAUCGCACUGAAUUCCAGUCUCCCGGAUGCUCCACAUUGACCUUUUUUCUUAGUUGGUUAAACCCAUAUCUAUAACAGAUAAACUCUCGAUGGUAGAUCCCUAAAUUCUAGCUUUCUCUGGAGCAUGCUUUUGUUAUUGAAAAUCCAUUCUUCCGUGCAAAAUUGCUAUAGUACUCAAAAUAAUCAUCAUCACCUUUGAAUAUUUGACAUACAUAUGGCAUAAAGAUAGCUUCUGAUGAUAAGGAUGUUGAAGCUGUCUCAUUCUUUAUUACCUGAGAGUGCUGAAAGCUUACUGAUGUCUGAUCUUCUCCUUCAUACUUAACAUAACACUUCCAAUCACCACAUGGACACUGCUGAUGUCGAAUCCAAAUGUUUUUUGACGGUUUCAUUGUCAUGUUGUGGGAAAAGAAGUGAUAAAUUCCCAACCUUGAUGCUCUUCUUAGUACCUGGAGAAAGAGAAAGCCUUAAGAACUUCAUGAUCUUAGAUUUAUUAUUUGAGAUGAAAGAAAACAAAGACAUCCACCAGAAUAAAAAACAUCUUUUCCAAUAGGGAAGUGAAGGGGCUUAGCAGAAGUCCUGAACACCUUCCAAUUUCAGUAAGGAUAUUUUUCAGUAUAAUUUUUCUCACAUUAAUAAAAUUUUGGCCCCUGCGUGGGUGAGACUAUCGUUGCCCUUCCACAUAAAAGUCCUAUAAAGUGGAAACAGUUUUGUACUGGAAAAUCUUUUAUUCAGGGUAAGUUUUAACCAAAAUUGAAUCGGUAAAUGAUUAAUUUGUUUGUAAUGGAUACUUAUAAAUGCAAUACUUGCCAACUUUUGACUCCAUACCAAAGGGUUAAAGUUUCAAUAUGUCUCCCAACUGCUUAAAAGAAACAACUAAGAGUAUAAAAGAAACUAUAAGUCCCCUUCUAGUUGGAGCUUCUACUUUUUGCUUUUUGCUUUUAGAAGAAUUACUAGAAAGGAAAAGCCAAAGGUGAAAAAAAACAACAAUAUCAUAAUUGAUCUAAAACAGAAAAAAUAAUUAAAAUAUAAAAUCAAUUGUAACACAUUUAAUCUAUAUAGAAGUAGAAUUAUGUAGUUAAUCAUAAAAAAUUUACAUAUUUCAAAAUUUUAUUGCUUAUGGAAAUGCAAUUUUUGCUUUUUUGCUUUCGGAAGCAAAAAGCAAAAAGCAAAAAUCCAAUCAAACGGACUCUAAAUAAGACAAAACAACCAAGAACUUUACAUGGUUCACUAAUACAUUAAUUUUGCAUGAGUAAUUUUAUGUUCUCGAUAGUUCCCUUUUUUAGUAGUUUCUAUUUCUAGUUAUUAACUUAUAUUCUAAUUUUUUUUUAAUUUAAUUUUUAGAAGUUUUUUAGAAAUGAUUUAUGUAUGCACAGUGCUUGAAAUUUACAUUUUAUUUUGCAAUUACUUUAUUGUUUAUAGAAACAUCGUAUGAAGCAUAUUUUUUAAGACUAUGUUUAUGUAUACCAUAUACAUACAUACAUACAUCCAUACAUCCAUAUACACUAAUAUAAGGGCUACUUUUGAUAGUUUUAAUAGUUUAUGUAUAACUCUUAGUUUUAAUAGUUUAAAGUUCAAAUUCUGACAAUCUCAUAUAAAAAAAAUCUUCUUAUUUAAAAAAUUUCUUUUAUGCAAGAUAAUUUAUAUAUAUCUAUAAAUUUCUCCACAUAUGAUUAAUAGAAUUUUUAAAUUUUAUAAACAUUAUUAAAUCUCAUAUUUUUUGUAAGAUAUUUUCUCUUAACUAUUUUUUUCAAACCUAAAUGUAAUCUUUUUCAACUUAUCGAAUAUGAAAAUUCAGUAAGUUAUAUAACUUAAGAAAUGCAUAUCUAGGAGCUUUAAAAUUAAAAUGAGAUGAAUAAAUAAAUAAUUUCACUUAAAAAUUAAAAAAAGGAGUGGAUGUAGCGAAAAAUAUGAUGGUGUAUUCAGAAUCACCCAUCAGAAAAUUAUACUUUAUAAAAAAAUUGAUAUUCUAUUUUUUGAACUCACAAAGAAAAUGAUAGUAUGAGAUUUUUUUAUUGGUAUUUAGUCUUUUCUUUACUUUAUUCUUUUAAGCCUUCCCAUCAUGCAAAUGUCUAAGUCUUCUUGCCCUAUCAUUACUCUGUGAAGAUAAUCUUCUUAGCAAUUUGCUUAAGUCAAGUCUGUCUCUUAAAAAAGAUAACAAAACAUAACAACUUUUUCAAUGGUGGUUGUCUUUUUUCUUUUUUUCAAUUAAAUUGGCAAACUAGGAAUGGAUUUUAAGUAUAUUAAUUAUUAUUGUUAUAUUUUAGUCUUUUUAAUGAUUUAGAUUGAAGUAACUGCUAAAAUUAUUAUUUUUGUAAAGUCAAGAUGGGGGAAAAAAGAUUAACACAUUUGUGUGUUUGAUGCGUAUAAAGCAGGACUAAGAUUUAGACCAAUGCAUUCCCAUAGUAUCUAUCAUUUUUUUUCUUAUUCCACCAUUAUAAAAUCACAGUUUUAAAAAUAGACAAGUUUGAGAAGUGGGAAUGAAUGUGUUCUUUAAAAUUUUUUUUCAAACUUUUUAACAAAAAUAAAAUAUAGGUUUUUAAUCUGUUGAUUUUUAUUUUUUGCCAAUCAAUUGGUUGAUUAAGCAACUUCUUGCUCAUACUUUUGUUCUUAAUGUACUAUUAGAUCUCAUGAUAUGUGCAUUUUUUUAUUUCUUAGUUUUUUUAUUGUUAAUAUAUUUUAAAGAGAUUCUCUUAUUUAAAAUUAAAUGAGCAAAUUAAUAACCAUGUAGUUUGUUAGUAAAAUGUUGAACUUUCAUUUUCAAUAGUUCAUAAUUCAAAUCCUGAUAACCUCACAUAAAAAAAAAAAAGACAAUUUUCUAGUUUCAUAAAUUUCAUGUAUAUGAGAUAAUUUAUAUAUAUUUCGAUUUCAUCAUAUAUGAUUAAUAGAGAUUUUAAACUUUAUAAAUGGUAUUAGAAUCUCAUCCUUUAUGCAAGAUAUUUUCUCUUAACUAUUUUUUUUCCAAACCUAAAUGUAACUUUUUUCUAACUUACCAGAUAUGAAAAUCCAAUAAGUUAUAUCUAUAUGCUUUAAAAUUAAAAAAAGAUGGGUAAAUAAGUAAUUGCACUUAAAAAUUAAAAAAAAUGAUAUAGAGAAAAAAAUGAUGAUAUAUUCAUAAUCACCCAUCACAAAACUAUACUUUAUAAAAAAAUUGAUAUUUUAAGUUUGGACUCACAAAGAAAAUGAUAGUAUAAGAUCUUUUUAUUGGUAUUUAAUCUUUCCUUUGUUUUAUACUUUUAAGUCUUCUCAUCAUGCAAAGGUCUAAGUCUUCUUGCCCCAUCAUUAAUAUGUGAACAUAAUCUUCUUAGCAAUUUGCUUAAGUCACGUCUACCUUUUAAAAAAGACCAAAAAAAAAAAACAAUUUUCUCAAUGAAAGUUAUCUUUUGUCUUCUAGUUAAUGGCACACAAGGAAUGGAUUUUAAGUAUAUUAAUUAUUAUUGUUAUAUUUUAAUCUUUUUAAUGACCUAGACUGAAGCAAUUGCUAAGAUUAUUUUUGUGAAGUAAAGAUGGGGGCAAAAUGAUUGACACAUUUGCAAGCUUGAUGCCAAAACUAAGUAUAGAGCAAAGACUAAGACUUAGACCAAUACAUUCCCAAAGUAUCUAUCAUUUUCUUUCUUAUUCUACCAUUAUAAAAUCACAAUUUUCAAAAUAGAGAAGUUUGAGAAGUGAAAAUGAAUAUAUUCUGUAGAUUUUUGUUUUUCAAACCUUUCAGCAAAAAUAAAACACAAGUUUUUAAUUUGUUGAUUUUUUUUGGCCAAUCAAUUUGUUAAUUAAGCAACUUCUUUCUCAUGCUUUUGCUCCUAAUGUACUAUUACACUUCAUGGUAUGAGCAUUUUUUUAGUUUUUUAUUGUUAAUAUACUUUAAAGAUAUCCUUUAAUUUAAAAAUUCAAUGACCUAAUAACCAUAUAAUUUGUUAGUAAAAUGCUAAACUCUUAGUUUCAGUAGUUUAAAAUUUAAAUCCUGACAAUCUCACAUAUAAAAAAAUAAAAAAAAAAGACAAUCUUCAAAUGAAAAAAUUUCAUGUAUAUGAGAUAAUUUAUAUAUAUAUUUUAAUUUCUUUACAUAUAAUUAAUAGAGUUUUUAAAUUUUAUAAACAGUAUUAAAAUCUCAUACUUUCUAUAAGAUAUUUUCUCUUAAUUAUUUUUUUUUCAUACCUAAAUGUAAUUUUUUCUAACUUACCAGAUAUGAAAAUUCUGUAAGUUAUAUAACUCAUCAAAAAUACUUAUUUAGAAAUUUUAAAAUUAAAACAAGAUGAGUAAAUAAGUAAUUUCACUUAAAAUAUUUUUUUAAAAAGGUGGAUGUAGAGAAAAAAUGAUGGUGUAUUUAGAAUCACCCAUCACAAAAUUAUACUUUACAAAAAAAAAAUUGAUAUUCUAUUUUUGGAUUAACAAAGAAAAUGACAGUAUGAGACAUUUUUUAUUGGUAUUUAGUCUUUUCUUUACUUUAUACUUUUAAGUCUUCCCAUCAUGCUAAUGUCUAAGUCUUCUUGUCCCAUCAUUACUCUGUGAAAAAUAAUCUUCUUAGCAAUUUGCUUAGUCAAGUCUUUCUUUUAAAAAGACAAAAAAUAGCAAUUUUCUCAAUGGUGGUUGUUUUUUAUCUUCUAAUUAAAUUGGCAAACUGGGAAUGGAUUUUAAGUAUAUUAAUUAAUAUUGCUAUAUUUUAGUCUUUCAAUGACUUAGACUGAAGCAAUUGCUAACAUCAUUUUUUUUGAAGUAAAAAUAGGGGCAAAAAGAUUGACAUAUUUGCAUGCUUGAUGCCAAGACCAAGUGUGAAGCAAGGACUAUGAUUUAGAUCAAUGCAUUCUGAUAGGAUCUACCUUUAUCUUUCUUAUUCCACCAUUAUAAAAUCACAAUUUCCAAAAUAGACAAAUUUGAGAAAUGGGAGUGAAUGUGUUCUUUAGAUUUUUUUUUUCAAACUUUUCAACAAAAAUAAAAGAUAGGUUUUUAAUUUGUUGAUUUUUUUAGCCAAUCAAUUUGUUGAUUAAGCAACUUGUUUUUAUGCUUUUGUUGNNNNNNNNNNNNNNNNNNNNNNNNNNNNNNNNNNNNNNNNNNNNNNNNNNNNNNNNNNNNNNNNNNNNNNNNNNNNNNNNNNNNNNNNNNNNNNNNNNNNNNNNNNNNNNNNNNNNNNNNNNNNNNNNNNNNNNNNNNNNNNNNNNNNNNNNNNNNNNNNNNNNNNNNNNNNNNNNNNNNNNNNNNNNNNNNNNNNNNNNNNNNNNNNNNNNNNNNNNNNNNNNNNNNNNNNNNNNNNNNNNNNNNNNNNNNNNNNNNNNNNNNNNNNNNNNNNNNNNNNNNNNNNNNNNNNNNNNNNNNNNNNNNNNNNNNNNNNNNNNNNNNNNNNNNNNNNNNNNNNNNNNNNNNNNNNNNNNNNNNNNNNNNNNNNNNNNNNNNNNNNNNNNNNNNNNNNNNNNNNNNNNNNNNNNNNNNNNNNNNNNNNNNNNNNNNNNNNNNNNNNNNNNNNNNNNNNNNNNNNNNNNNNNNNNNNNNNNNNNNNNNNNNNNNNNNNNNNNNNNNNNNNNNNNNNNNNNNNNNNNNNNNNNNNNNNNNNNNNNNNNNNNNNNNNNNNNNNNNNNNNNNNNNNNNNNNNNNNNNNNNNNNNNNNNNNNNNNNNNNNNNNNNNNNNNNNNNNNNNNNNNNNNNNNNNNNNNNNNNNNNNNNNNNNNNNNNNNNNNNNNNNNNNNNNNNNNNNNNNNNNNNNNNNNNNNNNNNNNNNNNNNNNNNNNNNNNNNNNNNNNNNNNNNNNNNNNNNNNNNNNNNNNNNNNNNNNNNNNNNNNNNNNNNNNNNNNNNNNNNNNNNNNNNNNNNNNNNNNNNNNNNNNNNNNNNNNNNNNNNNNNNNNNNNNNNNNNNNNNNNNNNNNNNNNNNNNNNNNNNNNNNNNNNNNNNNNNNNNNNNNNNNNNNNNNNNNNNNNNNNNNNNNNNNNNNNNNNNNNNNNNNNNNNNNNNNNNNNNNNNNNNNNNNNNNNNNNNNNNNNNNNNNNNNNNNNNNNNNNNNNNNNNNNNNNNNNNNNNNNAUUCAGUGUUCCAAGGCACCAAUACAUGAUUGUGUUUAAUUCCAUUUGUGAUGGCAUAGAAAACAUUGUAUAAUUUGUCAUAUAUAUGAAAAUGAACUAAAUGGGAUGAAAUUUUCUUUCUUAUUCAUAUAAGAAAGAUAUGACUAUGGAGAUAGAAUGCCAUCAUCCAAUUAAUACAUUAUUGGUUAAAGAAAAUAAAGGUAUUUUUGCUUCUUGUACCUGAAAAAAUGGUCUUUUAUAGGCUGUUUUAAAAUGAAAACUGAACAAGUUUUUAGAGGGUUUUUAAUAGUAUCAUGGACAAAUGGCCAAAGAUGUGGCUUGGUUAUAUACCAGUAUUAACAUAUGGGCGUUAAAUUAAUAAAUUGGGUUUGUGAAAGCUGUAGCCUUAGAGUUAGGCAAUCAAUGAUUUAACCAACAUUGAAAUUCAUUCAUGAAUUUUUACAUGAAAUUAUGAGUAGAACUUUAGGAUUAUAAUUAUUGUUUAUAUUAGUGUAUGAAAAUGAUUAUUUGGAAUUCAUGUUUAUGACUUGCAUUUGAUAUAGUGAUCUAGAUAUGAACAUAUUGGUCACAAAUGAUUGUGAAAAUAUUUAAAAUUAGAGUUAAAUAUACUAUUAGACACUAUUGUAAAUAAGCAUAUUGGUCUUAUGAGUAAAGUUUUAAUUUAUUAUAUAUCCAAAAAUGUUUUGACCAAUUAAAAGGUGUUAAAUAACAAGAUAUAUAGGCUACACAAUGGUGGAGAGAAAUAAAGUUCUCAUAAAAUUUUGAAAUCAAGUUUAGAGGUUUCAAUAAUCAUGAACUUGGGAAUUGGCUAUUGGGCAAUUACUAUAUGCAUUGAAAACUCAUGAUAACAUUUGAGAUGGUUGGCUUUCACUAAAAGACAUCAUUAUAACUGAGAUAAUUUUAAUAGCCAAAUCUACAUGAUUUUUAGGUAUGAGGUGGAUUAUUAUGGUGGGAGUAGAAUAGCCAUAAGCCAAAAUUGAUGCCACAAUCUUGAUCAUGUUGUGGUAAUUUUUGUUACGUAUAUGGUCUACUUCAUAGAUUGUACAAAUGAUUUAUCAUCUAUGGUUUUAUAGAGUUAAAAUUUCAAAGUAUAUUUACUUUGGAAGCCAUGAGUGAUUCAAAGAUCUUAUGAAUUUGAAAACUUUUAUAAUAGCAAAAAGAAUGCUAUUUGAUCCAUUUGGGUGAUGAAAGUGGUUUUGUUCAUGGUAAUAAAAAAUUAUUAAUAGUGUCCAUGAUGAAAUAGAUUCAUAUAAAUAUUUAUGUAUUGACAUAAAAGUCUUAAAAAGAGAUCAUAGAAGCAUGAUUAUAUAUGAAAUCUAAUUAUUGAUAUAAACUCUUAUAUUAAGUUAAAAUAUAAAAGUUUUAGAACUUUUAUUGAAAUAUUAAAAUAUCAGCUAAUUAUCUUUCAUUAAGAAUGGAUUUGGAGGCCUCCUACUUAAAAAGAAAAAAGCCACCAAAUAGUUAAAAGAUAAAUGAAAUGACAAUUUGAUUAAAUAUAUAUGAUAUCUUGACAAUUGAAUAAGAUAUUCUUUAAUAAAAGAAUGCAUACUUGCACAUGGUGGGGGUGAUAAGAAUCAAAAUAAAUAAAAAUUACCACCAUAGUGUUAUAAGAUUUUAUUAAAAUUUUAUGAGCAAAUUAUAUAAGCUAAUAAGUUUAAACAUUUAUUAAAGUAAAGUCAUAAAAAAAGUCCUUAAAAAUCUUAGAAGGACUAAAAUUGUUUGGUUUAUUCAUUGAGUUUAUCUAAUUGUACUAGAAGUAUAAUUGUAUUAAAAAUGUAUAAAAGUAUGGAAAUAGAGUGGUUGAAAUUAAUAAAUAUAGAGUUGUGGCCACAACCAAAACCAACCAUUUCUUAAAAUGAUAAGAAUUAGGCAACAAUGUCCAAAGCAUAUAAAUGAUAUACAAAACAUACUAGCCUGAAGUAAUUAUAUUAGAGAUUCAAUCUCAAGUGGGGAUAAUUACCAUAAAAGAAAUUUGAAUUUCAAAAUAUUUGAUUUGUAGUAUUACAACUAGAAUGGAUUUAAACCCUUACUAUUAGACACCGAUAAUGGGAACUAAACUUUGAAUUAGUAAUCUGUAAUUACAAAGUUUAAUGGGUAAAAAUAAGUUAUUAUUACAUGUCUAUUAAACACUAAUAAAAUCCAUUUAAAUUUUAGAAACUAGUGUGAUCCAUUGCAAGGGGAGGAUAAGUUUUUAUACUUUUAAUGGAGUUUUAAAUGUCUAAAAAAAUGGAGACAUAAUAGAAACUUACCUAUAUUAACAUAGAAGUGGUGCCGCUUCAACAAGACGAAUUGGGUCUCUCUUGUAAAUGUUUAUGAAUAGGAUAAGCACAUAGCCAUAACAGUGCUAAAAACGGUUAUAAACCUCCUACAAAAGAAUAAAUAAGAAUUAUAUGUGUUAUACUUUAAUUCUAAUACCAAGAGUUGACGUUUAAUAUACGGAUACCAUCAACUUUAUUAGAAUUUUAAGAUAUAUACACUAAUUGAAGGUUUAAAUCGAGAAAUACUUUCUUGUAUUCAUAAUAUUUAUUAGUGUGAAAGGUAAAAAUUAAGCACCAACAUUCCAAACUAAUGGGGUAUUGUUGGUAGUUUAGAAUGUGGUGCAUCUCACAUUGGAUAGAAAGAUUUAAUUAUUGAUAGAUAAAAUUAAUUUUUGUAUGAAUUUAUUCAUAUUUUAAAUAAUUAUGUUUGAAUAAAAAUAAUUAUCAUAUGACAUAUGGUCAUAACUAUUUGAAUAUAAAUAAAUUAUUAUUCAUAAAGGUCAUGAUUAUAUAGAAUAUCAUAAUCAUCUGAAUAUAAGUUUAUGUCUUUUCAUUUAUUAUAAAUAAAUCUUUUAGUAUAACCAUUUUCACUACUUUUGAUUGGAGAGUUUGAGAUUAAUUUCUAUUAUUUCUCUUCUCUUAUUUAUUUUUUCUAACAUAUACAACUUCUCUCCCCCUAACCUUGUGUUUUCUCCCCCAAAGCCUCCUCUGCUCGUUUAAGAACUUUCUCUCGUAUAGCAUGAGCAUCUUCUGUAAACUUGGUCUCAGUUUCUAAGGUUGCCGUAGCUCUGCUAUCAUUUCAAACUUGAAUUUCCUUCGAAGACUCACAUUGAAAAAUCGGUUUAUCAAAUUCUGUAUUUGUUUCAGUGGGAGCAGCACUCCUGGAGGAUUCAGUUGAAAAGUAUAACUUAUUGUUAGGCUGCAAGCCUUUUUCUGAUUGUGCAACAGAGAUGUGCCAUUUCUGGAGUCUUCAUCUUCAUCUUCAUCUUCCUUUGUUGUCCUUUUCCUUAUGUUUUUGGCCUUUGUUGGCUUCCUAAAUAAAUUGCAGACUGAAAAAUCAAAGGGUCGGCUAUAUAAGUAAAUAUACAUAUACACCUUUAAAAGGAAAAAAAAAAAAAAAGAAAAAAAUUUUACUUGUUCAGAUUGUUAAGGUUCUUUUCCUAGAUACUGGGGCUCGCUUGAAUCUGUCAUCUUAACAGAAAAAAGAGCAAAGGUUUUAUAAGUUCCUUGCCUCAAGCAAGAUGAACUUCAAAUCGUUUCCGAUUGCUUCUUCAACACUUGAAAGAAGGUUUUAAACAAAGUGUCUCAAAAUCCUUAUUACUGUUAAUUAAGGUAAUGAAUGAUACAUGAUCAACAAGCUAACUGUUGUCAUAACAAGAUAAAAUCAAGCUUUCUCUCAUGAAAAGGCUAUAUGCUCAAUUUUACCCUAAAUCAUAAAUUUCUAUUUAUGUAAGAAAGUGAAGGAAUUAAAAUUUUUAUCCAAAUCACAAAAUGUAUUGGAGAAUUAGUAAGAAUCGGCCUUCAUCAAACACCUCCUUAUGUUUGAAGGCCUUCCUCAAGAAUACAAUUGUUCAUCCUGUGAACCCACUAAGAAGCCCAUUGUACGGCCCAACAUAUGGAUGGCUGUGCUGCGCAUGUAGCAGGGGAUGCAAAAUUCCCAUGUACUUGGAACAAUUUCCUAAGAGAAGAGAAUUUUAAAAAGCUAAUCAAAAUCAAAGAGAGUUUCAACAAAAUGAAACCUGAUGAAACACAGGGAAAUGGGUAGAAUCCAUAGAAUCUCUAAGGUAAACAUCGCCAGUUACAAGUAAAAGAGUGUGUCCCCUUCUCAACAGCUCUGCUUGAUGAGCACUUGUCUGACACCUCAGUACAGUUUGAGAGUCAACGUAACAUGUAUCAUUAUAGCUCCUGCUUACAUGAUCAGCAGGCACAAGGACCCUAUUGGCUGGUCAUACUGUUUGCAUAGCUCCAAAAACAGCUCUACCGAAAUGUAAAAGCCUUUUUGGAUUGGAGAGAUGGAAUGAUAUUCAAAAUCGCCUGGUCAAAUUAAAAAGCUCACUACAGAGACCAUGUAUUUUGGAACAACAUACUUUAAUGGGCCAUAUGUAGGGAGAGAGCAAUGUUUAUAAACUCAAUAUAUUAGCAAAACUAUUCUUUCCCUUGCACUCACUAACCCGCACACAAUCCCACAGGGGUUCAAGCCUACUGGGUAACUUAUGUAAUCCUAAGUUAAAACACAACCUUUGGUGAUCUACAAAAGCCCAUACAGAUACAAAAUUCAGAUCUUUUUUUUUUUAAAUUUUUCAAAGAUCCUUGUAAUACCCGUAAAAAAAAAGGGGGGGGGCUAUUUUAAGUGGGGGUUUAGUAAAGACUGAGAAAUGUAGAUGACCUAUUGAUAAAUAACUCAAUUUUUUUUAAUAGGGUUAACUUAUUUAGUUUUCAGUCGACGACUAAUCGAAAGAAAAAUACAAACUUAUUUUUCCUCUAUUUCUUAUACAGAAAAGAUAAAUUGAAGGAUUCCAAGUGAAGGGAAAGAACUAAUCUACAAGGAAAAUUGUCUAUCAAAGGUAAGUAAAUAAUCUCUUUCAAUUUUAGAAUAUUGAUUGUUAAGUCUUGAAGUGUAAUUUGUAAUCGUUCCAUUAUCUCUCUUCGGGCAGAUAAUUUAGGCUUUAAUUAGGGUCAAAUUAAGUGUUGAGAAAGUUGGUAAUGUGAUUUUAUUGCUGAAACAGAAAUUUGAUGAGAAUAGAAAGGAAAAUUUUUGUUUCAUAUGAAUCCUGAUAUGAAUCUUGUGUUUGUAGUGAUGGAUUAAGGUUAUAUUCUGUAUUAAAAGGUUAAAUAUUGCUAUGAUAAUUAUAUAUCGUUGAAAAGCAUGUUGAAUCUACUUUCUAAUGAAACAAACGGGAGUCAAAUUCGAGUUUUCUAUAAAGAGUUAUCCAAUUUUUACCUAAGGAUGUGCAGGCUGCCUAGUAGCAGCAAUAGGGAGGAAUUUCGAAAUUCCUCUUAAUUUUUAUACAAGAAUUUACAGAUUAAGCUAUAUAUGUUUGAAAAGCCUAUUGAUUCUACUUUCCAAUGAAUUAAGCAGAAUUGAAUUUGGAGUUUCUUAUGAAUAAAUACGUAAUUUUUAGGAGAAGGGAUACAGGCUGUCUGGCAGCAGCAUAUGACGUGGAUUGCAAAAAUUUUUAUAAUUAAUCCACAAGGAAUCACGAGAUGGCUCAUAUAUGGUUAGAAAGCUUGUCGAGUCUAGUUUCUAACACAUUAAAAAGAUUUUAAUUCUGAAUUUGAUAUCUUGAGAUAUGGUCAUUUUAGUAAAAGUAGUGCAGGCUGCCAGAAUUAGUUACUUGAGUUAUUUCUUAUUUAGAUUAAUUGUUUUGGUAUAAGCAGUCUUAAAUGGGUUGAUUAACUACUAUUAUGUUGAAAUUAUCUUGAAUAGGCCAUUAAUUAUUGAGGGAAAAAAACUAUGUGGCAGAAUCGGAAAGAGGUAAGUAGAAUCACACUUUGCUUGUUUUUGAAUCAAUGUAUAUAUAUGUUUUUCUAAAUGAAUAAAUGUUUUAUUUCUUUAUUUUCGACAUAUGAAAAUAGGAUCAAGCAUAUGAUUGUUUUGUGUUUUGCUAUGUAAAUAAUGGUUCAUGUUUAUGAAUGAAAUGAGAAAGUGAUUUUUGUUUAAAAGAAUGAUUUUAUGAUAGCUACGUUUUUACAUCUCUAGGAAGUGGAGUCUUCGACACCAGAACUAGUUCUACGGCCCUAGCUAAUGGUUUAUAAUAGUUAGCAAAGAAAUGAUCAUACGACCCUGUUAACGGGUUAUAGUAGUUAGUGUAAGGCCCUAGCUAGCGGGUUAUAAUAGUUAGCAAUGAUCAUAAGGAUGAAAUUGUUGAUACGGCCAAUGUCACGGGUUAUAUUAGUAACCAUAGCUAACAAUAAAUGAAUGAUAAUGAUGGUUUGUAAUGAAUGAUUUUUUUAUAAAUUGAUCUAUGAUUUGGUGACAUGUUUUGAUACUGAUUUACGAUCUAUGAAUACUUAAUAGAAUGCCGAUAUUUGAAUUAUUUUUGACAUUAUGCGUUGAUAAAUGUUUUAAAGAAUGAUCUAUAUAGUACGUAUGAAAAUGAUGUUUGAUCUGGUAAGAUGUGUGAGCCUAUACUUACUGAGCUAUAGUUUGCUCAUUCCCUAUUUUCUUUUCUUUUACAAAUAUUAUAAAUGAUAAGUAUGAUUAGUCUUGAGAGGAGCUAGAAGAAUCAACCAUUGGAGAACUACUUAGAAAUUAGGAUUUUAUAAAGUAUUGUUUUUUUUAGUUGUAAUACUUGACUUUGAACCUUUGGAGACUUGUUAUUUAGUUAUUUUCUUAAUGAGAACCUUAUUAUACUUGAGAGUUGUUCAAUGAUUAUGGAUUAGGCUUCAUAUUGCUUUGGGAUUUUACUUCAAAGUAAUAUGGCCGUGUUAUGUCUCAAUCUCAGGAUGUGACAAUCCUAAACCAAUUAUUCUAAAACAGAGCAUAAGAUUGAUUGUGCAGAAAAAAUUGGGCAGAGAUUAUCAAACUCAUCAAACAUGUUGGGGUAAUUAGUAUUGAAAUAGUCAUAUAUUCCAUUCUUCGGUUAUUCCUGCUAUGGAGCUACAUUCCCAGAUUUGAAAAAAAUUGUAUCCGGAAACAUUGUUUGUUAGAUCACCUCACCACAUCUACAAAUCCCACCAUCCAAACAUACUAAAUCAUUCAUAAAUUAUAAGUCAUGGAUCAGAUUUCACCAAUAACAAAAUAUCAAAGCAUGUUACCGUUCAAAUAUUCAAACCAAAAAACUCAAUAAUAGAUUUUGAUUACUGACACUUCAAUCAUGUAAUCCACCUAGACUACAGAUGCAUAUUUUGUUUAUGAUUAUUACUACAGAUGAAAUUUAAGGUUUGAAAAUAUUUCAUGGUCAUAUGGAGAUUCUGUUCGUGCAUAUACAGUAUUUUGUGAUGCGGUUUCCUUUGACACCACAUAUUGUUCUAUCACCUAUGGAUUGCUUCUUGGAGUAUGGUUUGGUAUAGAUAAUCAUGGGAAGCCAAUUUUCUUAGGAUGUGUAUUACUGUAAGAUGAAAGUUCUAAUUCUUUUGCUCGGGCUUUACAGUUUCGUGGACAUAAUUAAUUGUGAUCAAUCUGUAAUUGUCUUAUUGUCUAUUUAUGAUUUUCUUCUUUUGAACAGACUUUUCUUCGUUUUAUGAGAGUUAAACGUCCACAAACAAUUCUAACGGAUAUUGAAUCUAGCCUAAGAGAUGCUGUUGCAAGGGAAUUGCCAAAUACAAAACAUGUUAUAUGUUCAUGGCAUGUUCUUUCCAAAUUAUCAAGUCGGUUCUCUCUACCACUUGGGACACAGUAUGAAGCGUUCAAAGCUGAGUUUGAUAUGUUGUGUCACUUACAGGGAAUAGAGGAGAAAACGUCUGUGGAAUCAUUUGAUUGCUCGGAUGUAAAUAUGCAACUUGAUGCAGAUAAUUUUUAAUUUUGGGGAAGAGAGAGAAGGAAUGAAAUUGAGAGAUACUGUUUUUUUCUUUUGAAAUUUUACCAUGAUGUUUAGUUGUUGUAGUCAGAUUUUCCUGAGGUUAUGAUGCUUCAGAAAUCCAGAUACUAGUGAUUUCUUGUCCCAAAAUAGUUCAUUCUUCACCUUCAUCCAUUUCAUCUGGUUUGUUUUCCGGGAAUAAAAGCAUAUUCCUUAUUGGCUGCAAAAUUUUCAUUCAUUUUACCUUCAAAUUUAUCAAACAAAUAAAUUACUAAUUGACUUGGUUAGUAUAGUUGAAUCAUAUAACUUAGAAAAUGCAAUCAGUUACUAGAGUUUUUAGAUUAUAAGUGUUAUAAAUAUAUUAAAAAAUUAUAUUAAAAAUCUUAGGAUAUGUGUUAAUAUUCUAAUACCGUUUAUAAAAUUUAAAAACUCUAUUAAUCAUAUGUGAAGAAAUUGAAAUAUAUAAAAAUGAUCUCAUAUAAAUGAAAUUUGUGAAAUUAAAGGAUUGUCCUUUUUUUUUUUUUUGGGUACAUGAGGUUGUCAAGAUUUGAACUUUAAAAUUAUUGAAAUUAAGAGUUUAGGAUUCUACCAAUAGACCACCUAAUUGUUGAUUUAUUGAAUUUUAAAUGAGAGGAUCUCUUUAAAAUAUAUUAAUAAUAUAAAACUAAAAAAAUAAAAAAAAUGCACAUACCAUGAAAUCUAGUAGUACAUUAGGAAAGCAUGAGAAACAAGUUCCUUAAUAAACAAAUUAACAGGCAAAAAAAAAUCAACAAAUUGAAAACCUGUGUUUUAUUUUUUUCUAAAAAGUUUGAUGAAAAAAAAUCUAAAGAACAUAUUCAUUCUUACUUCUCAAACUUGUUUAUUUUGAAAAUUGUGAUAUUAUUAUAAUGGUGGAAUAAGAAAGAAAAUGAUUAGAUAUUAUGUGAAUGUAUUGGUCUAAGUCUUAGUCUUUGCUUUAUACUUAGUCUUAGCAUCAAGCAUGCAAAUGUGUAAGUCUUUUUACUCCAUCUUUACUUCACAAAAAUAAUAAUUUUAGCAGUUGCUUCAGUCGAAGUUAUUAAAAAGAUUAAAAUAUAACAAUAAUAAUAAUUAAUAUGCUUAAAAUGCAUUCCCAAUAUGCUAAUUUAAUUGGAAAACGAAAGACAACCUCUAUUAAGAAAAUUGCUAUUUUUUUUAUCUUUUUUAAAUGAUUGACUUGAUUCAAGUAAACUGUUAAGAAGAUUAUUUUUCAUAGAGUAAUGAUGGGGCAAGAAGACUUAGACAAUUGCAUGAGGGGAUGACUUAAAAGAAUAAAGCAAAAAGAAAAGACUAAAUAUCAAUAAAAGAAAUCUCAUUACUGUCAUUUUCAUUGUGAGUCCAAAAUUAAAAUAUCAGGUUUUUUUUAUAAAGUAUAAUUUUGUGAUGGGUGAUUCUAAAUAUACCAUCAUUUUUUUCUCUACAUUCACUUUUUUUUUUUUAAUUUUCUUAGUGAUACUACCUAUUUACCCUUCAAGUUUUAUUUUUAAAGCUUCUAAAUUCACAUUUCAAAAAAAAAUGCAUUUCCCAAUAUGACUAAUUUAUUGGGAUGAGAUUCUAAUAUAAGACAACCUCUAUUAAGAAAAUUGCUAUUUUUUUAUCUUUUUUAAAUGAUUGACUUGAUUCAAGUAAACUGUUAAGAAGAUUAUUUUUCAUAGAGUAAUGAUGGGGCAAGAAGACUUAGACAAUUGCAUGAGGGGAUGACUUAAAAGAAUAAAGCAAAAAGAAAAGACUAAAUAUCAAUAAAAGAAAUCUCAUUACUGUCAUUUUCUUUGAGUCCAAAAUUAAAAUAUCAAGUUUUUUUUAUAAAGUAUAAUUUUGUGAUGGGUGAUUCUAAAUAUACCAUCAUUUUUUUUCUCUACAUUCACUUUUUUUUUUUAAUUUUCUUAGUGAUACUACCUAUUUACCCUUCAAGUUUUAUUUUUAAAGCUUCUAAAUUCGCAUUUCUAAUAAGUUAUAUAACUUACUGGAUUCUAAUAUCCAAUAAGUUAAAAAAAAGGUUACAUUUAUGCUUAGAAAAAAAUAGUUCAGAGAAAAUAUCUUACAAAAUGUAUGAGAUUCUAAUAUCAUUUAUAAAAUUUAAUUCCUUUACUAAUCAUAUGUGAAAAUAUUGAAAUGUAUAAAAAUUAUUUCGUAUAUAUGAAAUUUAUGAAAUUAGAAGAUUUUUUUUUUGUGAAGUUCUCAGGAUUUAAACUUUAAACUACUAAAAAACUAAGAUUUUAGCAUUUUACUAAUAGACUAUACGGUUAUUGGCUUAUUGAAUUUUUAACUCAUAUGAUCUCUUUAAAAUAUAUUAACAAUAAAAAACUUAAAAAUGCAAAUGCAAUGAAAUCUAAUAGUAUAUUAGGAACAAAAACAUGAGAAGCAAGUUGCUUAAUCAACAAAUUGAUUGGCCAAAAAAAAUCAACAAAUUAAAAACUUGUGUUUUAGUUUUGUUGAAAAGUUUUUAAAAAAAUCUAAAAAAUACAUUCAUUCUCACUUUUCAAAUUUGUCUAUUUUGGAAAUUGUGAUUUUAUAAUGGUGGAAUAAGAAAGAAAAAUGAUAGAUACUAUAGGAAUGUAUUGGUCUAAGUCUUGGUCUUUGCUUUAUACUUAGUCUUGGCAUCAAGCAUGUAAAUGUGUUAGUCUUUUUACCCCAUCUUUACUUCACAAAAAUAAUAAUCUUAGCAAUUGCUUCAAUCUAUAUCAUUAAAAAUACUAAAAUAUAACAAUAAUAAUUAAUAGACUUAAAACCCAUUCUCAAUUUGCUAAUUUAAAUGGAAGACAAAAGACAGCCUUCAUUGAGAAAAUUGCUAUGUUUUUGUCUUUUUUAAAAGAUAAACUUGACUUAAGUAUGUAAUAAUAUAUAGAUCUGUAAAUCUAUAGCUAGAUACUGACUUGAGGAGUCGCCAUUAAUUUUUUUUUGUUUAGGUGCAAUCAGCCACUUAAUUGAAUCUAUCCCUUUUAAAGAGGAUUCCUAAGUUCGACUUAGGUAUCUCUAAAAGAUAAAUUCAAUGUCUGCGAAACCAAAACUAAGUCUGGGAAUACAGUUACGUGUGAGGAAGGUUAUAGCACCCUCACAACUCCCAUCGGAAGAUGGUACCAACUUGAUUUCGUGUUAUCCAUUAAGCUUAAAAAAUUUACCAAGUAAUUAAUUAUUAAAAAUUAUUCUUAAUUGACUCCAAUACUUUUGACAAAAAAUUAAGAAAAUUCCCUCACCUCAAGAGUAUACAAGAAAACUACUGUUUCUCUUGUAGAGGCUCCAUCGUCGGAUUAUUUAAUGUUUAAAAAUUUUUCAAAGAAAGAAAAAGAUAAAAGAAAUAAUAAUUCGACUUUUGACAUAGAUUUUUUUUUGUUGUUUUAUAAGAAACAAAAACUCAUGCUUUUAUACAAGAAAAAUUGAUACUUUCAACUUUUCCUUAAUGCAUUUUAAGGUUUUUUAUUUUCAAGGAAAAUUGAUACUUUCAAUUUUUCCUUAAGAAUAUUUUUUCGUCAAAUUUUAUUUUUAAGAAAAAUUGGUAUUUCCAACUUUUCCUCAAGAAAUGUUUUUUUGAAAAUUUUAUUUUCAAGGAAAAUUGAUACUUUCAACUUUUUCUUAAAAAUAUUUUUUGAAAAAUUUUAUUUUUAAGGGAAGUUGAUACUUUUAACUUUCCCUCAAAAAUAUUUUUAAAACAAUUUUUAUGUUCAAAGAAAAUUGAUACAUUCAACUUUCCUUCAAAAAUAUUUUUUCAAAAUUUUAUUUUAAAGAGAUUAUUUAAAAUUAAAGGAUAUUUAAUUAAAUAAAUAACUUAUUUUAAUUUAGUCAAUAAAUAAAUAAGGGAAAAAAUAAUAAUCAAUAAAUAAAUAAUAAAAUUAAAUGGAAAAGAAAAAAAAACCUUUCGUGUGGCUCAACUCAGCGGCUGAAACAACAUGGUUAUAGACACAAUAAGGGCUAGAAUGACAUUGCUUGGGGGUAUGACUCGGCUUAAGACAAAGACUGGAAAAAGUUGUUAAAUCUGGGAAUUUUCUAGAUUUUUUUUCAAAAAAAAAUUUAAAAACUCCAAAAAAUCUUAAAAAAAUUUUCUUGACUGCUUUCUCUAAUUUAUGCCUCUCUCCCUAAUUUUUUUUGUGUGUUUGUAUGAUCUGUGUGGGCAUGUAUUUAUAGGAUUCUGAAUUUGAGAAUUUCAAUCCAAAAAGGAAUCCCAAUUUCCUUUGAAUUCCAACCUCAAAUCCAACUCCAACUUUACAAACCAAUUCCAACAAUUUCACACAAACUCAACUACCUUUUUUUUUGUUUUUUUUAUUUUUUUAUUAGCAAAAAUCAAAAGUAAACUCUCGGACAGAUUGGGGUGUCUACAAAGCAAACUACUAAGAAAAUUAUUUUUCACUAAGUAAUGAUGGGGAAAGAAGACUUAGACAUUUAAAUGAUGAGAAGACUUAAAAGUAUAAAGCAAAGAAAAGAAUAAAUGCCAAUAAAAAAAAAUCUCAUAUUACCAUUUUCUUUGUGAGUCCAAAAUUAGAAUAUCAAUUUUUUUUAUAAAGUAUAAUUUUGUGAUAGGUGAUUCUAAAUACACCAUCAUUUUUUUUUCUCUACAUACUCUUUUUCUUAAUUUUUAAGUGAAAUCACUUAUUUAUCCAUCUCGUUUUAAUUUUAAAGCUUCUAGAUAUACAUUACUGAUAAAUUAUAUAACUUAUUGGAUAUUUAUAUUCAGUAAUUAUAAAAAAGUUACAUUUAGGUUUGGAAAAAAAAAUAGUUCAAAGAAAAUAUUUUACAAAAGCAUAGCAAUAUUCUCAAUGGAGGUUGUCUUUUGUCUUCCAAUUAAAUUAGCAAAAUGAAAGUAGAUUUUAAAUGUAUUAAUUAUUAUUAUUAUUAUUAUUAUUUUAAUGACUUAGAUUGAAGUAACUACUAAGAUUAUUAUUUUUGUGAAGUAAAGAUGAGGGCAAAAAAACUGACACAUUUGCAGGUUGAUGCCAAGACCAAGUAUAAAACGAAGGCUAAAACUUAGACCAAUACAUUUCCAUAGUAUCUAUCAUUUUCUAUUUUAUUCCACCAUUAUAAAAUUACAAUCUUCAGAAUAGACAAGUUUCAAAGGUGAGAAUGAAUGUGUUCUUCACAUUUUUGUUUCAAACUUUUCAACAAAAAUAAAACAUAGGAUUUUAAUUUGCUGGGUUUUUUUUUUUGGCCAAUCAAUUUGUUGAUUAAGCAACUUGUUUCUCAUGUUUUUGUUCCUAAUAUACUGUUAGAUGUCAUGGUAUCUGCAUUAUCUUAUUUUUUGGGUUCUUGGUUGUUAAUUUAUUUGAAAGAGAUCCUCUGAUUUAAAAAUUCAAUGAGCCAAUAACCAUGUAAUCUAUUAGUAAAAUAUUGAAUUCUUAGUUUUGAUAGUUUAAAGCUCAAAUUCUCACAACCUCACAUACAAAAAAAAAGAAAAAGAUAAUAUUCUGAUUUCACAAAUUUCAUGUAUAUGAGAUAAUUUAUAUACAUAUAUAUAUUUCUAUUUUUUCAUAUAUGAUUAAUAGAGGAUUUAAAUUUUAUAAAUGGUAUUAGAAUAUCAUACUUUCCAUAAGAUAUUUUGUUUAACUAUUUUUUUCUAAACCUAAAUGCAACUUUUUUUUAACUUAUUGGAUAUGAAAAUCCAAUAAGUUAUAUAACUUAUCAUAAAUGUAUGUCUAGAAGUUUUUAAAAUUAAAACAAGAUGGAUCAAUAAGUAAUUUCACUUAAAAAAAAAAUAGUAUAUGUAGAGAAAAAAAUGAUGGUGUAUUUAGAAUCACUCUUCACAACAUUAUACUUUUAAAAAAAUUGAUAUUCUAAUUUUGGACUUACAAGGAAAAUGAUAGUAUGAGAUUUUUUUUGUUUGUAUUUAUUCUAUUCUUUGCUUUAUACCUUUAAGUCUUCCCAUCAUGCAAAUGUAUAAGUCAUCUUGCCCCAUCAUUACCUUGUGAAAAAUAAUUUUCUUAACAGUUUACUUAAAUCCAAUCUGUCUUUUAAAAAAGAAAAAAAAAACAUAGCAAUUUUCUCAAUGGAACUUAUCUUUUAUUUUCUAGUUUAAUUAGUUGAUUGGGAAUGGAUUUUAAGUAUAAUAAUUAUUAUUGUUAUAUUUUAGUCUUUGUCAUGACUUAGACUAAAGCAACUGCUAAGAUUAUUACUUCUGUGAUGUAAAGAUGGGGCCAAAAAGAUUGACAUAUUUGCAUGUUUGAUGCCAAGACUAAGUAUAAAGCAAAGACUAAGACUUAAACCAACACAUUCCUAUAGUGUCUACCAUUUUCUUUCUUAUUGCAUCAUUAUAAAAUCACAAUUUCCAAAAUAGACAAGUUUGAAAAGUGAGAAUGAAUGUGUUCUUUAGAUUUUUUUUUCAAACUUUUCAGCAAAAAUAAAACACAAGUUUUUAAUUUGUUGAUUAAGCAGCUUGUUUCUUAAGCUUUUACUGCUAAUGUACUAUUAGAUUUCAUGGCAAAUGUAUUUUUUUCUUUCUUUAGUUCUUUCUAUUGUUAAUAUAUUUUAAAGAGAUUCUCUAAUUUAAAAAUUCAAUGAGCCAAUAAACAUGUAGUUUGUUAGUAAAAUGCUAAAUUUUUAAUCUCAAUAGUUUAAAGUUCAAAUCUUUACAACCUUACAUACAAAGGAAAAAAAGACAAUCUUAUGAUUUCACAAAUUUCAUGUAUACGAGAUAAUUUUUAUAUAUAUUUUGAUUUCUUCACAUAUGAUUAAUAGAGUUUUUAAAUUUUAUAAACGGCAUUAUAAUCUCAUAAUUUCUGUAAGGUAUUUUCUUUUUACUUUUUUUUCAAACCUAAAUGUAACCUUUUUAAAUUAUGGAAUAUGAAAUCUGAUAAGUUAUGUAACUUACUAUAAAUGCAUAUUUAUAAGCUUUAAAAUUAAAAUGAGAUGGGUAAAUAAGUAACAUCACUUAAAAAUUAAGAAAUAAAGUAAAUGUAGAGAAAAAAAAUGAUGGUGUAUUUAGAAUCACCCAUCACAAAAUUAUAUUUUAUUAAAAAAUUGAUAUUCUAAUUUUGGACUUACAAAGAAAAUGAUAGAAUGAGAAUUUUUUUUAUUGGUAUUUAGUCUUUUCUUUGCUUUAUACUUUUUAAUCUUCCCAUCAUGCAAAUGUCUAAGUUUUCUUGCCCCAUCAUUAUUAUUUUUCAUAGAGUAAUAAUAGGGUAAGAAGACUUAGACAUUUGCAUGAUGGGAAGACUUAAAAGAAUAAAGCAAAGAAAAGGCUAAAUACCAAUAAAAAAAAUCUCACACUAUCAUUUUCUUUGUGUCCAUAGUUAAAAUAUCAACUUUUUAUAAAAGUAUAAUUUUGUGAUGGGUAAUUCUAAAUACAUCAUCAUUUUUUUCUCUACAUCAACUUUUUUUUUAAUUUUUAAGUGAAAUUAUUUAUUUAUCCAUCUCAUUUUAAUUUUAAAACUUCUAGAUAUGCAUUUAUGAUAAGUUAUAGAACUUACCAGAUUUUCAUAUCUGGUAAGUUAAAACAAGUUACAUUUAGGUUUGGAAAAAAUAUAGUUAAGAGAAAAUAUCUUACAAAGAGCAAAAGAUUCUAAUACUAUUUAUAAAAUUUAAAUCCCUUAUAAAUCAUGUGUGAAGAAAUAGAAAUAUACAUGAAAAUUGUGAAAUCAAAAGUUUGGGUUUUUUUUUUUUGUGUGCGAGGUUGUGAAAAUUUGAACUUUAAACUAUUGAAACUAAGAGUUCAAUUUUUUACUAACAUAUUACAUGAUUAUUGGCCUAUUGAAUUUUUUAAUUAGAGGAUCUAUUUAAAAUAUAUUAAGAAUAAAAAAUAAAAAAAUGUACAUACCAUGAAAUCUAAUAGUACAUUAGGAACAAAAGCAUUAGAAAAAAGUUGCUUAAUCAACAAAUUGAUUGGCAAAAAAAAAAAAAGAAAUCAACAAAUUAAAAACCUAUGUUUUAUUUUUGUUGAAAAGUUUGAAAAAAAAAAAUCUAAAGAACACAUUCAUUCUCACUUCUCAAACUUGUCUAUUUUGGAGAUUGUGACUUUAUAAUGGUGAAAUAAGAAAGAAAUCGAUAGAUACUAUGGGAAUGUAUUGGUCCAAGUCUUAAUUUUCGCUUUAUACUUAGUUUGACAUCAAGCAUGCAAAUAUGUUAGUCUUUUUGCCCCAAUCUUUACUUCACAAAAAUAAUAAUCUCAGUAGUUGUUUCAAUCUAAGUAAUUAAAAAUACUAAAAUAUAAUAAUAAUAAUUAAUAUACUUAAAAUCCAUUCUCAGUUUACUAAUUUAACUGAAGGACAAAAGACAACCUCUAUUGAGAAAAUUGCUAUAUUUUUUUUGUUUUGUCUUUUAUAAAAGAUAGACUUGACUUAAGCAAAUUGUUAAAAAGAUUAUUUUUCAUAGAGUAAUGAUGGGCAAGAAGACUUAGACAUUUACAUGAUGAGAAGACUUAAAAGUAUAAAGCAAAGAAAAGAAUAAAUACCAGUAAAAAAUCUCAUACUAUCAUUUUCUUUAUGAGUCCAAAAUUAGAAUAAAAAGUUUUUUUAUAAAGUAUAAUUUGGUGAUGGGUGAUUCUGCAUACACCAUUUUUUCUCUACAUACACUUUUUUUUUUUAAUUUUUUAAAGUGAAAUCACUUAUUUAUCCAUCUCAUUUUAAUUUUAAAGCUUCUAGAUAUACAUUUUUUAUAAGUUAUAUAACUUACUGGAUUUUUAUAUUCGAUAAGUUAAAAAAGUUAUAUUUAGGUUUGAAAAAAAUAGUUAAGAGAAAAUAUCUUAUGUACAGAAAGUAUGAAUUCUAAUACCGUUUAUAAAGUUUAAAUCCUUUGUUGAUCAUACGUGAAGAAAUUGUUAUAUAUAUAUAUAUAUAUAUAACUUAUCUUGUAUACAUGAAAUUUGUGAAAUCAGAAGAUUGUCUUUUUUUUUUUUGUGAGAUUGUCAAUAUUUAAAUUUUAAACUAUUAAAACUAAGAGUUCAACAUUUUACUAAUAGACUAUAUAGUUAUUGGUUCAUUGAAUUUUUAAAUCAUAGGAUCUUUUGAAAAUAUAUUAACAAUAAAAACCAAAAAAAAAAAAAGUGCAUACCAUGAAUAUAAUAGUACAUUAGGAACAAUAGCAUGAGAAACAAGUUGCUUAAUAUUGGCAAAAAAUAAUCAACAAAAUAAAAACCUAUGUUUCAUUUUUAUGAAAAAAUUUGAAAAAAAAAAUCUAAAGAACGCAUUUAUUCUUACUUCUCAAACUUAUCUAUUUUGGAAAUUAUGAUUUUAUAAUGGUGGAAUAAGAAAGAAAAUAAUAGAUACUGUAGGAAUGUAUUGGUCUAAGUCUUAGUCUUUGCUUUAUACUUAGUCUUGGCAUCAAGCAUGCAAAUGUUAGUCUUUUUGUCCCCAUCUUUACUUCACAAAAAUAAAAAUUUUAGCAAUUGCUUCAAUCUAGGUCAUUAAAAAGACUAAAAUAUUAUUAUAAUAAUGAUAAUAAUAAUAAUAAUAAUAAUAAUAAUAAUAAUAAUAAUUAAUAUACUUAAAAUCUAUUCUCAAUAUGCCAAUUUAACUAGAAAAGAAAAGAUAGCCUCCAUUAAGAAAAUUAUUAUUUUUUUGUCUUUUUAAAAAAAGUAGACUUAACCUAAGCAAAUUGUUAAGAAUUUUUUUUUUGCAGAGUAAUGAUGGGACAAAAAGACUUAGAGAUUUGCAAGAUGGGAAGACUUAAAAAUAUAAAACAAAGAAAAGACUAAAUACCAAUAAAAAAAAUUUCAUACUAUCAUUUUCUUUGUGAGUCCAAAAUUAGAAUAUCAAUUUUUUCAUAAAGUAUAAUUUUGUGAUGGGUGAUUUUAAAUGCUAUGUCAUUUUUUCUCUACAUCCAUUUUUUUUUUAACUUUUUAAGUGAAAUUACUUAUUUAUCCAUCUCGUUUUAAUUUUAAACCUUCUAGAUAUGUAUUUCUAAUAAAUUCUAUAACUUACCAGAUUUUAAUAUCCGAUAAAAAAAGUUACAUUUAGAUUUUGAAAAAAAAAUAGUUAAGAGAAAAUAUCUUAUCAAAAUUUUUAAGCUUCCAGAUAUGCAAAUUUAGAAACUUUUAAAAGCUUUUGGAUAUGCAUUCUAGAGACUUUUAAGUGCUUCUAGAUUUACAAAUUUGAAAACUUUUAAAAGUUUUCAAAUUUUGUAAAUCCAAAAGCUUAAAAGUAAAAGGAGUGUGAAGAGAAAAAAGAAAGAGUAUUUAAAUAAUUUCAUUUAAAAUAAUUUUGAAAAAAAAAAAGAGGUGUGGAGAGACAAAAUGGGAGUAUAUUUAGAAUUUUCUUUAGUGAUUCACAUAUAGCAUAUAUUAUUUAUAAAUUAACAACGUAUCAAAUAUAAAAUUUUUCUUUUGAAAAUAGAAUGUGAUGAAAGUUUGAAAAAUAAUCAUAUUUUCUAUUUAUGUCCAUUAAUCACUUAAUCCCAUUAAUAUGUAGAGAAUUUUUUAAAAAAAUUUAUUUGAUUUAUAUAUUGUUUAUAAUUAAUUUUAAAAAUUAUAAAAAUUAUUUAUAAUAUUUACUAUAUGAUAUGAUACUCAAUAUUAGAUUCUCAAAUUACAAUGCAUAUUUUCACUUUAACAAUUGUGCUACUUUUUUUGUUUUUUGAACUUUUACAUCGUGACUUAUAACUGUCCAAAGUUCGACAUAUAUGUAACUCUUUUUAAGUUUAUCCUUUCAUUUAUAAUUAGAUUUAUAAUAAAGUUUUAUCAUCAUUUGCAAUAGAGAACUUAUUAAUGAUUCUGAUGGUAAUGUCUAGAUGUAGUAUUCCCACCGUCUCUUUUUUUUUUUUUUAGAUAUCUCAAAAUUAUGUCAUCUUUUUUUUUAUUGGAAUAUCUCAAACUCUUUUUUUUUUAUAUUUUAAAAUUAUUUUUGUGUCUUUUUAACUUUUUGACAUUAAAAAUCAUGAAAUUUUAAUCUUAUAAAAAAAUUAAAUUUUAAUAUUAAAAAUAUUAAAGUUAAAGUUUUUUUCUUAAACUCCAUAAAAAUUAAUAACCCAGAAAAAUGCUCACAUGCAUAAAUAUUAAUGCGUAUAUUUGCAGCAACAAUGAUGUAUAAGUCUCGUUCAAUUAAGCAUUAUAUCUACCUUGGUUUCCACAAUUAGAACAUACUUCAUUUAUUAAAUGCUCCAGUUAUAUGAGGUAGUAAAAAUUUAAUUUAAUUUGGAAGUGGUAAGGUCGUCGGAUCAUUGGAAAUGUCAAAAUAAAUGUGCGCAUCGUCAAGUGGUAGGAUUUUUUUUUUUGGUUAAUUUUCUUUACAUAGAAAUAUUUUGUUUAUUAUGAUAAAACAUUGUGUCCGUACAAAUGAAAAUAAAUGGCAAGAAAACAAGACUUUAAGGAAGAAAUUUUUCAAUAAUCCAUCUUUGAAAGAUGUGCGUGAUAAUAUAUCAAGAUAAGUUUUCAAGUAAUAAACAACAUAUAUUAUAUAUUAAAAAUUAUAAAAAAUAAAACAUGUGACAAUAUAUAUUAAUAAUAUAUACAAAUAUAUAUAUAUAUAAAUAUCUAUAAAUUAUGUGAAAUUUAUGAGGUCGGAGGAUUGUUAUAUAUCCCAAUAUGUUAGAAAGUAAAAAAUUAAUAUAAUUAAAAAAAUACAAUUGCCAUUAAAUCUAAUAGUAUAUUACAAACAAAAGCAAGAGAAACAAGUUGCCUAAUCAACAAAUUGAAAAGCAUGUUUUACUUUUGCUGAAAAUUUUGAAGAAAAAAUCUAAAGAACACAACUUUUUUUUCUGACGUUUCAAUUGAUUCAAGGACUUUGAAAAAAAAAUAAAGACAAUCUUCAAAUUCUAAAGUUUUUCUUUCAUCCUAUUAUUUUCAAAUAAUUGGAAAUUUGAGUAUUUGAUUGAAUUUGAAAAAAAAAUAAAGACAAUCUUCAAAUUCUAAAUUUUUCUUUCAUCCUAUUAUUUUCAAAUAAUUGGAAAUUUGAGUAUUUGAUUGAAUACUACCAUCAAUGUUUUAACUUUUUUCGCUGUACUUUCUCAAUUUUUGUAGAUAAGAUUCCACCAAGCAAUUAGUUGCUAAUUAUUUAAGAUGAUUAAUUAUAAUUAGAUUUCAUUUGGUUUGUAUUUUUUUCGUUUACUAUUUGUUUUUUGUUUUCAAUUCAUUUAUUAAAAAAAAUAAAAACCCUAAACUGAAAAAUAUAAUUUAGAUUUCAUUUGGUUUGUAUUUUUUUUCUUUUACUAUUUGUUUUUGUUCUCAGUUCAUUUAUUAAAAAAAUAAAAACCAAAAGCAUCCAUUAAUUGGAGGAUUAAAAGGUGAGAAAAUUAUGUAAUUUCAUUGGUUAAUUUCCUUUUUUUUUUUGUUAAAAAAUUUAUUGAGUUUAAAACAAUAUAAAGUAAGAGUGUAUUUGAUACCAUGGAUAAAAUUUCUAAAAUUCUAUUUAUUUUUUUAAUUUCAUUAGGGUUUCAGAUUUCUAUUAAUUAUUAGUGUAUUUUAUAUUAAAAACUUAAAUUUAUUAUAUAAAAUUUAUAUUUUGAGGUUUUAAAUAUUAAAAUGUAAUUUAAAAAAUAAAAAUGAUUUUGGAAUACACUUGUACAGAAAAGUAAUAGCAUUUUGUGUUGAAAAAAACGAAGAUUAUAAUUUUAAAAUAUCCAAAUAGGGAAUGAUAGAUAAAAAAAUAAAAGGAGAUAGUAGGUACAAAAUUAAUUGCUAAUUAGAAAAUGAAUUGAAAAUAAGAAACAAAUAACAAAAAAUAAAAAAACUUAGAAGUGAUGACUGAAGACAUUUGGAAAGAUAAGUAUAAUUACGUAAAAAUGGUAAUAUAUAGUCUGAUUAGAUAUUGAAGUUGAACACUUAUUAUUUAAUUUUGAAUAAUUUAAAUUAAAUUUCUUUUUAAACAAUUAAAAAAAAAAAGAAAAGUUACUAUUAAUUUCUUGUGUAGCUUGACAAUGGGAUUGAAACAAAGAUUCACCCAUUGAGGUCCUUUUUCUGACUUAACCGGCAAAGAAAAGCCCAUGCAUGAUGAAUUGAAGACUAAUUCAUUAAUAGAAAAUCCCAUUAAUUUUUGUUCUAUGGAAACACAAUCAUGUUGUCCCUUUUAUAUUUGUAAUGUUCACGUUUAUAACGUUCACUUAUUCAUUAAAAUUAAGGUUCAUUAUCAUUAAAAAUAAUAUUGGUUAAUAUUUUUAUUUGAAGUAUUGUAAAAUAUAAAAAUAUGAAUCUAUACAUUCUAAGUUCUUACUGCACAAAUCAAUAUUCUUUAACAAUAUUAAAAACAAAAAUAAUAAAAAGGACUAUAUAUAUAUAUAUGAUAAAUUCAAUAUUAAAUUAUUAAUACGUUGUUUUGAAUUCUCAAAGAUUAAUAAAAUGAUUUCACAAACAAUGCUCUAAAAGCUUACUCUAAGGUUAUUACAUAAAAUAAUAUCUUCAUCCAAUACAUUAAAAAUAAUAAAAAUGAAAAUUAUUAAGCAUCACCUAUUGCAUUUAAUAUAAAAUUAUUACAAUAAAUAAUAGAUUAACUAAUUUUAGAGAGUGAAAAACUCUUUAACGAAUUUGUUUUAUUUACGUGUAAGAAUGGAGAAGUAAAAAUGACAACACAGUGAAUAUCCGUUAUUGUUUAGAUAUUUGUAGUUAAAUCUAUUUAAUUUUCAUGGUCUUCAAAUUCAUUUAAAUAUUCGAUUAAAUUUAAUAUCAUUAUCUGAAUAUGAAACCAUUUAAAUAAACAUCAUCUGUUUCAUAUUUGAAUCCAUUAAAAUAUCCAAUUACUUAAAUUUAAUUUUUUACUAAAAUAUAAAUUCAACAAGAAUUAAAUUUAAAUUUAAAAUUUACUCUUGAUUAAUAAUAAGUAAAGGUUGUUUGUUAAGAUUCGAAAAUAAAAUUUUGCAUAUUUUACAUAUGUAAAUAGAUAAUAUAUUCAAAUAAUUGAUACCAUAUGGUUUAAAACUUAAACGAGUUUGAAUAUCCAAAUGGUACUAUCUAAAUUCUAUCUCAAUCUAUUCAAUAUCUAUUUAUAAAUAUUUGAAUUAGACAUAAACAGAUCAGAUAAUUUAUCAAAUAUUCAAUUAUUUACUGUCCAUCAUCAUUCCUAAACGGAAUAUCAAGAGAGAACCAAUCAAUCAAAUCUAAUUGAAUGGAGAGGAUUCCUCCCUACUAUAUACACGUGCCACCAUUAUCUAACUUUGAGAAAAUUAAUUUUUUAUUUUUUUUUACAAAUACAAAAUAUGAAAUAAAAAAGGGGAAUAAAAGAAAGAAUAUAGUGAUAAAGAUUAAUUUACAAAAGCAAAACUAUUAGCCUUAUCAUCAUUGAAACCCAUUAUUCAUUCUUUAAAAUUCAAAAUUGACAAGUAAUAACCAUGUUUGUCUUCCAUCUAGUUUGAUUCAACUCAUACAAAAAAGGUUCAAACUCAUGAUUUGUACAAACACGUGGUUGGAAAAACACAUUUGAACCUAUCUCUUGAGAUCAAGGGAGAUAUAUAGCUACAAUAACAGUAUGAAAUAUGAAGUACUUGUCUAUAAUAUCGUGUAUGCAAAUCUCAAACUCCACAAUCUUCCCUUCAUUUUUUUUUUUUUUAUAGAAAGCCAACAAAACAUGAAGAAUUUUCAUGUCCUAAUGUCACUCAUUUUCCCUACCUUGUUUCUCUUCUCAUGCUCUGUAUCUCUUGUGUUAUCGUUUUCCCCUACUCAUACUGAUCUCCAAAACCAGUGCCUUGAUGAUCAGAAAUCUGCUCUAUUGCAAUUGCACCGUGAUCUGUACUAUGCCCCAAAUUUUACUUUCUCUUCCAAAGUUGAGUUUUGGGAUCCCAACACUGAUUGUUGCUCUUUGAAAGGAAUUACAUGUGAUGCUGUGGGUCAUGUGAUUGAGCUUGAUCUCAGUUACAAAAACCUUUCGGGCAGCUUUCACUCCAUUUUCAAUCUCCAUCAUCUUCAACGCCUUAAUCUUGCUGGAAAUAAUUUUAAUACUACUCUGUUUCAAUAUGAGUUUGAUAGAUUCUCAAAUUUAACUCAUCUCAACCUUUCAAACUCAUGUUUCCUUGGCCAAAUUCCAGUGGGGAUUUCAUACUUAACAAGGUUAGUCUCUCUUGAUCUAUCUAAUCAAGAUUCUUGCUAUCAACGGUAUAACCAAAUGCUCCAUCCAUACAACUACGUCUUCUACUACUAUCCGCUGCCUUUUGACCUUCAACAACCUCUUAAACUAGAAAACCCAAACUUUAAGACAUUAAUCCAAAAUUUAAGAUCUCUUACGGAGCUCUACUUGGAUAGUGUGAACAUUUCAACUCAAAGUACUAAAUGGUGUGAAACCACCUCUGUAGUACUUCCUAACUUGCAUGUGUUAAGUUUGUCGAAUUGUGGUUUGACAGGUCCAUUUUGUUCUUCACUCUCAAGACUUUCUUUUCUUUCCAAACUUUUCCUUGGUGGGAAUUCAAUCUCUUAGUUGCCUCCCAAUUUCUUAGAAAAUUCCUCUCGUUUGGUUUCCCUCAGUUUAGUGAAUUGCAAUUUGAGUGGGCAUUUUCCAAUAGAAGUUUUCUUAUUGCAAAUACAAAGCAUCGACAUUUCAGAAAAUGACAAUCUUGAAGGUCAGUUGCCAGAAUUUUCAUUAAACAAUACUUUACGUGUCUUAAAGAUUUCUUUUACAAAUUUCAGUGGAAAACUGCCAGAAUCAAUUGGUAAUCUCAAGUUCUUGACAACUUUAGAUCUCCAUGGUUGUAAGUUCUUUGGACAAAUUCCAUCAUCAAUUGCAAAUCUUACUAACCUUGUGGAACUGGGUCUAUCCUAUAACAAUUUCAGUGGUUUUAUCCCCGCGUUUCAUAGAUCUGGAGUUCCAAAUCUUGCAUAUCUUUUUUUGUGGAGCAACCACCUCUCUGGAUCAAUACAUUCUUCUUUAUUUGCUCUCCCAUCAUUGCAGGCCUUGGAUCUCAGUGAAAAUGAAUUGUUUGGUGAAAUUGAUGAGUGCCUCAAUGCAUCUUCUUCAUUGAUUGAAACAUUGUAUUUAGGCUACAAUAGCUUUAGUUCCAUUAAGCUUGACAUGUUCUCCCAAAUUAAGAACUUAAGGGUUCUUGACCUUUCUAAUAUGAGCUUAUCAAUUGAAAGCAACAUCACAAGCCUGCUUUUCCCCAAUUAGAGAAGCUAUACCUAAGUUCAUGCAACUUUACUGAAUUUCCAGAAUUCAUCAAAACACAAGACAAGUUGGCUUCUCUAGAUCUUUCUAACAACCAAAUCCAUGGUUUUGUGCCGAAUUGGUUGUGGAAGACCACUCUUUUGAGGUUAGACCUUUCUUUCAAUGCGAUUGAUUUUUCAAAAGAGGUUCCUUUUGGUGAUGCAAACUCCUGUUUUCCAAUGUUGAUUAUCUUGUAUUUACAAUUCUGUAACCUAAGUAUGUUUCCAGAGUUUUUAAAGAGUCAAACUAGUUUAGAAGAGUUUGACCUUUCAAAUAACAAAGUAAGUGUGCAGUACCAAACUGGGUGUGGAAGAAAAGUUUGCGGUAUCUGGAUCUUUCUAACAAUUCUCUCUCAUCUUUGGACCAAUUUUCUCUCAACCAAUCUCUAACUUCUUCACAAGGCUCUUUAUCAAGACCUAUUUGCAAUUUGAGUCAACUUGAGACCUUUAAUGCAUCCUUAACAAAUUAAGCGGGCUAAUCCCUAGUUGCUUGGGCAAUAUCAGUUUUCUCAGGUAUUUGGAUCUACAAAAAAAUAAUUUCAACGGUAGCAUACCAGAUUUUGCAAAAGCGACCCAAUUAUAUUGGCUUCAACUCAAUGAUAAUAAAUUGGAAGGGAAGUUGCCAAGGUCAUUAGCCAAUUUGCACAAUGCUCCGAGUUUUAAACCUUGGAAAUAAUACUCUGCAUGACACAUUCCCUUUGUGGUUGGGAAAAUUGCAUGAGUUGAUGGUCCUUGUAGUGCGAGCAAAUAGGUUUUAUGGUCUAAUUAAACAUGUGAAAAAUUAUUUUCAGCAUUUGGAUGUACUAGACAUUGCGUUCAAUAAUUUUUCUGGUCAAUUGCUGAUAGAAUUCUUUCAAGCCCCUCGACUAAGGUCAUUCAAAAUUGGUGGGAAUAAACUGGAAGGAAAGUUGCCGAGGUCAUUAGCCCAUUGCAAAAUGCUUGAAGUUUUGGACGUUGGAAAAAAUAUGACACAAGACAUUUCCUUUUUGGUUGGUGAAAUUGCCUUCUUUAAAGGUUCUUAUACUAAGAGCAAAUAGAUUUUAUGGUCCAAUUAAAAUUUCUGAGGAUGAAAAUGCUUUCCUAGAGUUACACAUACUGGAUCUUGCUUCCAAUAACUUUUCAGGUGAGUUACCUGUUGGAUUUUUUCAAUCUUUAAGGCAAUGAAGUAGAUGAUUGAUGGCAACAAAGCUAAACCAGAUUAUAUUGGAGAUGAUUACUACCAGGACUCUGUGACAAUUGUGAAUAAGGGGUUUGAACUUUUUUACCAGAAAAUUUUAACCAUCUUUGUUUGUCUUGACCUUUCCAAUAAUAGUUUCCAUGGGAAAAUACCGGAAGAAAUACAAAACCUCAAAUCACUCAAAGUGCUAAACUUGUCCUACAACAGCUUCCUUGGCCCAAUUCCUUUAGCACUUAGAAACUUAACUCAACUUGAGUCGUUGGACCUCUCCCAGAACAAACUCUCCGGAAAGAUUCCUCUACAGCUUACAAGCCUAACUUUUCUUGCAGUAUUGAAUCUCUCUUACAACCAACUUGAGGGAAGCAUACCACAAAUCUACCAAUUCAAUACAUUUUCAAACGAUUCUUACAAAGGGAAACCCAAGAUUGUGUGGGCCGCCUUUGACAAAGAAAUGCAAAGAAGUUGGUCUUGGAGUGCCACCCUCUAAGGAAGAUGAAGAUUCAUGGGUAGAUGGUAUAUCUGUUUGGAAAAUCGUACUGAUUGGGUAUGGAUGUGACUUGAUGAUUGGGUUAUCUAUUGGAUAUACAGUGCUGAAUGAGAUGGGAAACAAAUGGAUGGAUAGAUUUACAUGGAAUCGGAAUCAAAAAUGGAGAAGAUCUUCUAGGUGACUCCGUCGAAAUUCAAGCUUCAAAUUCAUUUGGUAAGCAUUCUAGAAUACUUAAUAACUCAAAAGUUUUCUUCUUGAUUCUUUGAGCUGUAUUUAAUUGCCUAAACAAAUAAAAUUAUUUAAAUAUUCUCUUGCAUUAUAAGUGUGAUAAAUAUAUCUGCAGUAACUGAAAUUUGACUAAAGUGAUUACAUUUGAAAUUUAAUUAAAGAAGGUUUCAACUUUGGACAUCUCAUUCCCUUUUUAAACUCGGCAUUGCUUUUAAAACUAAAAGCAAAAAUUGCCUGCAAACUAGGAUAUGUCCUUUGAAUUCCUAACCUCAUUUUAUAAAUGACAAUCAUAAGUUUCCAAGUUAGUAAUUUGUAAAAGACAUGUGGGUGACUGGUAUUUUGAGUUAGAUUGGGCUGUCAGCCAUCUUAAGAGCAAAGCAAAGCUUUGGCAUCUAUUGUCCUUAAUUAGAUUGGCUUGGGAUGCUCAUAUAUAUUCUAUUUGGCAGGAGCACAAUCAAAGGAAGUUUGGCAGGCCAUCUAAAGAUAUAGAAGCUAUUGUUUCAACUAUCAGAAGUUCCUUUUGGCUUAGUUCAAUAACAAGAUUGCAGUCUCCAGUUCCACUCUUCCUCUUCAACAACAGAAAUUGUGUCUGAAUGUUUUUGGCUUGGUGUUACGGUACCUGUGUCUCAGUUCUUUCUCUUCUGCUCGCCAAAGAUGAUUGGCGGUAUGUCUGGUUGUAGUGUGCUUGUCAUCUGUUUUGUCUAUGGGGUGGUGUUUUACUGCUGAGUUAUGGGGUUCCCCUGUUGUUCACCCUAUUGAGUAACUCUGUUUUUAUUAAUAAUUUCUGGCUUAGCAAAAGAAAAAUGUGUCUGAAUUGGGGACUGGUUCCUUAAUGUUGCUUAGUUUGAUUGCUUUGCAAAAGUUAGAUUGUUCUUGGACAUUUGUAAUGUUUUGAUAGCUUACUGUUUACUUGUAGCAGGUCUACUGCUUUCUUUGGAUUAAUAAAAAUCAUUUAUCCAAAGAAAUUCUUAACAAAAAUCUUAUUUUUUUUAAACUCUUCAUUAUUGUUAUACCUAAGUGAUCAUGUCAGCAGCCACAAAGUAGGUCUUACACAUGAAAGCCCAGUUUGCCACAUCGUCAUCUAAGAGGUAUAAAAAGUAGAACCAGAUAAGACAGGUGAUUCACUACUGAAUUCUCUUUGCUCUCUUUAACUGCUUCCUACUCUCUCUCAUUUACUUGCUUCUGGUAUACCUUACUAACUUGAGUGUCGGGGAAUGCCUCAAAAUAACAUUUUUGGCACACUGACUUUCUACUUUGUGACAGGUCACACAAACUCUCCUUCUCACCCUCCAGUAAAACUUUAGACUAUCAGACCAGGAAUUACAUCAACAAUAUCAAUUAUUCACCUCAACUAUUUGCAGUGAAGGAAUUUGAUAUAAGCCAUGGCAUGUACAACAAUGACUACGCCUACCACUUUAACUGCCAAAACUAGAAGUUACAUCUCCUAACACAGAAAAAUCUUCACAGACCAAGCUAAAGCUAAGAUGCCUUAUUCCUGUAUUAACUGCUACAUCACUACAGAGAAAAAAACAACGAAAAGAAAAGAACAAAGCUUCAAGUUCCAGGUAUCAAGCUUGAAUAACUUCGAUAAUAUUUUAUUGUCCCUAACAACUAUAGAUUUGACUAUGGCGAGAAAGAUUGAAAUAUUUCCUUUAUUAUUUUCUUCAACUUUAAUCCCAUAUCAUCCUUUGUUUCUUUGCUUCAGCACUUCCACAGACAAAAACAAAUGGUUUGUUGUAACUCUAUUGCUAUUUGAUUGAUUUGCAUGUAGAAUAGACCUUGACUAAACAAAAACAUGAGGGCAAUACAUUCAGUAACUUAUAUAUACUCACUUCGCUAGAAUUCCAGUGAAUCCUUUCAGUAACUUAUUCUCUAUCUAAUAGAAAUAAAGCGUCAUAACUAAAUAGCCAAUAUUCACAUUGAUGCGCUAAGUGUUCUGAUAUAGCCACUAAUCCAUCAUUAAAAGAUGAAGUUAUAGAAGAUAUGCUAUGUUUCAAUCACUGGUCAUUUUAUAGGUAGUUUUUUCUCUAGUAGUCAGCUUGAUGCUGUAAACCAGGAAGGUUGUCAAGCCUUCUGAUAUUUAGCCUAUUUUGAGUAUUAGCUCAGAAUUUAUGUUUAGAAGAUUUUGUAGGUGAAAAGAUAUUUGAUGACUUUGGGGUUGACAAAAGCCACAUUGGACAGAGUGAUUGUGCAUAUAUGAAGACUUUGCCGCUAGAGGCUUUCUCCUACAACUGUCCUUCUCAUGCAGCCCUAAGAUCUUGCUCUUUUGAAUCCAUCUCUAACUAGAAAUGUAGGUAUCAACUAGAAAAAUACUUUAUUCUCAUGAAUUUCGUCAUUUGGGAAUUUUACAGGGAAAAAAGAAAACAAAAGCUCAUGCUAAAAAAGAAAAUUUUAGAGGGAAAAAAGGAAACAAAAAAUAUUACUAUUUCCUGAGUUUAAGUUUAGGUUUGCUAGCUAAUUUAACUUUUUUUUUUGUCAUGAAUGCAGGAAUCGUAUUUUUCCAGGAAGAAAACUUAUCAUUAAUGUUUUCUAUGCUUUGGUCUUGGACAGCAUAAAAAAUCACAGCUUCCAUAUGCCGUCCCUACCCAAUUGAAACCACCUGCAAUCCAAUAUUCUUAAACUCUUGGAAGUAACAUCCUAGAUCCUGCCAGUAUGUGUCAUCGAGACUAGGAUUCUGAUCUGAUCAAGCUGAAUUCUUGGCCAUUAUGAAGGUUGUGAAGUUGGAUGCCGAUUCUUGGAAAGUUAAUACUGGAUUGCACAGCUAUCUCUAGGUACAAGAAAUGCUACUUCAUGGGUAAAAGGCAGCAAUAGGGUUUGUUGGCAUCUUAGGAACGCCAAUUUUGUAUAUACAUUACAAGUUUUACAAUUGUCUACUCAUUCAGUUGUUUUC